UUCAUCAGCACUGGACAAUCUUCAAAAGGCAGUGAGUGGGAAGAGGUACCUCCUUGUAUUGGAUGAUGUGUGGAACCGUGAUGAGCCCAGCAAGUGGGAAAGGCUCAAGUCCUACCUUCAGCAUGGUGGCAGCGGUAGCUCAGUGCUGACAACAACUCGCGAUGAAGCUGUUGCUAAACUAAUGAUGGGUACAACUGAAGGAGCCUAUAAACUUGGAAGCUUGGAUGAAGAGUCCUUAGGGAAAAUUAUCAAGGCAAGAGCAUUCGGUUCAAAACAAGAAAAGGAGUGGCCUGGUGAACUAGUUAACAUGGUUGGUGAAGUUGCCAAGAGAUGUGCUGGUUCUCCUUUAGCUGCUACAGCAUUGGGCUCUUUCCUGGGUACCAAGACCAGAAAGCAAGAAUGGGAGGAUGUACUAAAUGGAAGCACGAUUUGUGAUGAGGAAAAUGGGAUUUUACCAGUACUUAAACUAAGUUACAAUUGCUUGCCAUCAUACAUGCGGCAAUGCUUUGCUUUCUGUGCUAUGUUUCCCAAGGAUUAUGAGAUUGACGUGCAAAUGCUAAUCCACUUGUGGAUGGCCAAUGGUUUUAUCCCAGAGCAAUCAAAAGUGUGUCCUGAAACUUUUGGAGAAAGAAUUUUCAUUGAGCUGAAGUCAAGGUCAUUUUUUCAGGAUUUGAAGAAUGUCCCAUUUGACAAAAAUAAAUAUUCUAUUUAUGGAGAGGGUGAUAAGCACAGGUAUUCUUCUAGAAUUACUUGUAAGAUCCAUGACCUUAUGCAUGAUGUUGCACAGUCUGCUAUGGGAGAAGAAUGUGCUGCAAUAGCUACACACCCAAGUGAAAGAGAGGAUGUUCUUCGUUCAGCUCGUCACUUGUAUUUGUCAAUCCGUCGACCAGAAACUCUUCUGAAUGCUUCCCAAGAGAAAGGAUCUCCAGCUUUCCAAACACUGAUUUCUGACGGAUAUGUAGAAGGAGAUUUGAAGAUUUUAUCAAAAUACAACUCUAUAAGAGCUUUAAAGAUCAUGUUUUGGAAAAGAAGAGCUUCAAAGAUCGAUUGUGGUUCAAUCCUAAGGCCGAAAUAUCUUCAUCACCUGAGGUAUCUUGAUCUCUCAGAAAGUGAUAUUAAAGCACUUCCUGAAGACAUUAGCAUCCUUUAUCAUCUGCAAACACUGAACCUUUCUUACUGUAAGUGGCUUGAACGGCUUCCAAAGGAACUGAAGUAUUUGACUGGCCUCCGUCACCUCUACACUCACGGAUGUAGAGAUUUAAAAAGCAUGCCUACAGAGCUCGGACGCCUAACUUCCCUGCAGACGCUUACAUACUUUGUAGCAGGUGCCGACGACUCCGGUUGCAGUAAUUUGGGAGAGCUGCAGAAUUUGGACCUUGGUGGUACACUGGAGCUUAGGAAGCUAGAAAAUGUGACAGGAGCAGAUGCACAAGCAGCAGGUCUUGGAAACAAGAAAAAACUGACCGAACUGGAGUUAUGUUGGACCAAUAGUGACCAGGAAGCACAGAAUAAUAAUCAUAAAGAGGUGGUGGAAGGUCUCAAACCUCAUGAUGGGUUGAAGGCUCUGAGGAUAACUCACUGUGGGAGCAGAACUUUUCCAUGGAUGAAUACUUUGAAAGGCAUGGUGGAGCUCAAAUUAUCUCUUUGCAAAAAGCUCGAAGAGCUUCCUGCACUCUGGGAGCUACCACCUCUGCAAAUUCUUCACCUGCAGGGUUUGGAGAGUUUAGAUUGUUUGUGCAGCGGUGGUACUACACCCGUCACAUUUCCAAAACUGAAGGUGAUUGCCUUGUUAGAAAUGGCAAAAUUUGAGGCAUGGUGGGAGACAUAUGAGGUACAAGGAGAAGAUCCAGUAUUUCCUGAGGUUGAGGAGCUGGUGAUUAAGAAGUGUAAAAGUUUGACUGCAUUACCAAAAGCAGCAUCGGUGAUUACAGAAUUGUCUGGCAGAGUUGACACUAAGUGCCGCUCUGCAUUUCCAGUAUUGAGGAAAAUGACCCUAGGUGAGUUGACUAUGUUUGAAAGAUGGGAGGCAGGCGAAGGAAUUUCAGGCGAAGAGGUAACCUUUCCUCAGCUUGAGGAGCUGUCAAUCGAGUAUUGUGGCAGCCUGAGUGCACUACCAAAAGGACCAUUAUUGGCUAAGCAACCAUUUGGCGGAGCUGAAACUGUGUGCUGCCGCUCUGCAUUUCCAGCACUGAGGAAACUAGAAUUAUCUCAUUUGUCAGCCCUUGAGAGGUGGGGGGCAGCCGAAGGAACUCCAGGAGAAGAGGUAACCUUUCCUCAGCUCGAGGAGCUGUCAAUCUCGUAUUGUGGCAGCCUGAGUGCACUACCAAAAGGGUCAUUAUUGGCUAAGCAACCAUUUGGCGGAGCUAAAACUGUAUGUUGCCGCUCUGCAUUUCCAGCACUGAGAAAACUAAUAUUAUUUGAUUUGUCGGUCCUUGAGAGGUGGGGGGCAGCCGAAGGAACUCCAGGAGAAGAGGUAACCUUUCCUCAGCUCGAGGAGCUAUCAAUCACGGAGUGUGGCAGCCUGUGUGCACUACCGAAAGGGCCAUUAUUGGCUAAGCAACCAUUUGGCGGAGCUGAAACUGUGUGCUGCUGCUCUGCAUUUCCAGCACUAAGAAAACUAGAGUUAUCUCAUUUGUCAGCUCUUGAGAGGUGGGGGGCAGCCGAAGGAACUCCAGGAGAAGAGGUAAUCUUUCCUCAGCUCGAGGAGCUGUCAAUCACGGAGUGUGGCAGCCUGUGUGCACUACCGAAAGGGCCAUUAUUGGCUAAGCAACCAUUUGGCGGAGCUGAAACUGUGUGCUGCCGCUCUGCAUUUCCAGCACUGAGGAAACUAGAAUUAUCUCAUUUGUCAGCCCUUGAGAGGUGGGGGGCAGCCGAAGGAACUCCAGGAGAAGAGGUAACCUUUCCUCAGCUCGAGGAGCUAUCAAUCACGGAGUGUGGCAGCCUGUGUGCACUACCGAAAGGGCCAUUAUUGGCUAAGCAACCAUUUGACGGAGCUGAAACUGUGUGCUGCCGCUCUGCAUUUCCAGCACUGAGGAAACUAAAAUUAUCUCGUUUGUCGGUCCUUGAGAGGUGGGGGGCAGCCGAAGGAACUCCAGGAGAAGAGGUAACCUUUCCUCAGCUCGAGCGGCUGUCAAUCUCGUAUUGUGGCAGCCUGAGUGCACUACCAAAAGGGCCAUUAUUGGCUAAGCAACCAUUUGGCGGAGCUAAAACUGUAUGUUGCCGCUCUGCAUUUCCAGCACUGAGAAAACUAAUAUUAUUUGAUUUGUCGGUCCUUGAGAGGUGGGGGGCAGCUGAAGGAACUCCAGGAGAAGAGGUAACAUUUCCUCUGCUGGAGGAUUUGAAUAUUGAUUUCUGCCCGAAGUUGACUGAUCUACCUGAAGCACCGAAGCUAAGUGAAUUAUCCAUAAGAAGAAAAGGUGAUGAUCAGCAGCAAAUAUCCCUAGAGACAGCUAGCAGAUGCAUCCCUUCAUUGUACCGUCUGAAUCUGGAUGUGUCACCCGAUGAAACAGAAACAACAUUGCUGCAUGUCAAGAAUAAAUUGAAUGGUACACUCGCCUUGGCAGCUAUGGGGUUAGGUCGGUGCGACCUUUUUUUCUCCUCCCGCUCAAGCGCACUGGCGCUAUGGACAUGUUUUGCACAGCUAGUAUAUUUGAGGAUUUGGGAUUGCGAUGCUCUUGUCUACUGGCCAGAAAACGUGUUCGAGGUCCUGGUAUGCCUGAGGAACUUAGAUAUUUCCGUAUGCAGAAAUCUGACAGGACGCACACAAGCUUCUGAUGAGCAAUCUGCUCCAGCACCAGAACGUGGUGGACUCCUGCCAUGCCUGGAGUCUCUACAGAUAGUAGAAUGUAAAUCUUUGGUAGAGGUCCCCAUCCUGCCGGCAUCUCUCAAGGAAUUACAUAUUCACAGCUGCAGUGAUGAAAUCGAGUCCAUCGUAUUCUGUCAGCAGGAGGAUACGAGGUUGGUGAGUGGAGAGGGUAUUGUGCGGCCGAAGACGUCAUCAUUAAUUCCAGGGUGCAACAGCAGCUGUGAGGCCACAGCGUCUACAGCUGUACUGAAGCUGUCAUUUGCAGCCAACCAUCGCUUCCUUCCAUUUCCAUGCCUAGAAUUUCUAGCUAUAAUGCAUUGCAGUGGCUUGUCAGAGGUUGCCAAUCUUCCUCCGUCUAUCAAGGCCUUGAACAUUUCUUUAUGCGGCGAGCUUCAAUCCCUAUCAGGAGACCUCCGGUUGCUGGAAGAACUCUUGUUUUAUGGAUGCGAAAGACUGGUAUCCUUACCGGAUGGGCCUCAAGCAUACUCAUCUCUUAGAGUUCUUCGGAUAAUGAAUUGUGAAGGUAUAAAGUUGCUUCCGUCAAGCCUACAGAGCCGUUUGGGCUACCUCGAGGAGAAAUAUCUAGAUGCCCGUUACGAAGGUAAUCUCCAGUUUCUUUAUUUCUUUUAACAAAAUGGUCAAGAGCUCAAUUGGUGUUACCUAUAAUGCAACUCUGUGCUUAAACAUUCUGUUAGCUAUUACAAGAUGUGGUAGGAUUUAGUGGUAAGAAGUUUAUGAGUAUUACUCUGCGUUAAACAUUCUGUUAGCUAUCUAGCCAAGCCGUUCAUGAUGUAUACAUUAUAUUGACUAUUGAGUACAAUGCACCACUAAUAUUUAUGUGCAUGUGUGUCAUCGAAAUACAUUAACUUCGUGUAUUAUUGCCAUUCGGGUAUCUAAACACGUACAACCAGAUCAAGAACCGCAGUCAUCCUUGUAUAUCUCCUUUUUGUUCGUACAAAGAAUUUAUAGCUAUAAGAUGAUCUUUGUUGUUCACUUUUGAUACCUUGGUUGUAAACUUGUAAUUGCUAACUCGAAUCAUGUAAUAAAAUCAAUCAUCUUCCUUUAGUUGUAUUUAAAGCAGCAUGGCAUCAUGGAAUUAUUGCAGCCGAAUUCACUAGCUUCAAUUAAAGUGGCACUUGUCCUAGCGUUCCUCUGGAAAUUCAUGAUCACUAGCUCCGUUGUAUGCAGUUCAAGUAUGUGUAGUUUUCUUUUCAUGGCUUAUGCCUUUUGACAUAAAUAAUAAUUUUCCUUUGAAACAUUUACUAUUGGGUGCCACAGCAUAUUCUCCUGUGUAUAUAUAUACUUUCUAACUUUGUGUUGAUUUGCAUGCAUAAAUUCUAACAUCAUGGCCUGAUUGCCAGAAUUGCCAGAACCAACCUGGAAACGUUCAAUCAGGAAGCUGGUGUGCUCGAAAUAGUAGAUCAAGGCCUGACCAAAGAAAAUUAUCUCCAAGGUAUUUUUGCAAAGAUAUCACCAAGGUUUGUAAUAUUAGUGUUCUUGAUGAUUGAUUGGAAAUGAUGCUAGCUCCUAAUGCUGACUUCCUAUGCGCUGUGACUUCCUUGUAGGAUGGUGCCAGACCUGCAAAAGAUGGAUUACUGUGACUCUUGUUUAGAAUGUAUCAUAUGCGCAUUCUGAAGAUAUUCUCCAGUAAAGUCAAGGCAAAGUCCUAGAUUUGAGCAGAAAACAAAUCCUAGAUUGCAAGCUGAAGAAUUUAGCACACAGAGCUGCGUGCUCCAGUCUUUUAUCCGUCUUCAAACUGAAGACCUUUAUUUUGAGCAGAAACGAAGUCCCAGACUGCAAGCAGAAGAAUUUAGCAUACAGAGCUACGGGCUCCAGUCUUUUAUCCUUAUUUUUUCUUUUGAACUAUGACAUGUUUGCAUUCGUGUCUGCUUCAGCCUCCAGCACAAGCGAAACACAGGCAGAGGAUACUUGCCAUAGAGUAGACCAACAGUCCAACGUACUCAUGUUGUUGCUCGACAAGCUGUCCAAGCUGCUGCUUGAUAUGAACUGAAAGUUCUGAAUUUUCUCUCGUGUAUGUUCUGUGUAUCAAAUACUGAAUGGUGUGCAGGGUGAUCCUGCAUCCUGGAAGGCUUUGGAUGGCACGGUCUUGUGCAGAGAUCUCAUUGUUGUUGACCUGUUUCUUCAAAACUGCAUGUGCAUGAGCAAGAAUGGUGAUUGUUAUAGUACAUGAGCAAGGAAGAAGCUCUGGAUGCAGGGGAUGGAACAGAACAGAGACACGGACUCUGUCAACAGCGAUGCUCCCAAGCGAGCAGAGGCAGAGCAGCGAAGUUGCCACACGCCACCGCAUCUCCCUCCACUCCACUCCCACUCCCCCGCCACCGCCAUGGCCGCCGCCGCCGCAGCGCACUCCCUCCUGCACCCACCGGCGGCCCGCAAGGCCCCCACACCUUCUCCCUCUCCUUACCCUUCCCCAUUCCUCCGCCUCCCGGCCCCCGCGCACCCGCGCCUCCCGCUCCGCCUCCGCUCCACCUCCCCGGCCGCCGCCUCCUACCUCACCGACUUCCCCAACCCGAACGGCAUCCUCGCGCCCAUCGACGUGGACGCCGCCACGGAGGCGGAGCUUCGCGAGAACGGGUUCCGGAGCACGCGCCGCACCAAGCUCGUCUGCACCGUGGGCCCGGUCACCUCGUCGCCCGAGCAGCUCGAGGCGCUCGCCGUCGGCGGGAUGAACGUCGCCCGCCUAAACAUGUGCCACCGCCGCCGCCAUACCCCCUGUCACCCCUGCGUCGACCACUGCGCCAAACAAGUCAAGCUUCGCUGCCUUCGCCCCUGCGCCACCACGCUUCGACGAGCUAAGAACGAUGGUGCGUGCACAGGUCGAAGCCCUCUUCAAUGCUCAGGCCAUGGCGCUUCAGCACACAUUCCAGGCCAUGGCUGAUUCUCAGGUACGCUCAACCCAUUUGCUUAGCCCGGAUUCCUCUGUGCAACCUUCACCCCGCAAGGAUCUUGGAGCUUGCGGCGUCGACGAGUUUUUCACCAGGUCCUGCUCUCUGCUGGACGGACUGGAUGCUCCGCCGUGCCCGGCGGGGAAUCAAGCCUGGUCCGACACCCCGGUGCGCUUGGUGCCUCUGCACCGGGUCUUUGACAGGCUAGGGUCGGCUCUUCAAGGGCGCCCCUCGGUGCGGGAGGUCGAGCUCGCCCUGAACCAGCUGCAGCUUCCCGCUAACACUCCGGCUUCCGAUGACCUUCGCGCCGCCGCGUCCAAGUCUUCUCCGGCCGCCGGAUCUGCCCCAACGGAGCUGCUGAACCAGAGGCAGGGUGCUCCAGAGAAGACUGCCCAAUGGGCCAACUGCCAGGCCCCACGGACCAGCUGGGCCCUGGGACCUCCUGCGGCGGCGACCGCGCCGGGCGUUCACGGGGGGCCUCGGGUGAAGGCGGCCCCAUGGGCCGUUUCCCUGGGGCCUGCUCCUGUCUGGCCCAGCAACGGGGCUCCCGCUGGACCACCUGGGCCUGUGCGUACCGCGCCAGUCCUCACCACUGGGCCGGAGACGCCAGUGGGGAGCCCGGGGGCCGGCGCGCAGACAACCUCCAAUGGGCCCGCUGGAAACAACUUAGGCCGCAGCACUGAGUCUCACCUUUCCGUUUCCCAAACUCAUGACAUGCAGGUUGCCACUGUUGAAGCCAUGGAGGCCCAGCUGACUACUCAAAGUACUGUGGAGGAAACACACACUGUGACUGCAAGUGGGGCCGUUGAUGAUCUCUUCGCGGCCCCGGCUUCGCCGAUUCUACGCCAGCCCCCGCCACGUCGCCAAUGUCGACGCUUUGAUAUGACCGCGGUCCGACGGAGUGCAAGACUCGCCCUCAAGCCGUCGGUUCCCGCGCUGCAGCGUGCCCAGCACAACCUCUGGCGCAAGCUAGGGGUCUCCGACGACGAGCUACGCCCAAUAGAAGAUAUCCUACAGGACUACGUCAACUCUCACCAGUGGCCACUUCCAGAUCAUGUCAUCGCUGCGAUGACGGCACUAUUUGACCUGGACGAUGAGGGAGCGGAGCAGGUAACUGAAGCUUUGAUCCAGCAUGCAGGACAGGCGGUCCAAGACAUCCAGAACGAGCUCGCCACCCGUCAGGAAUGAGUCAUCAGGACUCCACUUGUUUUUGGAGACUUGUUAUCUCCAUGUAUCAGUACUCCCUACCGUACACCUUUUCUUUUAGCUACCCUAGCCCUGCUGGCUGCGACCUUCGGGCUAGGAGCUGCACUAAACUUCACGACUCGACCUCCUGGUCUUCUCGCGCGCGACUUCGCCCUGCUGGCUUCGACCUUUGGGCAAUCCAUAUGCACGAUCUGCACGAUCAGCGACCCUCCAGCACAUCUGUUGAUAGCGCCUGUCCCACCAAGAAUCGUCAUCUUAAGUGCGUCGACGUGCUCGCAUAUACCCUGAUCGGGGCCACCUUCACACACCAGCACUACGGAUAGUGUGCUACCAUCCCCUGUGCGAUAGAUCUUCCAAAUGCUCACAUCCAACUUCGACACCCUUAGUUGGAAUGUCCGCGGCCUCAAUGCCCCUGCGAGAUGCAUGCUUGUUCACGACACUCUAAAAGACACGCCUUGUCAAAUUGCGUGCCUUCAGGAAACCAAAUUAAGCCAGAUCGACGCUUCUCUGGCUGCCUUUUUAGGGGGUUAUCGACUGUCAAGCUUCGCUUUCAAACCGGCGCAAGGCACUAAGGGAGGAAUACUCAUCCUUUGGGAUUCUAACUUCAUCGAUCUGACGGAUAUCCAAAUUGGGAGCUACUCGCUUUCAGCAACAGUUUCACCGAAAAACUACGACACCGACUUCCGCCUUACGACAGUCUACGGCCCUUCCAGGACGAACCUAAAGCCAGCUUUCAUGCAGCAUAUGCGCAGUAUGAAGCCUGACAACGAUACCAAAUGGCUUAUUCUUGGCGAUUUCAACCUCAUAUACAAGACACAAGACAAAAACAAUAGACGCUUGAACCUCAGCCAAAUGCGCCGUUUCCGCAACACCCUCGCUUCUUGUGGUCUCAAGGAAAUUCACCUACAGAACCGCAAAUACACGUGGAGCAACGAACGCCGCCAGCCUACGAUGUCACGCCUCGACCGCUUCUUCUGUAAUGAAGCCUGGGAUCUCGCUUUCGAUGACCUGACCCUCCACGCCUUGUCCUCCUCCCACUCUGACCACUGCCCUCUGUUACUAGCACGUUUAUCCGGCCCACGCCAACCGCGGCCGUUUAAAUUUGAGAACUUCUGGACAAAGCUGCCCCACUUUCAAGACAUUGUAAAGCGAGCUUGGUGUUCACCAACACAUCAUACUGAGCCUUUCCACCGCCUAGGGCACAAAUUACAUCUAACGGCACGGGAGCUACGGAAAUGGAGCAACUCCAUAAUCUCGGACGCGAGACUGAAGCUACAGAUGGCCCAAGUGGUGAUCCUCCACCUCGAUUCGGCACAAGACGUCCGACCGCUUUCGGAGGCGGAAUUUGAUCUACGAGCUAAACUCAAAAAACGUGUCCUAGGCUGGGCCGUGAUUGAACGUGCUCGAAGGCGACAGGCAUCGCGCGUUAAAAACCUCCGAGAGGGCGAUGCCAACACGCGCUACUUCCACCUAAAGGCCAACGGGCGACGACGGAAAAAUUACAUCCAAAGACUGCGAUCCGAUUCUGGAUGGGCACUUACGCAUCAAGACAAACAAAAAGUCAUCCACGACCACUUCUGCAAUUUCAUGGCAGCACCGCAGCAACGUUCGCGGGAUCUACGGUGGGAAAUUUUGCCCAACUCCCAGGAAGACCUUUCGGACCUCGACCGGCCCUUUGACGAACUAGAAAUCUUCCACGCCAUCAAACAGCUUCCGCAUGAUCGGGCACCUGGCCCUGACGGAUUCACUGGUCUAUUUUUCAAGACAUGCUGGAACAUCAUUAAAGGUGACAUGAUGGCAGCGAUCGACGCCUUCUACAACAUCCGAUGCAACGACCUUAACCUGCUUAAUAAGGCUAACAUCGUCCUUAUACCCAAAAAGGAAGGUGCGGAGGCCAUCCAGGAUUUUCGACCAAUUAGCCUUAUCCAUGCGGUUGCAAAAAUUAUCACUAAAGUCCUGGCACUCCGUCUACGACCUCAUAUGAACGCCAUCAUCUCACCCUGCCAGAGCGCAUUCAUCAAGGGCCGUAGUAUCCACGACAACUUCCUCUAUGUCCGAAACACUGCCCGACGUUUACAUCAAAAAGCAGCACCGGCCCUGUUCAUGAAACUCGAUAUCUCAAAAGCCUUCGAUUCAGUACGAUGGGACUACCUCCUUGAACUACUUCAACAUAAAGGCUUCCCUGUUCGCUGGAACCAAUGGAUCACGGCCCUUCUUGCCACCUCGACAUCAAAAGUACUACUGAAUGGGGCGCCUUUGCCGCCGAUUCAUCACGGACGAGGUCUUCGACAGGGCGACCCUCUUUCUCCCCUCCUCUUUGUUCUAGCUAUCGACCCACUACAACACAUCAUCUCUCAAGCCACCCAGAGGGGUCUCCUUACUAAGCUAGGAGGACGCGCAGCACGGUUCACAACAUCCCUGUACGCUGAUGAUGCGGCGAUUUUCAUUAAGCCAACACGAAAAGACAUAACCAACUUGACGAACAUCCUGCAGCAAUUUGGCGAAGCCACAUGCCUACGUACAAACCUGCACAAAACACAGAUUGCACCCAUCAGUUGCAAUACCGUCGAUUUGGAUCACUUACUUCGCGAUAUGCCGGCAACAAGAACAACAUUCCCAAUACGCUAUCUGGGUAUCCCACUCACGACAAGGCGCCUAAGGAAAAUUGACUUCCAACCCCUCGUUGAUAAACUGGCCGGCAAGCUAUCAGCAUGGACGGGUCGUCAGCUAACCCAAGCUGGCAGAAUAACCCUCACAAAAUCGGUCCUCUCGGCACAACCGGUAUAUUUUCUCACAGCUAUCAAACCGAGUAAAGAGGUGCUCCAGGAUAUCGACAAAAUCCGGAAAAAAUUCCUAUGGGCAGGGGACCAGCAACUUACUGGAGGCAAAUGCAAAGUUAACUGGACGAAAACCUGCCUCCCUAAACAACAAGGGGGCCUGGGUAUCCCGGACCUUGAGACAUUCGCUCGAGCCCUCCGUCUCAGGUGGCUCUGGCACGAAUGGGUAUCCCCGGAAAAACCCUGGAACAACACGGGAACCCCUUGCGACGAAGCUGACAGGAAGUUGUUCGCGGCAUGCACCUCCAUCACUCUGGGAGACGGCAAGAAAACUAGCUUCUGGUCAUCCGGAUGGUUGCAGGGCCAACGCCCUAAGGACAUCGCCCCGCUCCUUUACGCCAUUUCGCGCCGAAAGAAUAGGAGCGUCCAUGAUGCUCUCAGUCGAAAUAACUGGUUACGCGACCUUGUGAUCGACCAUAACAUCACCGUUUCUCACCUAGCGUCGAUUGCACAGUUGUGGGAAAUGGUCAAUACUACGGAACUCAGAUCAGGGGAGGACGACACUAUCACCUGGAAGCUGACAAGCUCAGGACUAUAUACUACGGCCUCGGCAUAUAAAGCACAAUUCCUGGGUUGCACCGAAACACCACACGUUUCCUCCAUAUGGAAAUCUUGGGCACCACCAAAAUGCAAAUUCUUCGCGUGGUUAAUUACGCAGAACCGAAUCUGGUCCGCUGAUCGCCUAGCCAAGCGAGGCUGGCCGCACAACACUUCCUGCGUCCUAUGUCGUUCCGCUAUGGAGACUGGACACCACCUUUUAGCUGAGUGCCGAUACACACGGAGAAUCUGGAACCAAACGGCGACAUGGCUAGCGCAGCCUGCACUACGACCAAAUGAAUGGAGACCUUCAGCCAAUGCUAUCGAGUGGUGGACGGCUAUCACCACAACACCGGACUCGCCACGUAAAGCUCUACGCAGCCUCACCCUUUUAAUCAUGUGGGAAAUUUGGAAGGAAAGGAAUGCACGUACUUUCAAUCGGCAUGAAACAUCACCGUCAACCCUAAUGACGAAGAUCAAAGACGAGGCCUCCGCUUGGCUCUUGGCAGGGGCCAAAGACCUAGCGACUUUACUAUCUCGCGAGUAAUCACGUUUCGGCCUCUAGUGUUUUUUCUUCUUUUUUCCUUCCUUUUCGCUUUUCUAUCCCGAUCUGUCGGGACUCCAUCUGUUUUUUCCUACUAUAUCAAUGAAAUAGGCACCGUCUCGUGCCCGUUCGUUCAAAAAAAAAAACAUGUGCCACGGGGACCGGGAGGCGGGAGUGGCACCGGGGCGCCAUCCGGGCAGUCAGGAGGCUCAACGAGGAGAAGGGCUACGCCGUCGCCGUCAUGAUGGACACCGAGGGCAGCGAGAUCCACAUGGGGGACCUCGGCGGCGCCUCAUCGGCCAAGGCGGAGGUGAGGUGCUGUGCUUGUAUGUAAGCUGCUGUCCAGUUUUGGACUUGGCGUUGCAGUUUUCAGUUUUCAGAUUGAACGUAUUCCGUGAAAUGUGCUUGUGCAAUGUGGCAAUGUGGAUGAGAGGAACGGGUGGUGGCAGUGGCAGUGUCAGGCAUUGCCGUUUCAUACUUCUGCAAAACCUAGCGAGUCAGGAUUUCACCAAAAUGUUUUUUUUUCCAUCUUCGAAAUGGCUCAGUUGAUUUAGAUUUUCAGCUCAUGUUUGAAAUUGUUAUAGAAGGAAAAACAUUCAGAAUUUCAGAUUGUCAUCAAACACUGGAUUGUGAAAGUGGUAAUCAUUUUCAAGGCUUUCAAUCUUUCAAAAAAAAUUCAAGGCUUUCAGUAUCAGUGCAACUCAAAUAAAGUGCAUGGUAAACAUCACCAUGUUUUGGCUUUCUCUGCAUAUAAGACACGGUGCUGGAGUCGUUCGACCGCGCUGAGGUCCCAAUCCAACCGGUCAGGUUUUUUCAAGGUGUCGAGUUUGAGUGCUUACAUGCGUUGGCCCCAUUCCAACCGGGCGAGUCUUUAUUUUAUUUUCGUUUCUUUUCCUUUUUUUUGCCCAUGGCCUCCCAGGGCCGUAGUCUUGUAUUUUCUAUUAUAUCAAUAGAAACUCGCACUAUCUUGUGCGGUUCGUUCAAAAAAAAAAGUGAUAGGCAUUGAGCUUCUGAAGGUCGUUGUCUAGAUAUUAGGCCCAAGCCUCAAUGGCUUUUUUUCCCUGUUGCAAACCUUCCUGUAAGUAAAGGGCACACCCAGUGCGAAAGCUCCCACACAAGGUGGGGUUUGGGGAAGGGAAUUCCUAGAUAGCCUUACCCUUGCAAAAUUCUUUUAAAUUUUUGCAAAGAGGUUGGUUCGAACCCAGGACCUCCGGGCCACAAGUGGAGAGUUUUACCACUGCGCCAGGUCCGCCCUUCCAGCAGAAUCUCUUAUGCUAGGUUUAAUUUGAAUUAGCUUUAUUAGUAGAAUGCUUGGCCCAUUUAUUGGUAAAUGGUAAAAUUCAUAAAGAUUAUCCUCAUUCCCUUAAUCAAUUUUAGGUGUUUAACUUGCAGCAAAUUCGAACAAUGACAGACAUGCAGCAUAUUGUUAGUUCAUCUGUAAGACUUGGCUUGCUGGUUUAAUGCUUUGUUAAAGGUUUGAAGUUAAUGUGUCUACUGGUAGCUAUUGAAUCUCUUUAUAGUUUAUUUAUAUCUUUUUUCUUUAUUAGUAUAAAGCCAUGUAGAAGUUUUCAGAAUACUGAAAUUUCUAGUGUUCGUUUUGUGGAGUCUCUGCACCUACAUCCUUUUUUGCAACUGCAUUUCAGAUCCUUCAGUUAUAGCAUGAAUAAUUUUUUAAAAAAGAAAAUUCUAGGUAGAUUCUUGCCCGUAGUUAAUGGUAGUGUCCGAUGAUAGUUGUGUUUUAGAUAAUACAUUAAUAUUAGUAAUCCAAAGAAACUAAACUACUUCCAUGAUGCUAACUGUCAUCAGUGCUAGCUAGGGUCACUAUACCAAAAAGGAGAUUCUAUCACCAUUCGGCUGUUUAUCUUAAGUUUUUAACCAUACAGUUAGAAGUUUGAUUGUACACCUAUUCAAUAAUCCAAGGUUUUCUUGAGCCACGUUAUUUACCCAAUGACUUCCAUUUUUCUUGGUAUUAAAACCUUUCUGAAGUAAUUAACAAAUCAUGUCACAUUUGUUGGAUUCCACAGGAUGGAGAAGUCUGGACAUUUAGUGUUAGGUCAUUUGAAUUGCCUCUCCCAGAACGAACUAUUAAUGUGAAUUAUGACGGGUUUGCUGAAGGUAUGUAAGCUGACCUAUUUGUUGAUAUCUUUUUCUGUUAUUGUUCACUGCCAUAAUUUUGUCCUACACAGAUGUGAGAGUUGGUGAUGAGCUUCUUGUGGAUGGUGGAAUGGCUCGGUUUGAGGUGAUUGAGAAGUUGGGACCAGAUGUUAAGUGUCGCUGCACAGAUCCUGGUUUAUUGUUGCCACGUGUGAAUCUUACAUUCUGGCGUGAUGGCAGUAUUGUCCGUGAGAGGAAUGCUAUGCUUCCUACAAUUUCAUCAAAGGUAAAUGCACUAGCAUAAUAAAUUUCUUGCUGUAAUUACCAAAAGACCGCAAAACUUUGUUAAUCUAUGCCACCCCUUGGUACUAGUAUUGCAAUGGAUUUACAGCUUGUUUUUUGUUUUGUCAAUGCCAUGGUCAGUUCAAAACAACAUGUAUUAGUUCAAAGCCUUACAUUGUGCACUGAAACUCAUGUCUUGAUAGUUUUUAUCAGCUAUUUCUUAAGAAGGCUUCUACCACCUAGAGUUGUUUAACUGAAAAUUUAAUCUUCUAGUAGCAGAUACUAAUAUUAUAAGUUUAUAAUAAUGCUGCUCCUACCCCCGACGCAGCUUGCCGGAGGCCCUUGACGCAGCGCCGCCAUCCGCAAGCCCUAACGCCGCCGACGCGCCCCUCUCCUCGGUUGAUUUGGGAAGGCGCGGGACUGCGGCAGGGAGAUUGGGAAGCAGAGCUUCCUGUUCCUCGUCUGCUACUCUGCUUCAAUUGGGCACCGGGAAAAGCGAUGCUGCCGGGUGCUCGGGUUCUUGGAGAGGGGAUGGAAUGGAAUGAUGGAUCGAUGCGGGAUGCGUUGCUGUUGCUAGCGGCUUCUGAUUGGAGAGAGGAGAGAAGCUGGUUGCUUGUGUUACCGUGAACGUGAAGGAAAACAGAGUAGGGAGGAGAGCAAGCUGCUGGUGCAGGAGCAUCAUGGCUACGGCAAUGGCAGCGGUGCGGUUCGUUCCGUCAAAUCCCAGAUUUCGGCCACAUUUGAUUGAUGCCAUUUAAUUUGAUUCCUUAUUGGUCGCCAGCCACGCAUUCGAUUCAUGGACGCGCAGGCCCCGGUGGUGAUGCAAGCCACGGUGGUUCCUGCAUGACAAUAGGUUCUUGUUACAAGACAGUCAUCAGUCAUAUUGUGAAGAACUGAUGACAGUUUUGAACACAAAUAUAGGAUUUCAUCACGAUACACUAGAGGUUUACAAUCAUCAACUACUGCAGGGGAAAAAAAUGGAGCUAGUAUUUUUGAAAAAUGGCCCGAUGUUGAAUCUGUGAUAAUGCAACUUAUGUAGCAGAGCAACCAUGGUAACACAAAAAUGUGCCAAGAGACUGACCUGAUCUUCUUCAGCCUCUCUCCAGGUCAUCCCCGAGCUUCAUGUCAAGGGUGUUGGAAACAACCUGGGAGAACCUACCAUCCUUGUAAUCCUUCUUCAUGAUGAGGAAUCAGUCAGGGACCAUGAACUGGCGGGGGUUAGGAACCACAUUCUUGAGGCGCUCAAGCUCAUCUGGGGACACCUCACGAGCUCUGCACAAAAAUAUUAUUAUCAGAGCUGAACUUCAUGCAAUGGGGCAUUCUAGCUGUAACAUACAACAGCCUACUGGCCCAGUUUGUUAUUGUGGCACAUGGAAAAUUAGUGGGAAAGUGGUGCAAUGCACCCAUCUCAAAUCUCCACCUUCAAAAAACAUGAAUGCCAAAGACUUCUGCAUAGGCUGUCUUUACAUGGCUGAUGUUUUUUAAAACACGUUUUCCAAUGGGCUUCACUCUCAAGUAGAUUCAGAAAAGCUAAUUGAUGAUCGGCACCAAGCCACAGAUGACUGCCACUAAUGAACAGCAGUAGAUAAUUUCUGCCUUGUUGCCAAGAUAGGAAAACCAAACUGAUUGAACAUCUCGCCACAAUUUCUUAGAUUAACUGAGCCCAUCACCUACGGGAAUGGAAGGGGGGAAAAACCAAAAACUGUUACCAACAUUACAAUUUGUCAAAUAAUCUUCAUAUUCGAAUUCCCUUUACAAAAAUACCGCUUUGCCAGACCGGACCAGAAAGCAAACCAAACCUAAAUUCAGUAUAUUUAUACAUGUUGAAUCGUCUCUUGGUCAUGUUUUCUUCAUUGAAAAGAAGUAAUGAGAAGAAACAUUCUUCAAAAAUUACUGAUCAAAACCAUAUUUUCAGUGUGCUACGAUUCUACAGGGACUUCAGUACAAUGGAAACAUUGGUGCUACAACGAAAGAGCUUCUGAUAAAGUUAGGAGUGAUUUUAAUCCACUUGUCAAGUUGGAAACCAAGUGCAGUUAAAGCUACUUCACAAGGGCCUACUUACUCUUCCAAGCACAGCGAUUAAGUUGGUAGUUUAGUUGCGCCAAAAGAACACGUUACACAUAAGCCUAUAAAUCACACUACAGCUAAUCACUCACAGCGACCCUUACCGUCAGGAUCCAAAGGCCUCCACUACAAGAGCCAACGCCAAAAGCCAUUUAAAAACUCACCGUUGUUCAGGUCGAUCAGUCGAUGUCAGCCUUCUUGCAAACGAUGCUGGAGAAGCGGCGGCCGAUACCCCUUGAUGGAGGUGAGCGCGAACAUGAUCUUCCGUUUCCCUUCCACGUUGGUGUUGAGCAGACGCACACUGACGCAGGAUGUGCUGGAAGUCAUCCCCCGCGAUUAGCGACGGCAAAAUCAACCCCAGCUGCACGUCAGACGAAUUGCGCGCGAGGAUGUGAUAUCUCCACAUGGUCCGAUAAAACUAUAAACAUCAAAACCCAAAAUGAUGAAAAUUUAGCAAGAAAAUAAAGACCAGGAGCCAUGUUGAGUCGAUUGGUAAACAUAUUCACUGUGGUAAAAUGCACACUACAGAUAAAGGUCAAAUUAGUCCCUCCAUCCUAGAAUAUAGCUGCUUUAGCAAAUUUUGUUCUAGCAAAUUAGGCAGCAGCACUAGCCAACAAAGACGCAUGCACAUAUAGGCCCACAACGCGCGCCAGAGUCACCUGCUGUGUAGCGGGACAAGUUAAUAGAGGUCAAAUUAGUCUUUUAAUCUCUGUCUGACAUGAGUCCAAAACUAGCUACGUACUGUAUAUUACAAGAUGGACGGCAGAAGCACUAAGUGAAGUAGACUGGGGAACAUGGUAAAAUAGAUGAUCCCAAAGCAAUUUCUAAUAAUAAUGGACCCCCGAAGUUGAAGUUAUAAGAUAUUUAAGGAUACCACUGUUGAAGAGUAAAAGGGUGAAUCGAUACAUAUGAGGGGAAAAAAAGUUAACUACACCAAUUUUCUGGUACUAUACGACUACGAUCAUGAUAUCUUUAUCAUUUAAUGAAAAUAUAAUUACUUAAAUUUGCAGGAUAAAGUCUAUUUUCACUCACCAAAUGUAUUAGAUAAGUAAUUCUAAUUGCAUUAUGUCGAAGUUCAAUUCUAAAAAUAGAAUGAUACACACACUCUUAAAAAAAAUACAAAAUCCAAUUUUUAUAUGCUUAUUAAACAUGUACCUUAUAAAAUGCUAGGAAAAAAGAUAAAUCAUAGAAAAUAUUGCAAAAAUCAGAAAACAAGUGGACAUAAAUUCAGAGAACUUUACUAAACAUCACUAACAAUAAAAAUCAUUGCAUCUAUCCUAUUUUCUAUAAAAUUCCUUAUCUAUGCCAUGGUGAAGAUAAUCUAAAGUAACCAGUGAAUCUGAAUGUAGGUUAUUAGGCCCCUCUGCCAUCAUAAAAACUAUAAAUAACCCGUAAUCUUCAUCUAAAUGAUCUAUCUAAGUUUGCAAAUAAUGUGCCACUAUUAAAAAAAUAACUCCUAAAUUUGCAUCAAAAUUAUCUGCCUCUAUUAUUGAAAAAUACCCAACGUGCUAUUAUACGUAUGCUUCAAAAUUAUCCAAUUUAUCUUUGUUAAUAUAGAAAAACUAUGGUUUUAACUAAACAUGUCAGAAACAUAGCUCGAGUAGUGCAAAAACAAUGAACAUAUGAAAGGAAGAUAAUGUAGAGUAAUUGGUAACUAACACUAUUAGGGAAUGGAUCUUUCGUCCCGAGCCUCAGUACCAGUUGCAUUCCCACCCGGUACUAAUGUGAGCAUUAGUAACAAGCCUAACAGAUAGUCCCUGAAGAGGCCCCCAUGACCCCCUUUAGUCGGGUAGGGGCUCCACCCAGUACUAAAGGUUUCUCCCUCCGUUCGCGCGAGGACUUUUGCACCGGCGCCCUCGAAAGCCUUAAUUACCCAGCUCACCCUCCACCUCCCUUAUCCUCUUCAACCAGCUCCCUCCACCUCCCUCAGCUCCUUCUCUCCCUCCGCUCUCCACCAGCACCCUCUUCCUUCCUCCCCAGCCUCCCCUCUCCUCCCCCUUUGCUCGCCCCUCACCUCGUGCCUGACGUGAGGAGGGUAGGCGGUGAGGCGCGGCGGGGCGAGGAGCGGCGGAGGGCGAGCGGAGAGGCGGAGGCGGGGCGGCAGGCGGCGACGGCGGAGUAGGCGGAGAGGCGGAGGCGGCAGGCGGCGACAAUGGAGGAGGGCAGCAGGGGCGGCGGGAGCGGAGGAAGGCGAGCAGGCGGCGCCGCGGCGGAGAGCGAGCGGGUGGAGGAGGGCGGCGACAGGGCGAAGCAGGGCAGGCGGGCGGCGGAGCGGUGGGCAGGGCCGAGGGGAUUUUAUUAUUUUUAUUUUUUAAUACCGUUUAGUACCAGUUAUUUCAACCGGUACUAAAGGACCCCUUCUAGUAACUAAUUGUCAGUACCAGUUGGACAACCGUUAUUAGAGGGGGUUACCGACCGGUACUAAAACCACAUUCCCUAGUAGUGUAAACUCUAUCACAACCUGAUAAAGAUAUAAAAUGUAUAUAUGAGUAUUGUGUUAUAAUAUCGACAAAUGUCGGAGCAAAUACAUUGAAUUUUAAUUAGCUGUGGACGCAAAUUUAUCUAUAAUCCUUAUAAUAUUUAUAUUUCCUAAAAUUAUGUGUCCGUGCGAGAGCACGGGUUGAUGGACUAGUUAAGAUCCAAAUCGGUUUGAAAAUAUUUAUUAUUAUAUUUUACAAAUGUACCCCUAAAUUGAUCGCGAUCCAAAUCGAAGGGUGUUUUGAAAAUAAUCAUCCGUCAUGACCCAAACAGCUCCAAACAUACUGAUGUCCAACAGAAAAACAGCACCAAUUUCCAUGGAGACGCUGCAAGACUGCAAGGCCGAUCACUUGUACAGUUGUUGAGACGAUGACUGCUGGCCUAACCUCCUAGGGUCCCCUUCCAUUGUCUCCUUCGGCGUCAGCUUCUCCGACGCGACAUGGCGAGCAACGUGGACCGCACCUUGUUGCUGGUCAUGGCCAGGGGCCCGGCGACCUGGUGAUGGCGCUCGCCGACAUGCUGCAUUCCGUCCAGGUGACGAGCGUACCCGGGAGGGGCCAGUAUCUCCGUGUCAUGCGAUCACUGUCUGGGAUGCGACACGGCCUUGAUUGAUCGCCAACACCUUAUCGAUGAGACUGAGGGGUGGUUCAUUGUACCGAAAUAUUCGCUUUUACGCCGUUCUUCCGUCCCAAAAUAAAUUGGAGUUAUCAUUAUAAAAAUAUACUUUAUAAUGGAUCUAUCCGAUGAUACUAAUUUGAUGUUAUAAAUAUAGGCACUAUUUAGACUAAGAUAACUUUAUUCAGGAUAAGACUAGAAAUAAACUUAUUUUUGGGACGGAGGCGCGGCGAAGACGAGACAAGUGUAGGAAUAGUUUGCGACAUCCAACCUACUGUAAAUAAGAACUGUAAAUAAGAACAGCGGUGUUCUUAUCCGUCUUGCUUAAAUUAAUUUAAGCCUAUUGCUAUGGUAAAUGUAUGCCAGGAAAAAAAUAUAGGUGUGCCGAAUUAUUGAGAGAAAGAUCAAAAGUAAAAAAUUGCAUGACAUGUGCACUAAUUCACACCACAUUCACAUAUUGCAAUUGUGCAUAUUAUAGCCAAAAAGUAGGAGUAAUUCUUUGAGUCUACAUAAAAAGUCACUAUCACUAGUAGAGAACUCGGUAUUAGUCCCGGUUGGUAGAGUGCAAAUCUCCCGAAAAUCUAUUCGGGAUAAACUAAUCGAGACAAAAGGGGGGGCUUUUGUCCCGGGUCACUCAACCGGGACUAAAGACCCCCUUUUAUCCCGGUUGGUAAUACAUUACCAACCGGAAUAAAAAGAGUCACCACGGCGGGCGCUACAAAAAAAUCCUCCCUCCCCCCCCCCCCCACACACGCGCGUCACAAGUCACAUGAUUUUUCACGCGAAAUAUGGGCGUGCGCGCUGCGUGGGAUUCGAACCCAUGACUCCAGCCUCGCGCGUAGCUUCCUUGCCAUCCCACCUACACAUCACAUCUAACUGUAUAGGGGAUGCAAUCUUUUUGUAUUAACUCGUGGGGAUUCUUUUAUCCCGGUUGGAAACACCAACCGGGAUAAAAGGGGGGUCUUAGGGUAUUUUUUUUCCACUAACCUUUGCAACCGGGAUAAAAGGUCCCGGUUGGUGAGCCUCCCGCCAGUGAUUGAGCUUUAGUCUCGGUUGGUGAAAUUUUUGCCCCGGACCAACUUUAAAUCGGGAUAAAAGGGGGCGUAUAGAAGGUGAGUUCUCUAAUUAGUGUAUUGUGCUCCACUGCCGGAGAAAUGUGGUUAGAUUGCAAAAGCUUUUAAUCAAGCACGACAAUAUCGAUCUUGGGGCAGUGCUGGCACCUCACCCUCGGCCAACUCCUGCUGCUGUCAGAGUCGCCCCUGUGCACUCUAGAGGCUUUCUCCGUGGCCGCAACCUUGCCCCGUGCCAGGUUGCUCUCACUUGCUCUUGCUCUACGAGCCUCUCAGCUGCUUGCCUACUCCGGCUCCGCAAAUUCGAGUUGUCGAUCGGUGACGCUCCUGCUCCACGCGCUCGCGCGCCAACGUCGGCGGAUGGGUCGUUCAUUUUCUUUUUAGAGGGUACAUCGAGGGCGCCACGACCCACACACUCACACCUACCACUAAACGCGCAUGCGUGUGUACCUUGGACCUAGACCGGGAUCUCCCGACGGUAACGAGAAAAAUUAAUCCCCGGUACCAAGCGUCGAUCCUUGGGAUCGAACUCGUGCCUGGCCGCUCGCGCACCUAGCGAGCGGACCAACCGAGCAACAUUUGGUAUCCGUUCUUUUGAUUGAUUCUGAUUUGGGUCGUUCACUGGAGCCUUCUUUUCUGGGCUGCUGUUGGCCCGGCAACAUGAGGACCCAUAUUCAUGCUUCAUCUCCGCUCGCUCGUUCUCAUCUUCCAGACUCCAGCCAUGGCGAUCGAUGCCAGGCAAGGCAGAAAUUGGGUGCAGCCCGGAUGCGAAACACGCAUCCGGUGCAUACCCACUGCCCCCGCGCGACGCGUGGAAGAAAACUCCAUCCGACGGACGGCGCUAGCCCCGGCGCCCAAACACGCGUACGUCCUCGGCUCGGCUCCCUCCCAGCGCUGGCGUCCAAGCAAGACGGCUCGCUCGGAUCCCAGGAGGCCAGGAGACGGAGGAGUUUGUUGGAGUUGUUCCAAAUUCACUCCAGGAAAUAGGCCGACCUUCCCGACCCUUGAUACUCAGGGUCGGGCGAGGCGGAGGAUCUCCCGACCCCGGGACUCGGGGCCGGGCGAGGCGGAGCGUCUUCCGACCCCUGGACUUUGGGGUCGGGCGAGUCGGAGCAUCUCCCGACCCCAGGACUCGGGGUCGGGCGAGUCGGAGAUAGACCCUCAAGGGGUCAGGCGCAUCCGACCCCAAGCUGGAGGUCGGACGAGGCGAAGUCUCAGGCGCACCCGACUCCUGGACGAGGACGACUCAAGGUCGGACGAGGAGGUUUCCAUCCUCGCACGGGACCAAGAGUCCGUACCGCUCAAUACCCCCUGUUGGGGUGUCGGUACUAUAUAUACUAGCACCCUUGCUAGGGUUUUGUACCGAGAGUCAGAAGAGAAAAAAGAGAGACAGAGAGAUUCUCUUGUAAGCCGCCAUAGGCGUGUAACCCCAAACUCUUGAUAUAGUGAGAUUGUUGCCGGCUGGUGCCCGUGGUUUUUCCUCUUCACAUUGAAGGGGUUUUCCACGUAAAUCGUAUGUCUUCUUGCGGUUUGAUUCUUUACUUCAUAUUCCAUACGCCGUUCGUUCCUAACAGGACGCGCACCGGAUUGGCCGCCGCCGCGGAGGGGACGACGACUCAGCUUCCCGGUGCUCCGCGGCCGAGCUCCGUCGGCGCCGCGCUGCCCUUCCCGGCCUCCGCCAUGGUUGGGCCGACCGCCGCCGCUAGGUCCAUCUGCCGUGGCCGGAGCGAAUGCCGCCGCCGGAUUCUUGUGUAUCUGCAACCAGAUCAUUGGUCCUUCAACUGAACUGUCAUUCAUAUCAUCCCCUCAUCGCAACAGAUCAUCUCACUCUAUCAAAGCUGCAGCGUCAUAAGAGAAGUCUGCUAUCACAUUCAGAACUUCGCACACUGUUCUUUUUUAUAAAAAAAAAACGAACCGGGCAAAAGUCCGCACACUGUUCUUGAACAAGUGAAAUGCACAAUAACGAAAAAUCAGUCGUAUAUCGAUAACUACUAUUUUUACGAGUCGCUGUUUGUGCAACAUCAUAACUAGCACGAGUAAAAAAGGUUAAUGAGGAAAGGGCAGGUCAUAAAGCGUAUCUAGCUACAAGAAAGCAGGGAGCAUUCCUUAGAGCUAAAGGCCAUUCAGUUUUCAGGCUCACCUGCCUGGCGGUGCUCCCUUUCUGCCCUGCCUCUGCAUGUGGACUCAGGACAUGGGUCACAGUCAUAGUGAGCCCACUAUUAAGUGCACAUGAAAGUGAUCAGUACUUGAUGACUUUUGUGCUGCUCUUCUUUCACUUGAAAAUGGCCUGGGAGCAUAAUAAUCAUGCGUGCAUCCUCCAUGAUAUCCCUACCAAAUCAUCAUCCUACCUUUUUUUUUGGUUGCCGCCUUUUGUAUAUAUGGUUAGUGUAAUAAUUUCCCAACCAAUCAUCACCUUGUGCACUUACUUCUUGUAGGGCUUGAAAAUAGGAUAGGCAUUCUUCAACCACUGAGGCGAAAUAACCACUAAACUUCAGCACACAACUGGAACAGUUUGGUCUCACAGCAACUAAACUUCUCAUCGGCUCUGAAGGUUGGCAUUUCCUUCCAAGACUAGAUCACUUAAACUUAAGGCUAAGUGAACAAACAGAUUAAAUUCCCUUGUUUGUUUCACACAGAUUAGUUAAACUGAACUAAAUCUUGCCAAAUCUUGCUGACAACAGCAUUUCUGGUGAGAGGAUAUAUGGUAUGGCCUCAUCUCUUCCUUUUAGUCCUCGGAAGUGAUUGAGCAGUAGCUGAUGUGAGCUUCUCAAGGUGUUUGUUGUUUAGCUAGCUAGGGACUAUAUGCAUGGGUCUUUUGAUUGCUACGCACAUAAACUGCAUGACGAGGUUCUGCACAACAUCACGGUUUCUGAAUGUGCCUUUUUCUCCUAGAUCCUAAGGAAACUAGUGCUUAGAACACUUGAACUGCAUUCAUGCGUGUCAAAAUGUAAAAUUUCUGAUGGAAGCUUCUUUUCUUCUGCAUUGGCAAGCCAAAAUUAACAUAAAAAUGUUGAAUUAUUCUGAAAAUCUGAACACAAAUGGCAGCAAAUUAUUCUAAAAAAGAACAGCAUAUUAAAUUAGAAAGAGAAAUGGUGCUUACUUUCCGAAUUGAUUGGUGACUCUAGUGCUUUAACAAGAGAUUUACAUGGAAAAAAAUUGGAUGGACCCUGGGCUCAUUGCGUCCACCAUGAGCUCCCUCCCUGGAUGAAGGACGCGUGGAGACGCGCUGCAUCAGACGGUCCUGGAAUCGAGCGUGGCCGUCCGUGGAGUUAGCGGCUCGUUCAGCAUCGAGGACGUCCCGGCUUGGCUUCUCUUUCCGUCGGCUUGGCUUCUCUUUCCAUCGGGGAAGAGUCCACGUUUGUCCACAUCGCGACUCUCUCCUACGAUGCCGCCGCCGCCUCGCGUGCGACCUGCGUCGCCGUCCGACCUGGCCGUGCCUCUUCCCCGAGCGCCAUGGCCGCCAUCUGGAUCUAGCCACGCCCGGUGUUGGCUACGCCGUGGCCGCGCCUCUUCCCCGAGCACCCUUGCUGUGUACCGGCAGCCGUGCCCGGCGCCGCCUAUGCCGUCGAUUCGCCCGCUGCCUAUGCCGUCGAUUCGCCGCCGCCUGGACCUUAUACCCGGGUGCCCUCCGCGACAGUCUGCUGGCCUACGUCGUCGCCGUCCGAUGCCGUGCUUUUGCCAGGUACGUGGCAUUGGGAAUUUAGUCUGAAUGUAGAUCUGAAUUUUUUCCAGAACUGAAGAAAAAUUGGGUCUGAAAUUUGUCUUUGAUUCAUGUUUUGCAGUAACUAGAAGAUGAGAUGCCGUACUCCUUUGAAUAUACGAUUUGUAGCAACUCUGAAUGUGCUGCAGUAUGACUGUUAUUAGUUUUUUGCUGGAACAAUAUGAUGAUGUGUAAUGUCCCUGUUUGAUCCGGAUUUCCCAAAUGAUUUUUCCAUGAAUCAUGACUGUUUUACAGAAUUACAGUGAAGGGAAAAUACAGUGAAGGCGUGAAGCAUGGCUCCCUUCAAAAAUGCUGCAGUAUGGCUGCCCAGCAUCACUACAAGAUGUUUCUGGCCUUCUGGGGGAGCAUCAGUAGACUACAUGGGUUUAUGGCUUAUUUCGGCAAGAAGCAAGGCAUCCGGAAGAUAGGAUGGUGAACAAGAUUUUUUGAUAGGAAAGAGUUGAAUCCGUGUAAACAAUUGUAUCAGUUUAGAGUUGAUCUUUUUUUUGAGACAAUAGCAGUUUGACAGGAACUAUGAACAAUUUGGUGCCUUUCAUUUAUGCUGUUGAAGGAUGUAUCAGUAAAGAGUUCAUUGAUACUUGUAAAAUGUGAUUUUUAUCUGAAAUAUAUUUGGAUGUUUUGAAAUCAGCAGUGGAAUGGAUGUCUUAAGAAUCUCAUUGUUUCUCUGAAUGCAUUGUUCUAAAAAGCUCCUAUUCAGAGCAAAAGAGACUUUCUAACAGCAAAGCAACAAAGUUACAUAGAUUUAAAGGAGACCAAAAGAGACUUUCUAACAGCAAAGCAACAAUGUUACAUAGAUUCAUUUUUCUUCCACUCCAUCAAAAUGUAACUUUCUGACAGCAGUUUGCAGUGUAGCAUCUUGAUCAACUCCCAUUAAGAGAUUUGUGUAUCCUCCUGAUAUGUAUGGAGCAACCAUUGUAGAAGGAUCAACAAGUAAAUUGAAUUGUGGCAUUGUGGAGAUAGCGUAUCCAGCUUGCACAAAAGGAGCAUCCAUGGCUGAAGAUGGCCCAACAUUAAAAUCCUGUCAUAGAAUAAGAAAGAGUUCAAAAAUCAUGUUUGUAAGGGAAAUUUUUGGAAAAUAGGUAAAUGUCUUACAGUUAAUUGGUUUGUUUCAGCAUGUUCAUCUCUUGUUUGGACAUCAUCAUUUCCCUGAUCUUCACCUACAAUGAAUAUAUAUAUAUGAUAAUACAAUAUUUAAAACAUUAUAGACAUAAGCAAAAGGUAGUGGCCAGGUGAGUACCUUUUUUCUGACCACCCUUCUUCUUCUUUUUUCCUGACUUCUUUUCAACAACAUUUUUGAAACGUGUAUUCUUUGGUCCUUUUAUUACUUCAGGAAUUCUAAAUGAUAUCACACCAUUUAUUGGUUGCUGGACACUUUCAUUUGGAAUUGGAGGAACCUCGUUGGAUUUUUCAUGCAUCUCACUUAGAUAAGUAUCCGCUUCCAGGUUCAAGUUAUGUAUGGCUUUCUGCAAUUUAUCAAGCAGUUCUUGUGAUGGCGAACACUUCAGUGCAAGAGAUGUGGCCUGUCGAGAUAUAAGUGCUGCCUGUGUCUUCAAAUCUCCUUUCUCAGUUCUUUUUUUCUCAAUAUAAAAUCCAGUUUUCGCGUAUUUUGUCCAUCUAGGCAAUAUAUAUUGCGAUGGCAAAUUGUAUACUCUAUUUGUAUUGAAGACUCUGAGAGCAUGCUUGCACAAUAGACCUGUAAGAUAUAGUUGCCAAUUACUACAUAUAUUACAUACAGCUUACAGUGUAUAAAUCUAAAUGUAAAUAGUACACAUACCUAUGGAUUCAAACAUCCGACAAGAGCAUGUAAUGGUGGAAUCUUCAGUGUUCAAUACUACCGUUGCUCCAUGGUCAGACUCCAUAUAUUUAACAAAGAAUGUCAAGUUUGUCCUCACAGCUUCCAACAAAUCACAAGUCAAUGUAAAUUGUCUCUUAAAUUCUUCCUCAAACUCCGAAUACAUUCGCCUUGUAUAUGAUUCAGCUGCAGUAUUCAACAUUGGUAGACUUGGAAUAUAUGGAAUCGGAUUCUUUCGGCGUGACUGAAAAUCAGCUUCCAACUCAUUUGCUUGGAGACUAACUGCAACCUUCUCACAUUCUACAAGGAGUUCCGAAAGACCAAGUCUCCUACGAAAUUGUUUCUUGAAAACAUUAUUCAUACCUUCACUCCUCUGGGUUGAGUUCAUGUCUGCUGUAAAAGAGUCACGAUAUAUUGCAGCCCAUUUUGUCCUCAAAGCAUAUAGGUUUGCCAUCCAAGAGUUAUUCUCAAGAUUGUAUUUAGCCAAUAGUUCUUGCCAUUUCUCUAAGAAAUAAGUCUCUGACCUGUUUUCGUAAACACAAUUUUUAAAAUCUGUUAGUAACUUGUUACCUUUCUUAUCCGCCUCAUGAAUUUCAUGACUAAGAUGUUUAGCGGCAUUUAAGCAAAUGUGCCACAAACAAAGACGGUGGCUUGUAUUUGGAAAUACAUAAGCAAUUGCUCCUGCCAUAGCCACGUCUUGAUCUGUAAAAAUUGUGCUGGGGUGCUGUCCUGACAUUGCUGUUAGAAAGGUUUCAAAGAGCCAAACAAAUGAUUCAAUAGUUUCAUUAAAGAGAAGUGCACACCCAAAAAUUAUUGUUUGCUUGUGAUGGUUGCAGCCAAGAAUCGGAGCAAAAGGCAUUUCAAACUUAUUAGUUUUAAAUGUGGUGUCAAAUGACACAGCAUCGCCAAAGCAUUUGUAAUCCAUGAUAGACUGACCAUCUGCCCAAAAGAAAUUUGCUAUGCGACCAUCUUCCUUGUCUACCUGAAAUGCAUAAAAAAAUGUAGGAUCCUCUAACUGUUUAUUUCUCAGAUAUUCAGAUAGUGUUUGUGCAUCAUUGGCUUCUAAGUACUGCCUGCGCUCGCGACCAAUCUCAUUAUCACAAUCCAUCUUAGCAAAUGGUAUGUUCUCUUCUCCUCCAUAAAACUACUUCAUGAACUCAUAAACUUGGGCUGGCUUCAUUCCAGCUUCUCGUAUCUGCCCAAUUAAUUUUCUAUCUGCCUCUAUAACCUGUCUUUGGGACCUCAACUUGUGUGCCUUAUUUGGGCUAGCAAGAUAGUGAUUGUGCUGUUCUAUGACCUUUUGUACCUUCCAAAUCCCCUCUUUGCUGAUACUAAACUGGACACGAGCAUCACAACCUGUCCUUGUUAUGUCCUUUUGCGAUGCCUCAUUUUCUCGAUGUCCUUGAUUACUGCAAACUAUAAAUUUCUGACAUAGACUUCCAUCUCGGCGGUGCUUUGUCUUGCUCUUUCUAAUACUAAACCCAACCUUGCCGGCAUAGGUGUUGUACAUCUCAUAAGCUUGAUCCUCAAAUUCAAAUGUCAUUCCAACUGUAGGAGUGAUGAAAUUUUGCCCACCUUUACGAACCACCUCCUGUACAUAUGAAUUUUCAAUUAAAGGCGUGCCAAAAAUAAAACAAAAUGUCACAUAUUCUGUAAGUUUGUUAAAUAUUUUUUUACCUCAUCAGGUACUUCAUUCUCUAUGGAUCCAGACGUCUGUAAAAUGGUGCCGAUGUUCUCUACUCCCCUGGUAACCAUGUUGUUCUGUCAAAUAUGGGCAAUAUAUCUCAGAUACCAAACAACAUAGAAGAAAAAACAUUUGUCAAAAAAAAAUGCAGAACGAUCUAAGCAGAUAACUAACCUGUGUUAUCUGUUCGUCUUCUCGACCACCAUCACCAACGGCAUCAAAUUCUAGUGCACGUGAAUCCUCCAAGAGAGAAGAAAAUGUCAUCCGAUCAACAGUUAUCAUUCCAUCUUCUUGGCCUCUAAUGUCUUCCAUGCAGGCCACUGGUUCAUCCAUGGAAGCAACAAUGGAGGAGUGCAAUUGGGCUGGUUCAUCCAUGGAAGCAGUAGUGGAGGCGUGCAAUUGGUCUAGGGCUACUGGCGGCGGCAAACUUAGGGAAGAUGAAACGAACGAGUUUGACGGUCUGACUCUCCGAUGGAAAGAGAAGCCAAGCCGACGGAAAGAGAAGCCAAGCCGGAACGUCCUCGAUGCUGAACGAGCCGCUAACUCCACGGACGGCCACGCUCGAUUCCAGGACCGUGUGAUGCAGCGCGUCUCCACGCGUCCUUCAUCCAGGGAGGGAGCUCAUGGUGGACGCAAUGAGCCCAGGGUCCAUCCAAUUUUUUUCCAUUUAUGGAUAAUUUUGGAUAGGUUUUUCUUACUAGGCAUGACGCCAAGGACGGCAAGAUCAGAAGUUCCUAAGCUCGGGAUAGAUUAACAAAGUAGAUAGAGCUGUUGAUGAAGUAAAAAUACUCAAAGGAACAAGAGACAGACUAACCCCACCCAAAACAGUUCAGCUGUACCGCGUUGCAAUGUCCAGUUUAGUGGUGUCCAAAAUAUUUAAAGGUUUCAUUCAAAAAUAGAGCAAAAAAAACUUUCACUGUGACGAAGGCCUGCGUAAGCCUGCCUAUGAUUCAUGUUAAUCUAAUUUACAAAGAUGAGAUCAUAGAAUGUGCCAAAAACUUUUGGUAAUCAAAUUGUGCAUACACCAAUGCUGAUCCCUAUUGGGUCCAUUAAACCAGACUUAGUCAACUUUGUGGCUAAAACAAUACAAUACAAUAUAUAUCAAAUCUCAUCUGCAGAGUGUAGACGAUCACCGGUAUUGAAUCCUGAAAGAUAUAAACUGAACUAUGGAUAGAAUAUAUUUGAAGGACACGGAUGGAAAGAGACAUACAACAUUCACCACAAGUUCGUCUCACAAAGAAAAAUGAUUAAAUCUGAAAAAAAAUAGAGAAGUUACAUUGAUUUUUUUUGUUUGUCAAUGUGAUUGGGAAAAUUAGACUGUGCAAAAGCUUGUUGAGGACAUUUGUGUUUUUAAAUCAACUAAUUGAUUUAGCGUAUCCAUCAUUCCAUCAAAUAAUAAUUAAGCACGUCAUCAAGCCAGUUGCUCAUAUUAAAUCAUCGUGCCUUUGGCUUAUCCAUUCCGAUCAGAUCAUGCAGUCAGAUGAAAACGAAAUGGCAUGGGAGGUGGUGUUCUAGAGAGCAAUAAUUUGGCUUCUUGCUUGGGACAUCUUCCUGUUGGGAAACGGGUACGCUAACUAUAACAAUUAUGUCUCCCGCGUUUGAUCUAGGAAACUGAGUAGAGGGGGUCAUGGAUCGUUAUCACUAGAAGCGCAGUGUAAGAAGAAUUGGAGCAGCCGAUCCAACGUAGAUGCCCAUCAGUGUAGAAGAAGUACUUGAUUAAGAUUGCCUCGUCCUCAUCCUCGUCCUCGUCCCAGCAGCAACCUCGCACUGCCGUAGCCGAUCAGCACAGCAGCAGCACCUCCACGGAGUCCAAACGUAUGGGAGAGAAACGUCAUGCGCCGGUGUGCUAGCACCGCGCGCCCGGCCAGGGUCUCGGGAUCAGGCUGAGAGGAGGUGGCGGCUAGAGCUGUGGUGUAGUGGAAUGGUGCGCCCCUACCCCACCCCUCAUAUUUAUAGAGUACACUAAUGGGCUGGUAAGCUGUAAGCCCAUUAGUGCCAUAAUCCCUCACGAUCAAUUAUGUCGUGGAUCGUUAUGAUUGUCUCUUAGGUACAUCACCAACACUUUCAUGCGACCGUACCGAGAGCAGAGGUUCUUGAGUCUGUACUAAGAUAGAGAAAUGGGUGCCAUAAAUUACUCUAAUUUCGAAGUAGGCUAAUUUUAGACGCGAAUAUUACUUCAUCCGCCAAAUUUCUAUGGUAAUAUGUUGUUUCAAAUCACAAAAGUUAUAUACUAUGAAUGGAUUUUUUCAUCAUGCAUAGGAUCUCUCUCUCAACCACAACAACCACGCGAUGACACCAUCCUCUCCGCGAUCGCGCCUUGCCACAAGCCUUACCGUGCUUGCUCCACCCGAGUUCGCCGGUCUUGCCGCAGCAGCCGCGACCUUGCACCCCUCCUGUGCACGAGCCGUGUUGCACCAUGGGCAUGCAUCACCGACACCCUUUGCUCGCCAUGUCGUGAUGCCGCCCCUUGCAUCGCCCGAUCGCACCACCUCCACCACGGUGCUCCCGGCCGCACUCCGAUCGACCUGGCCACUGGCCAAGUCUGGCUUUUGCCGGUCUAGACCGCGAGCCAAAGCUGACACCCCAACCCGACAUCGUCUUCACCGGCCACUAUGUUGGCCCAACCACCACGUCUAGCCAAUCCUCACCAACUGCAGCCCAUCAGACGGGCUACUGGUCGAAUCGCAGACCACCGCCGUGCUCCACCUUGCACCACACUGAGCAACUUCCCAACGCCCGUGAGGCAUAAACCUCGCGUCUCCACCUUUCCCCGUGCCUCCUCAUGAUCCAAAACCAACCGUACAACCCUUAUACCAAUUGUUGUGAUAUCGGCACACAAGCGGAAGGGCCGGCCCUGGCGGGCGGCGGGGGGCGGCCGCCCUGGGCCCCAAAUCCCAGGGGGCCACCCUAGGUUCAAGUGUCAAAUGAGUUAGGAAUUAGGAUUAGGACCGGAAUAGCAACGAACGCUGAACGCAGUCACGCAACUCGUACACGUCGUGUAGGGGGUCGCUGCUAGGCAAAACUCAUAUGCGUCGUCUUAGGGGGCUGCUGCGGGGGCCAGCGCCAAAACAUGUACGCGUCGUCCAGGGAGUCGCCAGGGGAUCGCCGCCAGCAAGGGCCGCCGCCAGGGAUCAUAAGGAUUAUCCAAAUCGCAAUUAAAACUCCGAUCGCCGGCAGGGCCACCGCUGCGUCGCGCGCAUCAACGACUGGUUGUUGGACUGCGUCUGCACCAUCAUCCAGGUACGGUACUCAUCGCUGUAUACACGCGCGUGCACAACCCGGCAGCUCGGCGAUUGCUGUUCUUGACCACUCUGCGGCGACCAAUCGGCUUGUUGCUUGCGGACCUUACGGUUGGUGCCAAUUCGCUUUUUGUGACCAGGUGAUUCGAUUGCUAAUUCCUCAAUUCUCCGUACCAUUAAUUAUUAAUUUAUUAUCACAAGUUAUUUAAUCUCAACUAAUUUAUAACUAUUGUGUAUUUAUAAUAAUUUUAGUACUGUAACAUUUGAUAGGUAUAAAUAUCAAGAAAUGUUAGAAGAAACUUUUAAGGUAAUAUGUAUAAAUAAUUUGAUAUGAAUAUUGCUUUUAGAUACAUUUAAAUAUUUAUUGGUAACAUUUUAUAUAUACUUGUUAUAAUGUUUAUAUUAAAGGCUCCAAGUUUUACUUUCGCCCCGGGCCUCCCAAAUCUCAGGAUCGGCCUUGAGCGGAAGCAAUUUGGUUUCAGAUCGAUGGAGGCGGGGAACUUGAGAGAGCAACGACCACACAGGAGGCACGAGAUUUGGUAACGGAGUUCGGCCGAAAUCUACAUCUCCGGGGCAUGCUUAUGGGCGCUCCUCCCUGACCACAGCGACACCAGCCAUCCCGGGCACCAACCAAGCCGGACGGCACCCCCUACGACCCGACCCUGUCUCUCAGUGCUUCUCUUUCUUGUGGUGGUUUGGUUACAAUGGUGGUCCUCUCCUUUUAUAGAGAAGCCGGUACACAUCUACCACUAAACUCUACCCUCUACUAUACCACUAGUUACAACAUCAAGUCCAUGUAACCCCUUUAGUGUAAAUAAAUAUUCGACACAUUUACAACACAAACCAUCCUGUAAGUGUUGCUUCUAGCACCUGGGAAAUAAACACAAGAAUACCUUAUCUAUCUGUGACAUUUGUUACAGAUUUCAUUUCAGCAGCAGAAUCUUUUGCUCUAGGUUUAAUUAGAAGUAACUUAAACAGUAGACUGCUUGGCCCAUUUAUUGGUAAGUGAUAAUUCAGAAGAUUAAACCUAUGCCAUCCUCACUCCCUUAAUCAAUUUUAGGCGUUUAUGUUUUAACUUGCAGCGAAUUCUAACAAUGACAAAUAUGCAGCAUAUUGUUAGUUUAUCUGUAAGACUUGGCUUGCUAGUUUAAUGCUUUUCAAGGUUUGAAGUUAUUAAUGUGCCUACUGGUAGCUAUUGAAUUUCUUUGUAUACUUUUUGUUCUGUCUUAGUGUUAAGCCAUGAGAAAGUUUUCAGAAUACUGAUUUUUUUUCUAAUGCUCAUUUUGUGGAGUCUCUCCAUCUACAACCUUUUAUUGAUACUGCGUUUCAGAUCCUUAAGUUAUAGCAUGGAUAAAUCCAUGUUUCUUUUUCUUAAAAAAUCAUGGGUAUGGGUAGAGAUUCUUGCCCGUAGUUAAUCCUGGGUAUGACACAAAUAUAGGAGCUAUUAAUGUGUGGAUUUGUCCUGGAUCUAUUCUUGUGAGAGUAUGGUCAGUUUUCCAAUGAUCUUAUGAGAGCAUGCUUGUACAGAAAGUGAGCUUGGUGUUUAAGAAUUCUUAAAUUAUUUGUGCUCAUUGUUUAUAUUUCUUUCUGUUCAAAUCAAAGAAAAUGGUCUCACACCCGACUACAUUAAUGUGUGUCAGUACGCAGCGGUUAAGCGGGUGCUCCAGCUGGAAGCGGCCCACUUCAUUAAUGUCCGUCAGGGAGCCACGUGCAAAGCUGGGUGCCACAAAUACAUGUUGAAUAAUUGUAUGGUAGCUACAAAUUCAUACCACGUGCAAAGCUGGGUGCCACAAAUUAUUGUCUGCCUUCACUCAAUCCAUACCAAGCACCUUUGUUUCCCUGCGUUGUGUUGUGAGCUCCAGGCGUUGCCAUGGCUGAGGUACUGGCCACCAUGGUGGUCGGGCCACUGCUGUCCAUGGUGAAGGAGAAGGCCUCCAGCUACCUCCUGGACCAGUACCAGGUGAUGGAGGGCAUGGAGGAGCAGCACAAGCUCCUGAAGCGCAAGCUGCCGGCCAUCCUCGAUGUCAUCGCCGAUGCCGAGCAGCAGGCGGCGAAACAGAGAGAAGGGGCCAAAGCUUGGCUGGAGGAGGUCCGGACGGUGGCCUACAAGGCGAAUGAUGUCCUCGACGAGUUCAAGUACGAGGCGCUUCGCCGCAAAGCCAAGGCGGAGGGUCACUACAAGGCGCUCGGCAUGGAUGUAAUAAAGCUCUUCCCAUCUCACAACCGUUUUGUGUUCCGUUAUAAGAUGGCAAAAAGGCUCUGCAUGAUCUUGCAAGAAAUUGAUGUCCUCAUCGUAGAGAUGAAUACAUUCAGGUUCGAAUUCAAACAGCAGCCGCAAAUGCCCAUGCAAUGGAGGCAGACGGAUGCUUGCAUCCCCACUGAGUCUGUGGACAUUGCCAGCGAAUCAAGAGCUCAAGAGACGAAGGAUCUUGUUCAUCAAUUGCUCAAGAGCAGUAAGGAUCGAUUGCUUGCUGGAGCCAGUAGUAAGGAUCUCAUGGUCCUUCCGAUAGUCGGAAUGGGGGGGUUGGGCAAGACCACCUUAGCACAGCUCGUUUACAAUGACACUGAAAUUAAGAAGCAUUUCGAGUUGCGGCUCUGGGUGUGUGUCUCUGAUGAUUUUGAUGUCGAUUCCCUGGCUAACAGAAUAGUGAAAGAGAAUGGUUGUGAAGCAAGUGGAAGUUCAUCAGCACUGGACAAUCUUCAAAAGGUAGUGAGUGGGAAGAGGUACCUCCUCGUAUUGGAUGAUGUGUGGAACCGUGAUGAGCCCAGCAAGUGGGAAAGGCUGAAGUCCUACCUUCAGCAUGGUGGCAGCGGUAGCUCAGUGCUGACAACAACUCGCGAUGAAGCUGUUGCUAAACUAAUGAUGGGUACAACUGAAGGAGCCUAUAAACUUGGAAGCUUGGAUGAAGAGUCCUUAGGGAAAAUUAUCAAGGCAAGAGCAUUAUUCGGUUCAAAACAGCCUGGUGAACUAGUUAACAUGGUUGGUGAAGUUGCCAAGAGAUGUGCUGGUUCUCCUUUAGCUGCUACAGCAUUGGGCUCUUUACUGGGUACCAAGACCAGCAAGCAAGAAUGGGAGGAUGUAAUAAAUGGAAGCACGAUUUGUGAUGAGGAAAAUGGGAUUUUACCAGUACUUAAACUAAGUUACAAUUGCUUGCCAUCAUACAUACGGCAAUGCUUUGCUUUCUGUGCUAUGUUUCCCAAGGAUUAUGAGAUUGACGUGCAAAUGCUAAUCCACUUGUGGAUGGCCAAUGGUUUUAUCCCAGAGCAAUCAAAAGUGUGUCCUGAAACUUUUGGAGAAAGAAUUUUCAUUGAGCUGAAGUCAAGGUCAUUUUUUCAGGAUUUGAAGAAUGUCCCAUUUGAUGAAAAAUAUUUUAGUUAUGCAAAGGGUAAAAAGGACAUGUAUUGUUCUAGAAUUACUUGUAAGAUCCAUGACCUUAUGCAUGAUGUUGCACAGUCUGCUAUGGGAGAAGAAUGUGCUGCAAUAGCUACACACCCAAGCGAAAGAGAGGAUGUUCUUCGUUCAGUCCGUCACUUGUAUUUGUUAAUCUAUCGACGAGAAACUCUUCUGAAUGCUGAGAAAGGAUCUCCAGCUUUCCAAACACUGAUUUGUGACGGAUAUGAAGGAGAUUUGAAGAUUUUAUCAAAAUACAACUCUAUAAGAGCUUUAAAGAAUAAUAUCUAUUGUGGUUCAAUCCUAAGGCCGAAAUAUCUUCAUCACCUGAGGUAUCUUGAUCUCUCAGGAAGUUUUUUUGUAGCACUUCCUGAAGACAUCAGCAUCCUAUAUCAUCUGCAAACACUGAACCUUUCUUACUGUCAUCGUCUUGAACGACUUCCAAAGCAACUGAAGUAUUUGACUGCCCUCCGUCACCUCAACACUCACAGAUGUGAGCAGUUGAAAAGCAUGCCUGCAGAGCUCGGACGCCUAACUUCCCUACAGACGCUUACAGACUUUGUAGCAGGUGCCGACGACUCCGGUUGCAGUAAUUUGGGAGAGCUGCAGAAUUUGGACCUUGGUGGUACACUGGAGCUAAGCAAGCUAGAAAAUGUGACAGGAGCAGAUGCACAAGCAGCAGGUCUUGGAAACAAGAAAAAACUGACCGAACUGGUGUUAUAUUGGACCGAUAGUAACCAGGAAGCACAGAAUAAUAAUCAUAAAGAGGUGGUGGAAGGUCUCAAACCUCAUGAUGGGUUGAAGGCUCUGAGGAUAAAUCAAUGUGGGAGCAGAACUUUUCCAACUUGGAUGAAUACUUUGAAAGGCAUGGUGGAGCUCAAAUUAUUCGUUUGCAAAAAGCUCGAAGAGCUUCCUGCACUCUGGGAGCUACCAGCUCUGCAAAUUCUUCACCUGGAGGGUCUGGAGAGUUUACAUUGUUUGUGCAGCGGUGGUACUACACCCGUCACAUUUCCAAAACUGAAGGUGCUUACCUUGUUAAAAAUGGCAAAAUUUGAGGCAUGGUGGGAGACACAUGAGGUACAAGGAGAAGAGCCCAUAUUUCCCAAGGUCGAGGAGCUGGAGAUUAAGGAGUGUAACAGUUUGACUGCAUUACCAAAAGCAACGUCGGUGAUUACAGAAUUGUCUGGCAGAGUUGACACUAAGUGCCGCUCUGCAUUUCCAGCAUUGAGGAAAAUGAUCCUAUUUGAGUUGACUAUGUUUGAAAGAUGGGAGGCAGGCGAAGGAAUUUCAGGCGAAGAGGUAACCUUUCCUCAGCUCGAGGAGCUGUCAAUCAUGUAUUGUCAAAGCCUGAGUGCACUACCAAAUGGAGCUGAAACUGUGUGGUGCCGCUCUGCAUUUCCAGCACUGAGGAAACUAGAAUUAUCUAGUUUGUCGGCCCUUGAGAGGUGGGGGGCAGCUGAAGGAACUCCAGGAGAAGAGGUAACCUUUCCUCAGCUCGAGGAGCUGACAAUCGGGUCUUGUCGCAGCCUGAGUGCACUACCAAAAGGGCCAUUAUUGGCUAAGCAACCAUUUGGCAGAGCUGGAACUGUGUGCUGCCGCUCUGCAUUUCCAGCACUGAGAAAACUAAAAUUAUUUUUUUUGUCAGCUCUUGAGAGGUGGGGGGCAGCCGAAGGAACUCCAGGAGAAGAGGUCACAUUUCCUCUGCUGGAGAACUUGAGUAUCGAUGAUUGCCCGAAGUUGACUGAUCUACCUGAAGCACCGAAGCUAAGUGAAUUAUCCAUAAGAACAUAUGGUGAUCAGCAAAUAUCGCUAGAGGCAGCUAGCAGAUGCAUCCCUUCAUUGUCCCGUCUGCAUCUGGAUGUGUCGCCCGAUGACACAGAAACAACAUUGCUGCAUGUCAAGAAGAAAUUGAAUGGUACACUCGCCCUACCAGCUAUGAGGUUAGGUUGCUGCGACGUUUUUUUCUCCUCCCGCUCAAGCGCACUGGCGCUAUGGACAUGUUUUGCACAGCUAGUAGAUUUGAAGAUUUGGUGUUGCGAUGCUCUUGUCUACUGGCCAGAAAACGUGUUCCAGGUCCUAGUAUGCCUGAGGAACUUACAUAUUUCCACAUGUAGCAAACUGACAGGACGCACACAAGCUUCUGAUGAGCAAUCUGCUCCAGCUCCAGAACGUGGUGGACUCCUGCCAUGCCUGGAGUCUCUAAGGAUAGAUUAUUGUCCAUCUUUGGUAGAGGUCCCCAUCCUGCCGGCAUCUCUUAAGACAUUACAUAUUGAAGGCUGUGAUGAAAUCGAGUCCAUCGUAUUCUGUCACCCGGAGGAUACGAGAUUGGUGAGUGGAGAAGGUGUUGUACGGCCGGAUACGUCAUCAUUAAUUCCAGGGUCUACAGCUGUACUGAAGCUGUCAUCUGGAGCCAACCAUCGUUUCCUUCCAUUUCCAUGCCUAGAAUAUCUACUUAUAUGGUAUUGCAGUGGCUUGUCAGAGGUUGCCAAUCUUCCUCCGUCUAUCAAGACCUUGGACAUUUAUUCCUGUAACAAUCUUCAAUCCCUAUCAGGAGACCUCCCGUUGCUGGAAAAACUCGACCUUUUUAGAUGCGAAAGACUGGUAUCCUUACCGGAUGGGCCUCAAGCAUACUCAUCUCUUAGAGUUCUUCGGAUAAUGAAUUGUGAUGGUAUAAAGUUGCUUCCGCCAAACCUUCAGAGCCGUUUGGGUUACCUUGAGAAGAAAGAUCUAGAUGCCCGUUACGAAGGUAAUCUCCAGUUUCUUUGUUUCUUUUAACAAAAUGAUCAGGAGCUCAAUUGCUGUUGCCUAAAAUGCAACUCUGUGCUUAAACAUUCUGUUAGUCAACUGUUGUUGAUAUAUACAUUAUAUCGAGUAUAAUGCACCACUAAUACCUAUAUUUAUGUGCACUUGUGUCACUUAAAUCCAUUAACUUUCAUAUAUUGCACAUUCGAGGUAUCUAAACACUUACAGCUGGAUCAAGAAGUUUAUGCACCAAUAUACACUUCACUUUACUCUAGUCAUCCUUGUAUAUCUCCUUGUUGUCCGUACAAAGAAUUUAACUAUAAGAUGAUCUUUGUGGUUCACUUUUGAUACCUUGGUUGUAAACUUGUAAUUGCUGACUCGAAUCAUGUAAUAAAAUCAAUCAUCUUCCUUUAGUUGUAUUUAAAGCAGCAUGGCAUCAUGGAAUUAUUGCAGCCGAAUUCACUAGCUCCAAUUAAAGUGGCACUGGUCCUAGUGUUUCUCUGGACAUUCACUAGCUCCAUUGUAUACAGUUCAAGUAUGUGUAGUUUUCUUUUCAUGGCUUAUGCCUUUUGACAUAAAUAAUAAUUUUCCUUUGAAACAUUUACUAUUGGGUGCCACAGCAUAUUCUCCUGUGUAUAUAUACUUUCUAACUUUGUGUUGACUUGCAUGCAUAAAUUCUAACAUCAUGUAUGAUCAUGGCCUGAUUGCCAGAACCAACCUGGAAACGUUCGAUCAGGAAGCUGGUGUGCUUGAAAUAGUAGAUCAAGACCUGACCAAAGAAAGUUAUUUCCAAGGUAUUUUUGCAAAAACGUCACCAAGGUUUGUAAUAUUAGUGUUCUUGAUGAUUGAUUUGAAAUGAUGCUAGCUCCUAAUGCUGACUUCCUAUGCGUUGUGACUUCCUUGUAGGAUCGUGCUAGAUCUGCAAAAGAUGGAUUAUUGUGACUCUUGUUUAGAAUGUAUCAUAUGCGCAUUCUCUCCAGUAAAGUUAAGGCAAAGUCCUAGAUUUUGAGCAGAAAACAAGUCCUAGAUUGCAAGCUGAAGAAUUUAGCACACAGAGCUGCAUGCUCCAGUCUUUUAUCCUUAUUUUUUUCUUUUGAACUAUGACGUGUUUGCAUUCGUGUCUGCUUCAGCCUCCAGCACAAGCGAAACACGGGCAGCACUUCCAUUUUAUGAUUUGUUUAUCCACAUACAUGUCCGAUUGACCGCAGAGGAUACUUUGCCAUAGAGUAGACCAACAGUCCAACGUACUCAUGUUGUUGCUCGACAAGCUGUCCAAGCUGCUGCUUGAUAUGAACUGAAAGUGCUGAGUUUUCUCCCGUGUAUGUUCUGUGUAUCAAAUACUGAAUGGUGUGCAGGGUGAUCCUCCAUCCUGGAAUGGCACGGUCUUGUGCAGAGGUCUCAUUGUUGUUGACCUGUUUCUUCAAAACUGCAUGUGCAGCAACAUUUUCUCCUGGCAGUGCUGCAAUGGAAUUGAAAAGAAUGGUGAUUGUUAUAGUAUAAUUGUCAUAUAUAGUCUGGGACACAAAACAAUGGAGGUACAUGAGCAAGGAAGAAGCUCUGGAGGCAGGGGAUGGAACAGAACAGAGACACGGACUCUGUCUUCUUCCGAAUGCAGCUCCUCUGUAUUGGCGAUGAAGGACCCUACAAGUUGGUUCUCAUAGACAGAAUUGAGAGCUACGGAUGUCCGCUCCCAAGAACGAACUGCCAGAGCAAGAAGAUGAACGUAAUCUGUAUAGAUAAAAAAAUUUAACAGAAGUUUUCAUGAGUUAUCCUUUGUCUGGGGCCAUAGUACAAACCCUGCAUUUCGAAUUUGGGACUGCCCUCCUGUAUGGUGUGACCUAAAUUUUAACAAAAAUUAUCCUAGUGUGGUGUGGCUACGGUUGUUUCAUACGACUAGUGGUGGUACCCGUGCGACCCGCACUGGUUUAAAAAUAUAUAAUAAAAACAAACUUAUUAUUCAUGAUAUUAAAUACGUAUAAUAUACAAAUAAAUCUAAUAUAUAAAAGAUGUCCCAAACAAACUACCAGCAUCUUUGGAUCACACGGGUCUACCAUCAAGAAAUAAUUCUUAAGAAAUGAACUCUUUUGUAUAGUAAGUCAUUUUUCUAAUGAUACUGGCAGUAGUUAAAGCAGGAAUGUAGGAUAACUAGGUAAAGAAGUUUGUGUGAUUGUGUCUACCAUCCUAAGCUGGCAUUCAUGUCUACCAUAGUAUGACAACCCAUCUUGUCGAGUGGAGACAAUUUCGUGUAAAAAAAAGGAGUUCAGAUGAAUUUGUGUCAAUUAACGCUUUCCAGUACUACACAUCUUCCCCCAAUCACCUAGAAUUCCAGACAGAUCUUUCUUCCCCAACCAGCUAAUCCAGAGCAAGGGGUCAGAUUUUUUCUACCGUUUGUAAAUUGUAACCAUGCUACCACUUUACUCUCCCAUCUGUGUUUUAAAAGAACUUAAGUUAGAAAAUUUUGAAAGAAGAAUAAAACGAUAAACAAAAGCAACUGGAAACCCAAUUUUGAAGCAACACAAUGUUAUAUUUUCAAUUCACCGAUCACAGGUACCAUUACUGCCCUGGGGCUUUAAGUCGCCGCAAACAAAACUGAGGAGUCUCCUACAUACUACGAAUUAGCUGAAACUAUAAUGACAUCAUUCUAAUUACUACAAGAAAGGUCAGGUCAAUUUGGCUUAAUUACCUUGUGGUUCUGCUUCGGUUGAUGGUAGACAAAUAUUAAUACAAGGAAUUUAAGCAUUGCUACCUUGAAUGAACACAUAUAUCCAAAAGAAAAUGUGUUUGGAAGUAAUUCUUGCUCUAUUCAAAUGUCUAGGGAAUAAUUUCAAAUAUUAUUCCAAUUUGAUUCUUUGCCUCAUCGACAACUCAACUCAAUUCUCAUUACAAUAGUUCAUAUGUCCAGAUUGAACAUGUACUUUGAAAAAGAUGCAUAGGCUGAAUAAUGUCCCCAUCCCAAUAAACAUACCAAAACAAAACAGCUAAAUUAAGAAACACACAUCCAUAUAGAGGUAAAGCUUCUGCCUUCUUCCUCAAACAUGAUUUAGAAAUCUUUACAAACCAGCCAGCCUGUAAUAAAACGUCUGCAUAAUAAUAAAAAAAAAGAAUGAGCCAUUGAUACUUACGAUUAGUAUUAGAAACAAUCAUCUCAUUAGGGGCUUACAAAGUAAGAUUUAAAGUCCAAACAAAGUAAUAGUUGAGUGUCCUUGCAUUGCAAUCGCCAUCGAUACUAACAAGCAUUGUGCAUCAUUGAACUCUAGUGGGGGCAAUAAUAUGAUAAUAUUUAACUAUGAUGAAAUGGUGAGCCAUUAACCUUGCCCUUGUGGAUACAUAAGCAGAAGAAAAGUACAUAAAUUCCAAAUCCGAAUUUAGUAGCAAUAUCAUCAAUACAUUUUCUUUGAAACGCACCAUCUGCUGCGUUGUGGGUUCUGAUUUCUUGCUGAGGAACAUUUGCACAAGCAGAGCCAUGUUGUGUCCAGGUAACCAGUAGAACAAAUAAAAAAGGACUAUCUCUGAUGCAUAGGUAUCCUAUAAUCUUCGACAAAUACAAAGAGUUUAACAAAAAUCGAAUGGUUUUAAAAAAACAUCACAGAGUCACAAGAUUUAGAAUCAAAAGAAUGGAAGGCUUUGUAAAAACCAUGCGCAAUUUCCAAACAGCACAAUUUUCUCUUCCAUUACAUAGAUUUUAACAAGGUUAUUAUGUAAAAUUAAAGGUAUAUUAGAAAGGUAGAUAUAGGCACAUAGCUGUUACUCCAAGGUAACAUAGGUUUCAGGUAGAAAGCUUCAAUCAGCAGCAAAAGCCCCUUUUCAUCUAGAUGGCUUGCAUAAUCAAUGCCUCCUCAUUCUGGUGUUUGAAAUGCUCCUGUACAACCAUCACAACAGACAGCUCAUCAUCUACAUCACCUUACUGUAAAGAAAUACCAUAGUAAUUUUUCUCUGCACAAAUAAGCAACGUGUAAGAAAGCUUUAAUUUUUUCACAGCCACAAAAUUUAAAUCCAUAGCAUGUAGUAACUAGUAAGCAUCUGUAGUAAUUCCUAUUUAAAGUGUCCCAGAAGCUUAACCACACCAAAGCAAUCGACGUAGAAGUCAGAAAGCUAACCAUAAGUCAAUGAAAUAGCAAAAUGAAGCCCUCGAAAAGCGAAACUGCCUUUUCUACAGGAGGUAGAAGUACUAAUACUUACUUCCCCCAUCCCAAAUUGUGGGUCGUUUUAGCAUUUCUACAUUAAUAAAAAGUUAGAUGCUGCCUUUUCUACAAGCUGUCGCUCCCACGAGGUUAUCUGCUAGAUCACUGGACGCAAUUUGCCAAUGGGACUGUUAUGGCAAGUGGGCUGGCCGCAGGCCUAGGCCCACGAGUAUUGUAGCUCGUGAACAGUACCACAAGGGGAAUAAGAUUGGUUUGUUAGCAGGUCAUUAGAGAUAAGGUUGUUAGAGAGAUACGGUUAUUUAGAUUAGAUUGGGUUUGUUAGGUAGCUGGCUAUAUAAGCACAGCCACACCAUCCAUUGUAAUCAAGCAAGAAGAACCCUAAAAGUAGUCGGAGCCUCCAAGGGAGGGCGACAAAUAGGUUCUUCGUGCUAUCCCUAGUUCUACCAUAUCAAGGACCGACCAACCCCUGCAAACAAAAUAAAUGUAGCAGGAUGCUGGUUUAAGUCGGCAGAAGAAGGGCAAAGAAGAUACAAAGUAAACAUUAAGGAAUUGAUCUUAAUUGGAUGCUUCCAUUUGAAUCUAUCUAGCAGUGAUCUAAUAACCAGAUGCACCACCAUAAUAACCAAUGGCAAAAAAUCUCAGGCAUAAACUUCUAUGUUUCAGACCAUACAUUUCAGCUUGACGUGGUAACAAUAAUGGAGCCGUACUGCAGGAGGAUGUACUUGAAAAGUUUAUUUUACCAUGGAUUGAAGAUACGGCAACUAGCCACUUUGCGAUUCUUCAAUAUCUUUCCUUGAGCUAAUAACUAUUGCAAGCUCAUCACCGCUAACACGAAAAUCAGACCUGUAAAACAUAAAGCUUAUAACAUAACCUAAAGAAAAGUAAUUGUCUGAUUCCUAGAGCUACAUCUCAAGCAACAGUAUAUUACUAACUUUAGUAAUCAUGGAGAUGAAUGGCCAAUUCUUCAACAUAUCUUAUAAUUAGUUAACAUACUUCUGAAAAAUGUCUCAUACUUACAGUUUAUAGUUAUGCAUUUUGCAAAGUUAAAAGCUCUUUUAGAUUUCUGAAGUUUUCAGUGAGGAUCCGCAAAUCUCUGUGAUGAUACCAGUUUCAUACAAAGAUGCAAGAAUUAUAUCUAAUAGUAUUGCCAGACCCAUUGGAUGUGUCCAUGAAACACACCUACUAAUUGGACAAUGGCUGUAGUGAAAAAUUCUUUGCAGAGCAAUAACAUGAAACAGAUAAGAAAUGAGAAAAAAGAGUAGGGAUCACGUACUAACCUAGGCCGUGCACUUGCCUGCUGUAUGCUAAAGGGGAAGAAACAUGUUCGGAUCAAACAUGGUGUCCUUCAAACAUGGUGGCCCUCACCUCUAAACAGUCAGGUAAAUCUAAGAGAAAUAGAAUUGCUGCCAACUGAAAGACUCGAAACUGCUAGAAGAAAAAUAACUCGCAGUGGCAACCUAUCAACACCAUUUUGAAGGCUACAAACCCUUUACUGCGUUAGACAUUAUAAUUUUAGGCUUGUUCAUCAAAGAGUGAAUUGCCGAAUUGAAGGAACAUACAAUAGAUUCCACAAGUACAUGAUAAAGAGGAGAUGAUAAAGUGGAAAUAAUACCCCUACUUACAUGUGUCUUUGGAUACAACAGGUACACGAUAAAUAAAGAUACAGAAGUCAAAAUAAAGAGAAGUUUGAAGGAGCGUAAAAGGAAUCGCAAUGCAGUUUUAUUUGAAUCCAUGUAUGCAUGUACGUGCAUUCUUGUGUUCAGUUAUGACAAAGAGGGUUAGGAGGAACGAGAAGUACCUGCUAUGCUGCUGCAUCUGGCUCUUUUCCUGGCAAGAGAAACAAAUAAAAAAUGAAUAAGGUGCAUAAAUAACAUAGUGCUGCAAUGCUAAAGGAGGAAACCAAAACAAACAUUUACGAAAUUGAUUAUGAUUAUUAGUAACUGAAUACAUUCAGAAAAAAAUAAAAACCAUUCGCAUUAGGGCUUGGCGAUAUAACUGAACCGUUAGGUCGCAAAGAUCAAGCCAUGUCACUAUAAGCAAUGCUGGUAGUGAUAGGGAAAAAAAGAAAUAACAGUUCUGACAGAAUCACUUAUGAUUUGGUUGCACACACAAAGUAGCAAGGAAAAAAAACAGUGCUUAGACAAAUGAAAACUUCAUAAAUCAAACUGCUGAAUGAUUGCAAGGGAGGUGCAUACUUCCUCUUUCUGUUGCCCAUAGCAUUUGUCAUGUCAUCCUUCGGCAUAUUGGUGCUUGGAGUUCCCACACUGUUCAAGAAAGAAAAGGUACAAUUUCAGGUUUCAUUAAGACAGUGCUGACAGAAUCACAGCUGUUACUCUGUUAGAAUCUAUUGAGUCCAAAGUCUAAACAUGUAUAUAUGAAGUCUAAAUAUACAGGAUAUGCAAGUAACAACAAUUAUAAUGGGCAAAUAAACAUUGCACUGCCUGAAUUGCCAUGUCUACAUGGCAUUUAGCAAUGCAAACUGUACAGAAUGGAAAGAAAAUCUGAAGUAAACAAUGAUCAGUCUAUCCAAAUAUAGACUCAAAGAACAAUUUCACAUACAGGCACAACAUCUCGGCCUGGAGAAUGGCGCAACAUCUCUGCCUUGUUUCAGAAUUCAGAAACCAGGUUUGGUGCCUUCCAGCAGUGGGCUACCAUGCACACAGUACGUCCAUACCUAACCAGAUGGGCCAAAUAGAGGCGCAUCACCAAACCAAAUCAAUUUUCAUACUCCGUCCCUCCCAAAUUAUAAACUGUUUCGGUAUUACUAGAUUCAUAAGUUUUGUUACGUACCUAGAUAUACACUGUGCUUAGAUACAUAGUAAAUUCUAUGAAACUAAAAACCGCAAAAUGAUCUACAAUUUGGAACGGAAGAGUAGUAUGCAAGAAAUGUCAAAUGUGCUAUCGACAACCAGGUAAUUUGUUUCUGAAAGAGAGUAGGGUUCAGUUCAGAUAUAAUGCUCUUGGACCAGUGAGCAUCAGCAAGGGGCAAGUUGCCGAUGUCCCAGUCCAAUUCUAUCACACAACUUGCCUACUGGAUCAGCUUAUUUCUUUGUUGGGCAAGCAUAAUUUUCCCCGUAUAAAAAGGCCACACAACCUCAAGAGAAGAUAAUGAGGUAAUACUUGGUGUACAAUACACAUAUAAUUGCUCCGUUCUUCAAUAGACAGUUCAGGUGCAGAACCAGUCCGAAUUUAAGCAAAGACAGUUCAGGUGCAGAACCAGUCCGAAUUUAAGCAGGUUCAGACCAUACUCAGAAAGGUUAUGCUUGAUUAAAAUUCUAUUGAUAAGUAUUUAUACAUUAUAACUGAAGGUAAUACGUUUCCAGAUGGCGUCAAAUUGCUGCUAGUCAAAGCCUCAUAAAAAAGUUUAUUGGCAGAUCUCUUGGACUGUCAUAGUGCAUGCUCCCUGUCCCUGACAUUGUAACCCUGGUGUGAGAUCCUUAAGUAAUCUGUCACUGGAAUCACCAAUCCUAUCCGUAGACAAUUACUUAAACCUAAUUUGAAACAAAUAUUAACUAAAUGGGCCAAAGAAUGUGAAGCUAACUGAAUGCAGUCUGCAGCAGAACUAAGAACAAUGUCAGGGCUGAUUGCUCAUAGGCUGACAGCCACAGCAAAGAAAAAUGUCCCUGCAGAAUGAUCAUGGAACAAAGCUGGGGUUACUUACUAAACACGAAGAACUCUCUCCUUCCAAGCUUCUUGGUUCUUCCGUUCCAAUGCUCUGUGGUACACAUGAAAGCAUCUGAUCAAUUUAUGUGCAUAAUUCAUUUUCCAAUGAACAAGCAUUGGGUUUGCUGGAUGUGGCUCUGAUCAAGUUUCUUCCUUGACAUUUUGUCAAACACAUGGAAUGCACCAGACUUUUAAUUUUAUUGGGUCAAGAUUUUGCAGGGAAAAUUAUUCAAUCAAAGAAACAUUACAAUGGGAAAAUAUGUUGAAUGGGAGAGGAAACAAUAACUUGCAAAUACUGAAUUUCAUGCUAGAGUUGUAAGCCAAUGGCUAGGAAUCAAAUGCAAAUGGCAGUGGUUCAAUUCUAACCAAUUGAAACAUAUGCUUGCGAGGGAACCAACCUUCUUGAAGACAUUGCAAGAGUUGCAGAAGCAUCCCCUGUAAUGACAGAGUGGCACAUGGAGAUUAGAGUUGAAGACAUUGCAAGAGUUGCAGAAGCAUCCCCAUCAAGAUUAUCUUGGAUCGAAGGUUGGCAUCCAUCGGUGUUCCAAAUCUCUAAUCACUGAGAAAAUCUCCAAAAUUAGCAACGCAAUACAAGCACGUUAUUGCACGUUAUUGCAGCGCUGCUGGUGGAGCCGUCCGGGAUCCCCAACCCCUUGAGGUGUUCGCCAACCUUGUUUACAUCCUUGCCGCUGCCGCCAUCGCCUACGUACCCGACCAGAUCAACCACAGAUUAGAUUAGGCCGCACCAGAGACUGCGGGGACUGCGAAGGGAGGGGAAGGACCACAGCAGAUUAGAUUAGAUUAGGCCGCACCACAUAUAGUUAGCUUGCAUCAUAUACCACAACAUUCAAUAUAGUAUGUACAGGCAUCAAAUUAGGAAAGGGAAAAGCAAUCAGAUCUUUUUGAAAAUAAAAGCGAAGAAUGCUGUGUUAAUCAAAACAAAGGGUAAUGAACAUCUGAAGUGAGCUAUGAGCUAACAGAUUAUAUAUUAAAUAUAAUAAGCACAAUUAGGAACGAAAAUUUACUCCAAAGAAUCCAAAAACAAGAACAUAAAAAAAAGCAGAGGAUCAGAGUUCUGGCUUGGUUCUCAAAAGAGAAAUUAUAGCACUCAGUAUGUUCAUUGUCGAUCAUCUGGGGAAAGGGUCAUCAUAUCCUCCGAGGUAUGCAACACAAUUAAGAGAGCUCUUACACAACACCAAAAGCAUAAACUCUGACAAGGGAAAAAGGGAAAGGCAGUAUAUGAAAUUCACUACAGGUCAACAAGAAAAUACAAUGCCGUAUAAACUAUGAAGGAUCAGAAUUCUGGCUUGGUUCUCCGAAGAGAAGUUAUAGAGUACAGUAUGUUCACUGUCAAUCAUCUGGGGAAAGGAUCAUCAUAUCCUCCAUUCAUAUAACGUUAAAUCAUAGGAGAAAACAUCAUUUUAGAUAACAUGUCCAAAAAUACGUUGUCCAGAGAAUAAUUGUGCGGUAGUCCAUGUAGCCAUGAGGUUGUGGUGGCUGAAGUCAUGGAUUCGAUACCCAAUUCUCCUUCUCUCAAAGCCGUAUUCCCAUAUUGACAUGUAAAAGUUCAAUUAAGUAGGAAUGAGAAAAUGUAUGACUACCACUACAUAUUGGUAUAAGCCACCAGCAGCCGCGGGGGCCGAGGGGGCGCGGAGGCGCGCGGGGAGGGAGGUCAGCGCGGACCGCAUCGCCAUGUCGUCGCGCUCGAAUCUGCCUGCGGUGGCCUGGUAGGGUUGAAGGGGAGGAGAGGACGGGGAGGAGAGCCGCCGAUUGGGUCGCAAUCGAGCUAAUGUGGAGGGAGGUCGGGAGAGCAGACGGGAAGAAGGAAAGAAACGCGUGAUUUGCGGGCGGGAUUGGCCGCGGGUACGGCGGGCGGUUGAAAAAUAAGCCAUUCCCCCGCCGCCAUUCCACUCCGCUCCCAUUCCCCCGCCGCCGCAGGAGCGCACUCCCUCCUGCACCCACCGGCGGCCCGCAAGCCCCCCACACCUUCUCCCUCUCCCUCCCCUUCCCCAUUCCUCCGCCUCCCGGCCCCCGCGCGCCCGCGCCUCCCGCUCCGCCUCCGCUCCACCUCCCCGGCCGCCGCCUCCGACCUCACCGACUUCCCCAACCCGAACGGCAUCCUCGCGCCCAUCGACGUGGACGCCGUCACGGAGGCGGAGCUUCGCGAGAACGGGUUCCGGAGCACGCGCCGCACCAAGCUCGUCCGCACCGUGGGCCCGGCCACCUCGUCGCCCGAGCAGCUCGAGGCGCUCGCCAUCGGCGGGAUGAACGUCGCCCGCCUCAACAUGUGCCACGGGGACCGGGAGUGGCACCGGGGCGUCAUCCGGGCAGUCAGGAGGCUCAACGAGGAGAAGGGCUACGCCGUCGCCGUCAUGAUGGACACCGAGGGCAGCGAGAUCCACAUGGGGGACCUCGGCGGCGCCACAUCGGCCAAGGCGGAGGUGAGGUGUUGUGCUUGUAUGUAAGCUGCUGUCCAGUUUUGUACUUGGCGUUGCGGUUUUCAGUUUUCAGAUUGAACGCUUUCACUUGAACGUAUUCCGUGAAAUGUGCUUGUGCAAUGUGGAUGAGAGGAACGGGUGGUGGCAGUGGCAGUGUCAGGCAUUGCAGUUUCAUACUUCUGCAAAACCUAGCGAGUCAGGAUUUCACCAAAAUGUUUUUUUUCCAUCUUCAAAAUGGCUCAGUUGAUUUAGAUUUUCAGCUCAUGUUUGAAAUUGCUAUAGAAGGAGAAUCAUUCAGAAUUUCAGAUUGUCAUCAAACACUGGAUUGUGAAAGUGGUAAUCAUUUUCAAGGCUUUCAAUCUUUCAAAAAAAAAAUCAAGGCUUUCAGUAUCAGUGCAACUCAAAUAAAGUGCAUGGUAAACAUCACCAUGUUUUGGCUUUCUCUGCAUAUAAGACAGGGUGCUGGAGUGGUUCGACCGCGUUGAGGUCCCAAUCCAACCGGUCGGGUUUUUUCUAGGUGUCAAGUUUGAGUGCUUACCCGCAUUGACAUCCCAAUCCAACCGGGCGAGUCUUGUUUAUUUUUCGUUUCUUUUCCUUUUCCUACCUAUGGCCUCCCAGGGCCGUAGUCUUGUAUUUUCUGCUAUAUCAAUACAAACUCGCACGGUUCGUUCAAAAAAAAAGUGAUAGGCAUUGAGGUUCUGAAGGUUGUUUUUUAGAUCUUAGGCCCAAGCCUCAAAUGGCUUUUUUUCCCCUGUUGCAAACCUUCCUUUAAGUAUUGCAUCUAGCACCGGGGAAAACACAGGAAUAUCUUUCAUUUCAGCAACAGAAUCUCUUAUAAAAAGGGCGUACCCAGUGCGAAAGCUCCCACACAAGGUGGGGUCUGGGGAAGGGAAUUCCUAGACAACCUUAUCUUUGCAAUAUUCUUUUAAAAUUCUGCAAAGAGGCUGGUUCGAACCCAGGACCUCCGGGCCACAAGUGGAGAGUUUAAUUUGAAUUAGCUUUAUUAGUAGAAUGCUUGGCCCAUUUAUUGGUAAAUGGUAAAAUUCAUAAAGAUUAUCCUUAUUCCGUUAAUCAAUUUUAGGUGUUUAACUUGCAGCAAAUUCGAACAAUGACAGACAUGCAGCAUAUUGUUAGUUCAUCUGUAAGACUUAGCUUGCUGGUUUAAUGCUUUGUUAAAGGUUUGAAGUUAAUGUGUCUACUGGUAGCUACUGAAUCUCUUUAUAGUUUAUUUAUAUCUUUUUUCUUUAUUAGUAUAAAGCCAUGUAGAAGUUUUCAGAAUACUGAAAUUUCUAGUGUUCGUUUUGUGGAGUCUCUCCACCUACAUCCUUUUUUACAACUGCAUUUCAGAUCCUUCAGUUAUAGCAUGAAUAUUUUUUUAAAAAGAAACUUCUAGGUCUAUUCUUGCCCGUAAUUAAUGUUAGUGUCUGAUGAUAGUUGUGUUUUAGAUAAUACAUUAAUAUUAGUAAUCCAAAGAAACUGAACUACUUCUAUGAUUCUAAGGCCCUGUUUGGCAUGGCUCCAACUCCGGGUGGAGCUGCUCCACUCCAGAACUUCACAUGGAGCCAGCUCCGCUCCAAAACUCCAGAACAAAAAUGAGGUGUUUGGCUAGAUGGGUGCUCUCAGCUCCAAAAAAAAUCGAUUUCAGUGUGGAUUGCCAUUGUUGCCCCCCAAUUAAGGCACCACUUGUCAUCCUCUCUAUCCCAUCUUCUUCUUCCCCUUUUUCCACUGCACUGUGCCGCACACGGGAGACCCUCCAUGGGCGGCGGGGUGGGUAGCGACGGGGCGGCGGGUGGCGACGGGCGACGACAGGCGGCGGGGUGGGUGGCGGCGGGCGGCGACGGGCGGCCGGCGCGGCGACGGGCGCGGCGGUGGGUGGCGGCGGGCGACGGGCGCGGUGAUGGGCGGCGACGGGCGACGGGCGGCGGCGGGCGGCAACGGGCGGCGGCGGGCGGCAACGGGCGACGGGCGACGGGCAGGGCUCUGGCGGCGAGUGGGGCUCGGGAGAAUAGAAGGGAGAAUAGAAUGAAACGUUUUUUUGUGUAACCAGUGGCAUUGGUGGGUAAUUACCCACCAACUCCACGAUAAGGUUCGAAAGAGAGGUUUCUGGAGCAGCAAAAGAGGUGCUCCAAAACUCCACCUGCAUUUGCACUACAGCUCCAUGGAGUUGGCAACUCCAUGGAGUUUUGGAGUUGGGGUGUUUGGCUGAAUUUUUUGAUGGAGUUGCUGGAGUUUAGGAGUGGAGCCGUGCCAAACAGGACCUAACUGUCAUCAGUGCUAGCUAGGGUCACUAUGCCAAAAGGAGAUUAUAUCACCAUUCGGCUGUUUAUCUUAAGUUUUUAACCAUACAGUCAGAAGUUUGAUUGUACACCUAUUCAAUAAUCCUAGGUUUUCUUGAGCCACGUUAUUUACCCAAUGACUUCCAUUUUUCUUGGAAUUAAAACAUUUCUGAAGUAAUUAAUAAAUCAUCUCACAUUUGUUGGAUUCCACAGGAUGAAGAAGUCUGGACAUUUAGUGUUAGGUCAUUUGAAUUGCCUCUCCCAGAACGAACUAUUAAUGUGAUUAUGACGGGUUUGCUGAAGGUAUAUAAGCUGACCUAUUUGUUGAUAUCUUUCGCUGUUAUUGUUCACUGCCAUAAUUUUGCAUCAAAAUCCUACACAGAUGUGAGAGUUGGUGAUGAGCUUCUUGUGGAUGGUGGAAUGGCUCGGUUUGAGGUGAUUGAGAAGUUGGGACCAGAUGUUAAGUGUCGCUGCACGGAUCCUGGUUUAUUGUUGCCACGUGCGAAUCUUACAUUCUGGCGUGAUGGCAGUAUUGUCCGUGAGAGGAAUGCUAUGCUUCCUACAAUUUCAUCAAAGGUAAAUGCAGUAGCAUAAUAAAUUUCUUGCUGCAAUUACCAAAAGACCGCAAAACUUUGUUAAUCUAUGCCCCCCCUUGGUACUAGUAUUGCAAUGGAUUUACAGCUUGUUUUUUCUGUCAAUGCCAUGGUCAGUUCAAAACAACAUGUAUUAGUUCAAAGCCUUACAUUGUGCACUGAAACUCAUCUCUCGAUAGUUUUUGUCAGCUAUUUCUUAAGAAGGCUUCUACCACCUAGAGUUGUUUAACUGAAAAUUUAAUCUUCUAGUAGCAGAUACUAAUAUUUUAAGUUUAUAACAAUGCUGCUCCUUUUCUUGUGACAACUUGUGCAGGAUUGGCUUGACAUAGACUUUGGAAUUGCCGAAGGUGUAGAUUUCAUCGCUGUUUCAUUUGUCAAGUCAGCAGAAGUAAUUAAACAUUUUAAAAGCUACAUAGCUGCAAGGAGCCGUGGCAGGUACCAGGAGUAUAAUUCUGUACUGUUAUUUAAGUUUAUGCUUUCUUGGAAAAGCCAUAUUUGACAUUAUUAAACUGAUAACGGGUGUUCCUAGAACUGUUCUGCAUGCUUAGCCACUGUUUGUGGUUGGUUCCUGGUCAGUCCCAGAUGAUUACUCAUACUGGUAGGGUUUUAGUUGUAUUCUAACCCCCAAAAAAUCAGCCUGGAAUAUAUUGGUUUCUAUGUAGUUACUAGAGAAAACAGUGAAUCAACAAGAUAUCCCCUUUCUGGUGUUCCUCCUUUUCUAAAUAAUGCUGUGGAACAACAUGAUUCAUGGAAGAAUAAUAAGAACUGUUUAAAAUUGUUUGGCUUUCCUCAACCUGGUGUCUUCUCUGUGCCAAAAAAACAACACUUGGUGUCAGGUGUCAUCUCAGCACCUACAAUUCAUCUGCAUGCACUAGAAAAAUUGUGUGUGUGUAGCUCCUGCCAAAAUUGCCAGUUUGCCAUUGUACGUCCAUCUCAUGUUUUGUGGCUAAAACUCAGUUAGUGACACAAAAAGUUACCUAGAUUAAAAUCGCUAAUCCCAAACCGCAAGUGAUACCAAUCUUGCUAUGUUAUCUUUUAUACUUCAAUUAAUUGGGCCUUGCAAACAUCUAAAUCAGAAAGGAUUGCUAGUACCGUGUUUCUGAAAUGUUUCCUUCAUUUUGCUGAACUUUGUUGGUUCCUUACUCUAAUAAUGCUUUAUUUUAUAUGAUCAGUGAUAAGCAGUCAUUGCGAAAAUUGAGAGCAUUGACUCUUUAAAGAACCUGGAGGAGAUCAUCCGAGCAUCAGAUGGUGCCAUGGUAGCCACUCUGGAUAUGGGGGCACAGGUUCCCUUGGAGCAGGUCCCCUCAAUACAAUAAAAGAUAGUUCAACUGUGCAGGCAGCUCAACAAGCCAGUCAUUGUUGCUUCUCAGCUCCUUGAAUCAAUGGUCGAGUAUCCUACUCCCACAAGGGCCGAAGUUGCCGAUGUUUCUGAAGCUGUCCGCCAGCGUGCGGAUGCUCUAAUGCUUUCUGGUGAGUCAGCAAUGGGAAGAUAUCCAGAGAAGGCUCUUAGUGUUCUGAGGAGCGUUAGCCUCAGGAUUGAGAAGUGGUGGCGGGAGGAGAAGCGACAUGAGGCACUGGAACUUCAAGGUGUUUCAUCUUCAUUCUCUGACAAGAUAUCAGAAGAAAUCUGCAACUCGGCAGCUAAAAUGGGUAAGUACUGCCACCAUCGUAUUCAGUGCAUACCAUAGUUAUGUUGUCAUAGCAACUGAUAUAGCAGCUGACGCCAUCUUUGUUUUCACAAAGACUGGCCACAUGGCCUCCUUGCUCUCACAGUGCCGUCCUGACUGCCCAGUUUUCGCCUUCACAACAUCGACGUCCGUCAGGAGGCGGCUAAACCGUCAGUGGGGCCUCAUCCCAUUCCGCCUCAGCUUAGCAACUGAUAUAUUCAAUUGCUUUGCUGUUUCAUCUUCCUAUUAUUGUCCAUUAUCUUGGUUACUGACAGAACAUUUAGAUUCCAUUUUCUUAGAAGCUGUGUCUAAACAAAACCAAUUUCAUCUGCAGCUAACGGCCUGGGAGCUGACGCCGUCUUUGUUUUCACAAAGACUGGCCACAUGGCCUCCUUGCUCUCACGGUGCCGUCCUGACUGCCCAGUUUUCGCCUUCACAACGUCGACGUCCGUCAGGAGGCGGCUAAACCUUCAGUGGGGCCUCAUCCCAUUCCGCCUCAGCUUCUCAGAUGACAUGGAGAGCAACCUGAACCGCACCUUCUCCCUGCUAAAGGCCAGGGGCAUGAUCCAGUCUGGCGACCUGGUGAUCGCCCUCUCUGACAUGCUGCAGUCCAUCCAGGUGAUGAACGUACCCUAAGAAAGAGCCUAAUCCUCUGUGGGAUGAUCAUAUGAGAUGGAAGAUGGACCAUGAACUUUAUCGGCACCUUGAAGGACAGUUCCUUGCACCAAAAUUAUUCGCUUUCACCCUGUAUUAGAUGCUGGGCAGGACUAGAGAACUGUGGCAAUAAUUUGCAGCUUUGUGCCCUGCUGUAAAACUGUUAUAUUACUAUUAGCUUUAUUUAUAGUCUGACCUUGGGGUGACUCUUUAAUGUGCAAGCUUUGGGUCUUGCUGUGGGCCGUAAUGGGCUUAUAAGUGAAGCGCAGGGAGAAGAGGAAGAACCCGCUGAAGAACAUGGCUGCUGUGCUCAAGCUCAACCCCUACCUCGGCACUGCCCGCAAGAUGGCUACCCUCGCUAAGGUUGCCCACAUCAAGGCAAGGAAGGAGAAGCUCGAAUCCAAGAGGACCAAGCUUAGCCCGGUAUGACCAUUUUUCUCCCUCCAUUUCAUUUCUGAUUAUGUCAAUAAUACCUGAAUUGAUCACUUAGAUUGCUCAUGUAGUUCUGGUGUACUGUUUAUGACUUGUAGUGUUUGCUAUGGUACAUUUUCUGCCCCUUGUAUGAAUGGUUUAAUUUGUUUGAUGUAUCAUAAUUUGAGCAAAUUUCAUUGCUUGAAAGUAUUAGUACUGGAGUUCUGUGUGAAUAACAUGAUUCUGCUGUAGUGAUUCUUGUUGGGGUUUAGUUAUGUGCAUUGAUCUAAUGUUGUGCCAACAAAUAUUCUUGUAAUUGCGCGUUUGUGCUGUAUCAGUAUGCAUGGGUAAUCUAGUUUGUCAUUGUUUACUAUUUGCUCAGGGUGUUUCGGUACCCUUAAUUGCUUUUAGUAAGGCAUUUGUCUAUGUUCUGUUCCAUUUCUUUAUAUGCUAGUAGAUAUCUGAGCAAUUGUUUGUUCUACUCUUUUCUUAGAAAUGAUUUAUGGUACUGGAAGCUUCGGUAAUCUUUGCAUAUAUGGCAUAUGACAUGCCCUGGUAACUCAUGGGUCAGGGUUUAUCUUGAAUGUUUUAGUUCGAUCCCUCUUGUUGAUUUGUGUUCUGAAUUGGUAACUUGGGACUAUGCCUUGUUAGAAUGUGAUGAAUAGAUUGAUGUUUUACUAAGCGUUUUGAUUACAGAAUACUAGAAUGAAUGUUAUUACAUUAUCCAUGUUUCGAACUGAAUCCCAAAAUUUACUGAAUCCCUUCACAUCCAUAUAUCUCCUGAAUAUUUGUUUAACUGUAUAGUUUGAUAUGUUUACAUUGUUGUCAAGAUUCUUUGUUGCAUGCCCAUAUAUCUUCUGAACACUACAGAACUGACCAAUAUGUGAACUACUGUUGGUUUAAUGUAUCAGAUGCUGAUUAUUUCGUUCAGCUGUAUGCCCUUUUGUCAACAAACACGUACUGAACAAUAUCUGUAGAUCCAUUGUUGUAGGAGGAGGCUGCCAAGGUCAAGGCUGCUGGAAAGGCAUGGCACAGGACCAUGAUCUCAGACAGCGACUACACCUGAGUUUGAGAACUUCUCAAAGUGGCUCGGCGUGACUCAGUGAGCGGGUGCUAUCUAGUUAAGUUUUGAGUAGUAGUGUGGCUGAACUUAUCUCGAGAGGGUUUAUCGCUUUGUUUUAUCCUGCAUCAUCAUAAGAAUUCAAUCUGUGGGAUUUUAAGACAAGUCUUCCUUUUUGUUAAUGCGUUGCUGUGAAAUCAUUCUAGUAAAUAUUCACCUUGACGAUCUUUUGGAAGGACAGCGACCACAAAAAUUAUGAAUUGGGUAGAUGGAGGAUUUAUGUGCUGUAUUGAGAGAGCCCGUAGGUGCUAGAUUUCUCCGGAAACGUUCGAUUUAAGCUUGUAGAUAUUGUGAUGAAUCCCGUCACCAUUUUCCCAUGAAACAUUCUGAAAGUUCUGGUAGUGGUAUCCACUGCUGCAGUUUUACAAGCAUGUAGGGUUGUUCCUCUGUUUGUUGAUUAGGUAUUAUGUUUUGCACAGUCUUAAAGUUUAGAAGGUAAUUACCCAGGUGUUCAAGUAUACCUUCAAGUUUUUUUUUACACAGUGUACAUAUUACCUUGUUAUAGUGAGAACAGAGAAGUCCACCGCAAAAGUAAAGCCUAGCAUAUAUUGUUCUUGCAAUAGACCAUGUGUGUAUAUGCCCCUUUGUAGGUUGAUUAUUCCAUUCAGAACAUAGCAUGGACCUCUAUAGUGUUUUGGAUAAAUUUUUUUAUUAUAAAGGUACUUGCCGAGGCACCAAUUUGGGAGUCUGCGGGGUAAAAUGUUCCCGGCGUACUUCAUAUUGAUAUCAGUGUGUUCAGCGAUAUCUGUUGCAGCAUUUGCAUACCUGCAUGGAUUCCUUCUUUCGGCCCUUAUCUGUAACCUUUCAAACCUUCUGGUCAUCACACCUAUGAUGGUUGAAGUAAAAUACUUUGUUUGUGGCCUUGAGCUUUUUACUACCUCUCGUUUUGCAUUUGCCAGAUGCUAGUGUGCUAGUUAUACAGAAUAUCACAAAAUUAUAGUUUGAGUAUGUGAUAAUAUCGUUACUAAUGAAUGGAAUCUUACACUUUUUAUAUGCAAUUUUGAGAUUUACUUUGCUGAUGGUAGUAGAGGUAUGUAAAGCAAAAGAAAGUUACUUUUAAAUUAUUAGUUAUAUGGUUAUAUUUUAUAGGUCAGCGAUUUCUGAGUACUAGUCAUAGCAGCGCUCACAGGAAUAUACUGACUUGUUCUUUAUUUUAUUUUCAAGAAUUAAUACAGAUAGCAUAAAGCAGAAUCCAGUCCAUGAAUAGUUAGCGAUCUAGCAUCUGGAGGUGAAAAUCUAGCUUGGUUAGAACUUAGAAGCAUAGUUGUGGAUAAAAUUUGUGGGAAUCUAAUUUGACAAAACAAGUAGACAUGUCUGGCUGCAUAUAUGAACCUUUCAAACUGCAUCUUAUUGUUUCUGAGAUCUGAUUGGUGAUUUUUCCACAUUUGCAUUGUAGCACACAUCACUUGGAUAUUGUUUUAGAGAGCAAACUUGACAAUCGAGAUAUCUUGAUUGCUGAAAUCGAUGCUGACAAUGUUCUGUUAUUUGAGUAGGAUAGGGGUUAUACAUAAAAAAAAUAAGAAGAGAGAAUGUGCCUUGCAGGCUUGUACUUUGGUUGGUUGAGCAUUGCUCUUUGUAGUUUGCGCUUUCAUUUUCACCCGUGCCUAUUGAAUUGCUCUCUUUCACCUAGAUGAUGAUGAAGAGGUACAAGAUAGAAGGACCUCGUGAGGCCGGGUACUCCAAGAAUGAGGAGAUGGCCAAGAGGAACCCUGCCCUGGCGGCAAUCAGUCAGAAGUUCAGGAUGAUCCACGUGCUGUCGUCACUGGCCAGCCCCAUGUCCUUCGGCAGCCUGGCCAUCCACUCCUGAUACCUCCCCAGCAAGCUCGACCCGUGACUGCCUGACCGAGUGUUAGCUGGUGCCUGGUGAGUGGUGACCUACGAACUCUGAACUUAGCCUAGGUUUCUGUGGAGAAAAAAGAAGUCAUGUCUGUGCAAGAACAUUGGUCCUCGGGAUGAUAUGAUUAGCCUUUAAUAAUGUACAUAAUGCAGGAACUUCGUUUCAUUUUGUAAUUUGUCUAUAGGAAAUGUGUCUGGCAAAUUCCUAGAUUUUACAGCCAAGAAAUGCAGCUAAACAUGGUCUCUCGGCUCAUGGAGCUUGGGUAUAAAGAAAUGACUAGGAUCUUCUGCAACUUUUAGAAUGCCUACUAUCUGAAAAAAAAAAUUGGCCAGAGAUGACGAGUUUGGUAUGCAUUCCUGAACACUGGUUUCUCUUGUCUGGUGGUCCAAAACCAUAUGGCGUUCCUUCAUCUAGGCCAAAUCUAUUAUAUUCACUUUCUGAAGAUAAUAUCCAGUGAAGCCAAGCCGAAGUCUAGAAAACAAGUCCACAUUGCAAACUGAAGAAUUUAGCAUAUGGAACUCCAUGCUCUAGUCUUUCAUCCUUCUUCAAGCUGAAGUCCUUGAUUUUGAUCACAAAACAAGUCCCAGACUGCAAGUUGAAGAAUAUAUAGCAUAUUGAUCGAGCUCCAUGCUCCAGCUUUUUAUCCUUAUAUUUUCUUUUGAACUAUGGCGUGUUUGAACUCAGUGUCCGCUCCAGCGUAAGCAAAACACAUACACAGCUAGCACUUUCAUUUCAUGACGUGUUUGUCUACAUUACUGCAGAAGUACUUGCCAUAGAAUAGGUCAACAAUCCAACAUACUACUACUCAUGUUGUUGUUCGACAAGCUGUCUAAGCUGCUGCUUGAAUACGAACUGAAAGUGCUGAACUUUGUCCAUGUUAUGUUGGUAGUAUAUCUAAUACUGAACGGUGUGCAGGGUGAUCCUGCAAGGCUUUUAGAUAGCACGGUCUUGUGCAGAGGUAUUGUCGAGCUCUGUUUCUUCAAAGUUACGUCUGCUCUGUUUCUUCAAAGUUACGUCUUGCAAUUGCAGUAACAUUUCUGCUGGUAAUUCUGUAAUCUCUACUAUAAAAAAAGCAAAGAGGACACAAAAAUGCGGUCCGUCGUUUGGCCGCCGGGCGAUGUCCCUCGCUCCAUUUUGGGCCGUCCGCUUGCAGCAGCCUCCGCGUGCAGCCGUUGACCUGGAGAUUCCGUGAGUUGCGGCCCACACGUUUCCUCCUCUGUCCGUUUCCCUCCUCGCGGAUCCCUUCCUCCUGCAGUCCUGCCCAUGCGUCGCCAUCCGCCGUCGACGCAACUCCCUCAGUCGCGUCGCCUGCCGCCGCCACUCCCUCCGUCGCCGCAACUUCUCCCUCCCUGCAUCGUUAGGCCUGCGUCGCCAUCCGCCGCCGCCCCUCCCUUUCCUCACCUCCGCGCCGCCAGAAACCCCCGCCCCUGCCUGCGUCGCCAUCUGCCACCGCCCCUCCCUUUCCUCGCCUCCGCGCCGCCAGAAGCCACCGCCCCUCCCUUUCCUCGCCUCCGCGCCGCUAGAAGUCACCGCCCCAUCCUGAGUCGCCUCAUCGCCGCAAGCGACUCCGCCCCUCCCUGAGUCGACGGAACACCGACAGUCGAGGCUACGCUGCACGCCAACUAGAUUUCUCAGUUCGUUGGGUUUGAUCACGGUACCUCUCAGUUUCUUAGUUUGUCAUGCAUCUGAACUUUGUGUGACGUUCAUGUUCUUGUCAUUUGAUUUGUUUGGUCGGUGUUCAUGUUCUUAGAAUCUGGUGCUACGUGACAUUAUAGGCGGUGUUGUGUUUUCUGAAUUGUCGGCGACUUGAAAAUUUGAGAUUCAGAUCGUGAUUUGUUUAGGUGGACAAUUAAAAUUUGAUGAUAUGUCCUUCCCGAGAGAGAAACGUAUUACCUGUGGUAAUUGAGGAUGGUAGAGAUAAUUUACUCUGCAUGUAAACUGAGGACUGAGAUUCAAGAGUAAUCAUAGAACACGUAGACCACAUUGACUGGAAAAUUAGUCCUCUCCAAUUUUUGCUGAUCUGUCCCUGAUAGUACAUAAUUAUUUUGCCACUUUUUGUGCAAGCUUAUCGAUGUACGAAUUAAUAAUGGAAAGUAAGGAUUGCGAUAGUAGGGAUUGGGACAUUUGUUAUGCUUAUCGAUGCUUAUGGCAAUGCUUCAUAAAAGUAGUAUACACCGCCGUGCACUUCGAAUUCAUGAUGGACAGUAGGGAUUGUGAUAUGUGAUAUGCUUAAGGCAAUGCUUCAUAAAAAGAGUAUGCACCUCCGAGCACUUCAAGUGUACUCUGAUGCACACACAAGCACACAGUUCUAGAUGGUUAAGCCGGUCUGUGAUUAGCAAGAUUUUCAUGAGAAUGGUAUCAGUUAUCAGACAUUCUGUGAUAUCUUGAAUGGAAAAAUAAAAUCAAAAAGGAAAGCACGAUAAAUAGAUAAUUUUUCUUGAAUUCUCCCAUAUUCAGAAAAUUGACUGACCGAGUGUGGAUAAAUCCUUUUUUUUGUUACUUGGACCUCAGUUGGCCUUUAUAUUACUCUGAAUAUGUAAGAUCUCAAUAAACAGUAAAUUUGAGGAGGAUUUGCUAUCAUCUUUUGAAUCGUUCAUCCCGGUGGCAGAUUUCUUGAUUGCCUUAAUUGGGGCUGCCCCAGUUAAUGAGAACUAAAUAGCUCUCAUGAUGAAAACAAGUGUUAUUCAUAACAGCUACUUGUAGUGAUGGUGUCUGGCAGAGUACCUUGCUUAUCCAGUGCUUUCCUGUGACAUUCCAUUUUGCUUUUCUCUUGAAGGGUGUUUAUGUUCGUCGGGUUGUGCCUACUGCUCCAGCAAGCAGUGUUUUGUGAAAGGUAACAUGUAGUAAUUAGAUCCAGUUCACAUAUUGAAUACCUUUGGUUGUCCUCCAAUUUUUGCUGAUCUAUCCCACAUAAUUUUUCUUCUUUUUUCCACACAAUUUUUCUUCUUCUUGCCACAUAAUUUUUGCGGCUACCAUGUUUGACAAUAAAAAUUGGUAUACAGUCAUCUACAAAAAUCAUCCCCUGGAUACAAAUAGUACAUCCCCCUGGUACAAAUAGUACAUCCCCCUGGUUAGCAAUUUUGCAGAUGUAGAAGUACAGUUCCAUUACCGGUUAACCACUAUCUACGUUCUUAUUUUCACUAGGAGUUACAUUAAAAUAAUUCAUUCAUAUGUUCUGUAUAAAGGAAUAGACAAAAAUGGCACCACUUUGUUUUACCUAUGUACAAAUAACUGUCUGAUUGGAUAUUACAACAACAAACAAGAAGAGGCGCUUCAUGAUCAUUUGAUUUAGAACUACAACCUAAAAAAUAAAUGGUCUGUCCAGUUAUUAAUAUUCUGGUUUCAUACUGCAACAUAGAAAAGUGAUUAAAACAAGCCCAAGUAAUCUGUCCUGCUGCACUUUCUUAUCUAUAAUCCUGAUGCCAAUUUGUUUCAUGUGCCUGGAAGUGAUGGGAGAAGGUGCAGGAGAAGGAUUUAGAAGUUCUUAAUUUGCAGGUGCAAUUUUUUUAUGUGACGCAUCUAUGUGACGCUUGACUUAUCUUAUUUCCAAAAUCAAACACUUCAUACUCGUGCUAAUGAUUAGAACCUGAUGAUUGGGAAGCUGAUGAGGAUGUCGAUCUCGAGACGGCUAAUGAAGAUUCCAACGAACCCGAUGUACCGGAUCCAAACGAUGCGGUUUAUGCUAAUGUCCCUGACGAGACGCACAUGCUCAAGCUAGAGGAUAACUGCAAGCACUGCAAUGCAAAGAAGUUUGAGUCCGAGCCACCUGAAUUCUGUUGUCAUAGACACCACCGGAACUCGUGAGACUGUGGUUGAGCUCGGACGCUGAUGCUAGGCAUUUCCGUGCAAACAUCAGAUAUUUCAAUGAACACUUCUCUUUCACUUCUCUAUACUGUAAACUUGAUCGUGUGACCACCGACAUGACAAACUGUGGAAUUUACACAUUUCAUGCCCAUGACCAAAUCUACCAUAACAUAUGAUCAUUUGGUAAAGAGGAUGGUCACGAACCUGGACACCUCGAGCUUUAUUUUUACGACGACGAUCUGUCUCUUCAGCAUAGGCUCCGCAAGUGCCGUGAGAAGUCUGCCCAAGAAGAUAGGAGGUCAUCUAGAGGCUAAAGGACAUCUUACAUGGCAUUAAUCCCUGCUUAGAGAAUCUUAGGAGUAUAGGCCAGGUUGACAACCUUGAGGAUUACUAUGUCGAGUUGAACCUUGACCAACGGCUAGACCAGAGAACAUAUAAUGUGCCAUUAACGUCGUUGCUGCCGUUUGGAUUGAGGGGAGCGAGCCUCGGGGCCAGUUCGAUAAUAGUGUUGUCCUCCAAGGGAAGGAUAGGUCGAUCCAUGGUAUUCGGCCCUAUCGUGUGUGCUACGAUGCUCUCUCAUACCCGCUAUUCUUUCCAAGAGGUGAGCUCGGGUGGCACAAUUGCAUUCCAAAAGUUGGUGUGACUGAGGUUGAAGUAAAUAAAGCUCGAGCGAUCCGCAAGGCGCGUGCUGAUGGUGGUGGCGACAAUGAUGCUGGUAAAUUCAUAUGUCUUUAUAGUGUCUUACAAACAUUAGACAAAUUUUCCGCAUGUCGUCAAUCACGGCCGCCUUUUUUUGGUUCGUCGUUUGGCUUCGUUUGUCUGCCUCGCCGCUCAGUUUUUCUCAAGAACAGUCCGUCUCCCCGCCCACGUUCGCCGACAGACGCACCUCACCUCCUCCGUGCUGCACCCGGCCGCACCUCCUCCAUCCGCCCUCCGCCACUUAGCCAAGCCGUGCCUCACCUCCUCUGUCCUCCGAGCGCGGAACCACGCCCGCGCUUUCCCCGCCCGGCCGCACCUCCUACCUGCUACGCUCGGCCGCAGCUCCUCUGUCCGCCGCCAAGACGGGCCACCUCCGUCCGCUGGGCGUCCAACACCGGCGCGCCACUGCCCAGCUGCCCCUCCACACCCCUCCACACCGGCGCCAUCCCCGGCUGCUCCUCCAUGAAGGGAUCUCCAAAUUAGUCCCAUAUGCAGCGGAGGUGAGAAGAUGGAGGCACGAGAGGUGGGGCCUAUCUCGAGCCCGGUGUCAUCUGCCUUCAUGAAGGGAUCUCCAGGUUAGUCCCUUAUGCAUGCAAACAAAUCUAAUCAGCAGCCUCUCCUUUGCACCAACGAACAGAUCCAAUUGUUCUUGAAAAUCAGGUCCAAGUUCACAUCUCUUUUGCCCUCCCACUCAAAGCACAAUCAGCCAGCGCGACAGGGAUGGCGACACAGACACCGACGGCUGGAGCUCCCUCAAUGCUGCCAGGUAAUUGACUAGCCAAUUACUAUUUGGAUGUGAUGCACAUUGGUCACGGAUUUGUAAAUCUAUCAGUUCCUGCUUCCUGCAUCCAUUUGUGCAGUUCUUGUGGUGGAUGCAGUGCACUGAGUAUAGAAAUUAUUUUUGAUUACUUCUGUGAAACGUUUUGGCCUUGGCAAGUAUGUACAGAUUUAGUUGUUGUUUUUUCAGUCAGAGGUGAGCUACGUGUAUGGGAAAGAAAAACUUGAUUGCUUGUUCUAGAUCUUGCCUUCAUAUAAACUGUGAUGCUAUCAACAUGGAGAUUUGAUGCAUUCUACUCUCUCUCUAUUUAACAUGGAAAAGAACUCGUGUUUACUCAAUAAUGCUUAUGAAUUUUCCUUAGAGUUGCAUUUAUUCAUCAUUCUAAAGUAUUCCGUGUCAAGUAAACUCAUACUUCUAAUUUUUCAAAAAAAAAAUCUGAAAUCAAUGAACCCCUCCUUCCUUGUGAAAUUGUUGUACCUUUUUUCUUAUGACAUCUUAUCUACUUCCACUUUCCUGGUGCAGAAUUUUUGAAAGUAGGAAACGUAAGCAAUGACAGUGACAGUCGCAGCAAUACUGAGCUCAAUAGGUGAACUAGACAAACCAUUCUGCUGUAGUUCAUUUUAUCACUGCAGUCAUCGUCAGACAAUGAGGUCAGAACCAGCAGGUUCGCAGAGUGACUUGUGACUUGUGGAUAAUCCUGCAGAUUCAACAAUGGUAAAGUAACGAAUGGUUAAGGUAUAAGUAGAUUUACUCAAUUAUACUCCAAUAGCUAAUGCAUUGCAUAUAUUGCUUGGCCGUGUAUAUAAAUAUUACAUCACUGUUCAACAUAAGUAAAUAGCUUAGUCCUUCUUAAGUCCAUUUUGGUAAAAGCUAUAGUUCAAUUAGUUUUCUUGAUUUUCUUAAAAUUUUACUCAAAGUUUGUGCCUUAUGUUGUACAUUUGCCUCACGGGCUGGCUAACUGACCUACAUGAGGCUGGCCAACUGAUCUGGAGGUUCACUAUCUAUGUUCUUUCAUUUCAUUGUCAAACAUAGAUAUUCUAAAUCUGAAAGUCUGUCGAAAUUUCCUAUGGAGUCUUGUGGUACCUUUAGUGUUUCUUAUCAUGUCCAGUAGAAGGUCUUGGAAAACAUAUUUGCAAUACAUGAUAUUUUUUAAAUCAAAAGUAGUAAUAUGCUGUGUAAUUGCCUUCUUGCCUCCUGACAUGUGGCAAAUUCAUUGAGCGUUUUCACUUACAUCGCUGGCAUAUUCAGUGAACAACGCAAAGAUGAUGGUUUUGAGUGAGAGGUCCUUUGGUCAAGGUAAUUUCAGAGCAUUGAUUUUCAAUGUACUUGUAAACCCAAGAGAAAGUUGAGCAGGCCACAUUCAGUUGUUAACUGGACUGUUGGCUUGCUGCUAUGGCAACAUGUUUUCAGCCUUAUUAUUACUUGCCGAGUUUACAUUGGGAUCUGAAAACUGGACUGUGUGCCAUUAGUUUUGUCUGUCUCCAGGACAUUGCCCAUGCACAUGAACUGACUGAUUACCAUGAAAAUUCACCUGUUUCAGUUCCAAACUAAUUAUUGCUUCAAGGUCACAAAGCUAUAUGAAAAUCUGUAUCCAAUUGAAUGCCGGAACUCUCUAGGAUGAUGUCAGGCAUUCCCAUUUAUAGGUUAACCUGAAGUGAUUCUUGAAGAUUAGUUUCUGCGUGGUUGAUUUGAAUUGUUUGUAAUAUUGUAUGCUUCAUCUUGAUUACUAUCAAUUUCACAGGUCAUGUUCAUUGUGAGGAAUGGAGCGCAAUAAUGCUUUGUGGUAACUCUGGGCAGACGAAAAUAGGCCACCUCUACCAUUUUCUUGAUAUUUAUUUUCUGAUAUCUGACUAUUGUAUUUGUCGUGAAAUUUAAAUUGUAGACGCUAUCAGAUCAUGUGUCACUUCAUGCUUUGAUCAUGUGAAAAAAUUCAGUGUAUUUACCCAUGAUCGGUGCCUUGCCCCGAGGGGUCUUUAAUUCCUGGAGGGGUCUUUAAUUCCUGAAUUAGGCAACGGUGAAUUUUCUUCUUAAUAUAUAGAUGCGCAGCUCUCCCGCAUGUUCGAGAAAAAUGAGGCAACAGUGACACAGCGCUGGUAGAAAGUAGAAAGUGAAGAAGCGGUUUGAGCAUAUUGCUACUGACAGCUACCUCCGCAAGAUUUGGCCGGUACUGCAAGCUCUGAGUUUCACAACUCUGAACCACUUGGUAAAAAACAGUCUGAAUUUUGUGUUGUGAUUAACUGACUAGACAUCCGAAUAAAUUAAUGUACUGAUAUUCUGAAAUUUGUUUUAGCACUGGGACUCUCUGGACUAUCCGGUGGAAUCAGGCCUUGGCAGGACUGAGGCAGAUGUGGGGGGUGACACCGUGCAGGUGAGGUGGUGGUGGUAUCUGGCUCUGGCAUCUCCCUUUAUCCGCUUGAUGGAAUGGCAGCAUGGGUAUGGAGACACCUUCAGCAUCUAAACAAAGCCCAAAAGGUACAAAGAUACUAUUUAAUCACUUUUGAUUUGUUAAUUUGCUAUCAUAUAAAUUGCAGUAACAGGUCUUGAGUAAUAUGUCAAUGCUAUAAUUUUGCUUGCUUGUUGUGUGUCCUCUCUAAAAUCUUUUCUUUACCAUAUAUAUCCAUAUGCACAAGAUAUUUGCAGUUACAAGUAUAAUCCUCAAGGAGUGAAAAGCUUGUGAUUCUGUCCGUGCAGGCAACAGGCAUUGAUCGCUAAUCAGCAUGGCCUCCACAAGUACCCAUCAUGGGAAGUGCAGCAACCAGUAUUGUGUUCAAACCUGAAGAAAAUAUAUGGGGAUGGCUGGGUGGCUGCACAGCUCAUGGCAGGGACCAAUUUGGAGUCUGCAUCUUCUUUCCCAUAUAUAUAUGAUAUUUCCAUAUACUGUCAGGAUGCUAUUAAACUGCCUUCACCAGAUUACAAUAAACUGUGAACUUCAGAACUUUAAUUUUCGAUAAGUUGGAGUCGACGCUUAAAACUUCAGAGCUUUAUUUACUCCUAUGUACCAACAGCUCUAAAUUUUUGUGCACUGCACCCUUAGUUUUUUAGUGAACAAUACUGAUUGCUGAGGUUAUAAUGCAUCUUUCUAUGUGGGACUAUAGUUUUGUCAAGUAAGGCUAUGUACACAUUGAUAAAUCUGCUUCAGAAUAAUAUUGCUAAUAUCUCACUAUCUGAAGAAAGUCAGGUUUAUCAGUUAUUUAUAGAAGACUUGCUUGUUAGAAAGGACCUAAAUAGGUUUUCUUUGUCUAUGUGAAUUUUCGGGGAAUUCUGCUUAUCUUCCACGGAUAGAUGCUACUUCUCCUGUAAUAUUGAAUUGGGUCAUGUGUGUGUCAGCUCUUUGCUUGCCAAAGGAGCUUGUGACUUGCAACUACUACUACUUAUUCAAUGAUCUCUAAUAAUUGAAUCAUUUUGUUCAGAUUCUAAUUAUCAGGUCUUUUCCUCAUCUCUUUAUGUUUUGAGGUGUUGGAUGAGAAAGGGUUAAUGGUGGUUGCUACCAUUCUACAAGAAAUUAGAGAUUGUCAUUAUGAGUGCUGUAGUUGAAGUGGGGUUAAUGUUAAACCAUGAUGGUACCAAGGAGACUUCAUCCAUUUGAAUAUUCUACACUCAAGAAACAGAAAGGUGACAGUUGUCAAAUACAUAUUAUGAACUAGCUGAAAUUAAAAUAUUCUUGUAUUCCUUAGAUUAUUUGUGUCAUGCAAACUCCACUUUAGAAAAUUCCAUUCUAAAUUGCUGUGUGAGAUUAUGUACCAUUCUAAUAUGAUCUCAUGGGGGAAUUAUUUAGCCCAUAGCAACGCACGGGCACGAUCCUAGUGGAAUUGAAAAGAAUAGAGAUCGCGUAUGACAAGAGUACUCUAGGUAAUAUUUCUUCAAAUACCGAUUCAGCUCCCUCAUUUUCACUUCAAUAUUUUCACCAAUGGUAUAGAAAUAGAACUUGAUGAAUUCCACGUCUCAUCGAGCAAAACAUCUCGAAUUGCUAGCAACAUCUUCAAGAAAAGGUGGGCUGUAGGAUGCCUGUUUGCGGAGAAUGCUUUGGUUGCCUCACUUAAAGCAUCACGAAUGUCCUUUACUGCUUUGUUAUUCACACUAGCAUUGUCUAAUGUCAAGGUAAACAGCUGUUCAAUCAACUCCCACUUCAUCAACCACAACUUCUUGUCCUAGAUCCAUAUCACCUAGAUGACACAACUUCUUAGCCUUCGGCCUAGUAUCUUCCAAGUGAACAAAAGAGCCUGGAAUGUGAAUAAGAUCAACAAAUUUGAAUAAAAUACCAACUUGUUUUGGUUUUACUGACUGCUUGUAUUUUUAGUACUACAAUGAGUAGGUUUGAAGAAAAUAUGAUUCUGUAUAUGAUGCAGUUGUUUUGGCUCACAGCUAACUGUAUUUUGUUCCCAUGAUAAAAAAAUUCUGAUCAGAAAUCUUGUUUUUUCACUUCAGAUUAGAAGUAAUGUAAGAUGUCAGAUUAAUGGACGAUGAGGAGCAUAAGUUUUAGGCUUCGAGGACACAGUGCCCCUCCAAUUGCAUACUGAUACUGCUAAAACGAAAGGGGACUGAGGUGACUGGGAUAUCAUCAGUAUCAGAUAUACUAGCAGCUAUGUUCAUGAGCUUCUAUGUGGUGAAACAAGCUGGAGAUGACUAAGGUAUAGGAGCUUUUUUUCACAGAACAGUAGGACCAUUUUCACGAGAUUCAACUGCCUGAUCUUAACUGAAUGGUAAACAUAAGCAAUACCAGUAUGCAACCAACAAAAGAUCUUGCACUCCCAUCUUACAUUCUCUAAAACAGUAACAAUUCUAAGUUCACAGAUCUAGUGGUACUAAAAAGCUCAAUGAACGAAUUUAAUUUGCCAAUGCCAUCCUCCUGCUCUACAAAACCCAAAAACUCAAGCAGAUUGAAGCUGCAAAGGAGAGUUUAAAAAUAGCCAACACUAGCAGAAUACUGCACGAACUAGGCACAGCGCAGUAUAAACAAAAAGACAAAUAGGAAAGGCAAACACAUCAGAUGAAAAUCACCUGCACGCCGACGCCACCUGCGUCCGCUGCUGAGGCCGCCUGCUCUUGCUGGCCGCCGCGCGUCGGCCUAGCCGCACGCCCUGCCGGAGCCCGCCGGGGGCCGGCCCCACGGGAGCGCCUCGCACCCCCGCACCGCCCGGAUCUUGAGUUCUUGCGCCGCCGCCGCCGCCGCACGAGCCUGGAGAGGCCGCGAAAAAGAGGAGAGCCCCUUUCCUGCGAUCCACGGGCUCAGCCCUUCCAAUUGACUCAAGGAUCGAUUAUGGGCCACGUUCACAGGUCAGCCCUUUUAUGGAGAUGGCCCGAUCUGAUCCUGCCCAUUCUUCGGGAAGGCCUUUUAAGGCUCGGCCUAUAUGAGCUUGUAAGGCCCGAUCGGUUUGGCCCUUGGAUUUUCCAGGCUUAAGUAUAGGUAUAAGGUUUUCUACGUAUCUAAAAUAUUUUCCACUAGAAAAGGUUUUCUACGUAUGUAAAAUAUUUCCACUUGACUACCCGAUAAGGCAAUCAUUCGUGUGGCACAUGCCCGGGGCCUACUCGGAAAGUGAGUGCGCAUCCUCUCACAUGAUUGGACACAUCCACUUGACUCCUCAAAGGUCGUCAAUGCUUGCAGCUUGCAUUUUCCACAGAAGCAGCAGCUCUUGAACCCACUGUCCAGCAUCUCCCUCUCCACCCACCAACACUGUGUUUCCCUGUCUACUGCGCGUGUGUUUUGGAGCUCCCGGCGUAGCCAUGGCUGAGGUACUGGCCACCAUGGUGGUCGGGCCACUGGUGUCCAUGGUGAAGGAGAAGGCCUCCAGCUACCUCCUGGACCAGUACCAGGUGAUGGAGGGCAUGGAGGAGCAGCACAAGCUCCUGAAGCGCAAGCUGCCGGCCAUCCUCGAUGUCAUCGCCGAUGCCGAGCAGCAGGCGGCGAAACACAGAGAAGGGGCCAAAGCUUGGCUGGAGGAGGUCCGGACGGUGGCCUACAAGGCGAAUGAUGUCCUCGACGAGUUCAAGUACGAGGCGCUUCGCCGCAAAGCCAAGGUGGAGGGCCACUACAAGGCGCUCGGCAUGGAUGUAAUAAAGCUCUUCCCUUCUCACAACCGUGUUGUGUUCCGUUAUAAGAUGGCAAAAAGGCUCUGCAUGAUCUUGCAAGAAAUUGAUGUCCUCAUCGCAGAGAUGAAUGCGUUCAGGUUCAAAUUCAAACCGCAGCCGCAAAUGCCCAUGCAAUGGAGGCAGACGGAUGCUUGCAUCCCCACUGAGUCUGUGGAGAUUGCCAGCAAAUCAAGAGCUCAAGAGACGAAGGUUCUUGUUGAUCGAUUGCUUGCUGGAGCCAGCAGUAAGGAUCUCAUGGUCCUUCCGAUAGUCGGAAUGGGGGGGUUGGGCAAGACCACCUUAGCACAGCUCGUUUACAAUGACCCUGAAAUUCAGAAGCAUUUCGAGUUGCGGCUCUGGGUGUGUGUCUCUGAGGAUUUUGAUGUGGAUUCCCUGGCUAACAGAAUAGUGAAAGAGAAUGGUUGUAAAGCAAGUGAAAGUUCAUCAGCACUGGACAAUCUUCAAAAGGCAGUGAGUGGGAAGAGGUACCUCCUCGUAUUGGAUGAUGUGUGGAACCGUGAUGAGCCCAGCAAGUGGGAAAGGCUCAAGUCCUACCUUCAGCAUGGUGGCAGCGGUAGCUCAGUGCUGACAACAACUCGCGAUGAAGCUGUUGCUAAACUAAUGAUGGGUACAACUGAAAGAGCCUAUAAACUUGGAAGCUUGGAUGAAGAGUCCAUAGGGAAAAUUAUCAAGGCAAGAGCAUUCGGUUCAAAACAAGAAAAGGAAUGGCCUGGUGAGCUAGUUCACAUGGUUGGUGAAGUUGCCAAGAGAUGUGCUGGUUCUCCUUUAGCUGCUACAGCAUUGGGCUCUUUACUGAGUACCAAGACCAGCAAGCAAGAAUGGAAGGAUGUACUAAAUGGAAGCACGAUUUGUGAUGAGGAAAAUGGGAUUUUACCAGUACUUAAACUAAGUUACAAUUGCUUGCCAUCAUACAUGCGGCAAUGCUUUGCUUUCUGUGCUAUGUUUCCCAAGGAUUAUGAGAUUGACGUGCAAAUGCUAAUCCACUUGUGGAUGACCAAUGGUUUUAUCCCAGAGCAAUCAAAAGUGUGUCCUGAAACUUUUGGAAAAGGAAUUUUCAUUGAGCUGAAGUCAAGGUCAUUUUUUCAGGAUUUGAAGAAUGUCCCAUUUUACGAAAAUGGAUAUUCUAUUCAUGGAGAGGGUGAUGAGCACAGGUAUUGUUCUAGAAUUACUUGUAAGAUCCAUGACCUUAUGCAUGAUGUUGCACAGUCUGCUAUGGGAGAAGAAUGUGCUGCAAUAGCUACACACCCAAGUGAAAGAGAGGAUGUUCUUCGUUCAGCUCGUCACUUGUAUUUGUCAAUCCGUCGAUCAGAAACUCUUCUGAGUGCUUCCCAAGAGAAAGGAUCUCCAGCUUUCCAAACACUGAUUUGUGACGGAUAUGUAGGAGAUUUGAAGAUUUUAUCAAAAUACAAUUCUAUAAGAGCUUUAAAGAUCCGUUGUGGUUCAAUCCUAAGGCCGAAAUAUCUUCAUCACCUGAGGUAUCUUGAUCUCUCGAGAAGUGAUAUUGAAGCACUUCCUGAAGACAUUAGCAUCCUAUAUCAUCUGCAAACACUGAACCUUUCUUACUGUGACUGGCUUGAACGGCUUCCAAAGCAACUGAAGUAUUUGACUGGCCUCCGUCACCUCUACACUCACGGAUGUGAAAAGUUGAAAAGCAUGCCUGCAGAGCUCGGACGCCUGACUUCCCUACAGGCGCUUACAUACUUUGUAGCAGGUACCGAUGACUCCGGUUGCAGUAAUUUGGGAGAGCUGCAGAAUUUGGACCUUGGUGGUACACUGGAGCUAGGAAAUCUAAAAAAUGUGACAGGAGCAGAUGCACAAGCAGCAGGUCUUGGAAACAAGAAAAAACUGACCCAACUGGAGUUAUGUUGGACUGAUAGUGACCAGGAAGCACAGAAUAAUAAUCAUAAAGAGGUGGUGGAAGGUCUCAAACCUCAUGAUGGGUUAAAGGCUCUGAGGAUAAAUCACUACGGGAGCACAACUUUUCCAACGUGGAUGAAUACUUUGAAAGGCAUGGUGGAGCUCACAUUAUUCCGUUGCAAAAAGCUCGAAGAGCUUCCUGCACUCUGGGAGCUAUCAGCUCUGCAAAUUCUUCACCUGAAGGGUUUGGAGAGUUUACAUUGUUUGUGCAGCGGUGGUACUACACCCAUCACAUUUCCAAAACUGAAUGUACUUAUCUUGUUAGAAAUGGCAAAAUUUGAGGCAUGGCGGGAGGCACAUGAGGUACAAGGAGAAGAGCCGAUAUUUCCCAAGGUUGAGGAGCUGGUGAUUAAGGAGUGUACAAGUUUGACUGCAUUACCAAAAGCAGCGUCGGUGAUUACAGAAUUGUCUGGCAGAGUUGACACUAAGUGCCGCUCUGCAUUUCCAGCAUUGAGGAAAAUGAAGCUAUAUAAGUUGACUGUGUUUGAAAGAUGGGAGGCAGGCGAAGGAAUUUCAGGCGAAGAGGUAACCUUUCCUCAGCUUGAGGAGCUGUCAAUCGAGUAUUGUGGCAGCCUGAGUGCACUACCAAAAGGGCCAUUUGGCGGAGCUGAAACUGUGUGUUGCUGCUCCGCAUUUCCAGCACUGAGGAAACUAGAGUUAUCUGGUUUGUUGGCCCUUGAGAGGUGGGGGGCAGCCGAAGGAACUCCAGGAGAAGAGGUAACAUUUCCUCUGCUGGAGAACUUGAGUAUCCAUGAUUGCCCGAGGUUGACUGAUCUACCUGAAGCACCGAAGCUAAGUGAAUUAUCCAUAAGUAAAGGACAUGGUCAACAACAAAUAUCCCUAGAGGCAGCUAGCAGAUGCAUCCCUUCAUUGUCCCGUCUGACUCUGACCGUGUCACCCGAUGACACAGAAACAACAUUGCUGCAUGUCAAGAAUAAAUUGAAUGGUACACUCGCCUUGGCAGCUAUGCGGUUAGGUCGGUGCGACAUUUUUUUCUCCUCCAGCUCAAGCGCACUGGCGCUAUGGACAUGUUUUGCACAGUUAGUAGAUUUGGAUAUUUGGGAUUGCGAUGCUCUUGUCUACUGGCCAGAAAACGUGUUCCAGGUCCUGGUAUGCCUGAGGAAGUUAGCGAUUUCCAGAUGCAGCAAACUGACAGGACGCACACAAGCUUCUGAUGAGCAAUCUGCUCCAGCUCCAGAACGUGGUGGACUCCUGCCAUGCCUGGAGUCUCUAGGGAUAGUAGAUUGUGAAUCUUUGGUAGAGGUCCCCAUCCCGGCAUCUCUCAAGAAAUUACGUAUUUGGGGCUGCAGUAGUAAUGUCGGGUCCAUCGUAUUUGGUCACCCGGAGGAUACGAGAUUGGUGAGUGGAGAAGGUGUUGUACGGCCGAAUACGUCAUCAUUAAUUCCAGGGUCCAGCAGCAGUGAGGCCACAGCGUCUACAGCUGUACUGAAGCUGUCAUCUGCAGCCAACCAUCGCUUCCUUCCAUUUCAAUGCCUAGAAUUUCUAGGUAUAGCGUGUUGCAGUGGCUUGUCAGAGGUUGCCAAUCUUCCUCCGUCUAUCAAGACCUUGCGCAUUUGUGGCUGCGGCAAGUUUCAAUCCCUAUCAGGAGACCUCCGGUUGCUGGAAGAACUCAAGCUUUAUCAUUGCGAAAGACUGGUAUCCUUACCGGAUGGGCCUCAAGCAUACUCAUCUCUUAGAGUUCUUCGGAUUGAAAAUUGUGAUGGUAUAAAGUUGCUUCCGCCAAGCCUACAGAGCCGUUUGGGCUACCUCGAGGAGAAAGAUCUAGAUGCCCGUUACGAAGGUAAUCUCCAGUUUCUUUGUUUCUUUUAACAAAAUGAUCAAGAGCUCAAUUGUUGUUACCUAAAAUGCAACUCUGUGCUUAAACAUUCUGUUAGCUAUUACAAGAUGUGGUAGGAUUUAGUGGUAAGAAGUUUAUGAGUAUUACUCUGUGUUAAACAUUCUGUUAGCUAUCUAGCCAAGCCGUUCAUGAUGUAUACAUUAUAUUGACUAUUGAGUACAAUGCACCACUAAUAUUUAUGUGCAUGUGUGUCAUCGAAAUACAUUAACUUCGUGUAUUAUUGCCAUUCGGGGUAUCUAAACACGUACAACCAGAUCAAGAACCGCAGUCAUCCUUGUAUUUAUAGCUAUAAGAUGAUCUUUGUUGUUCACUUUUGAUACCUUGGUUGUAAACUUGUAAUUGCUAACUCGAAUCAUGUAAUAAAAUCAAUCAUCUUCCUUUAGUUGUAUUUAAAGCAGCAUGGCAUCAUGGAAUUAUUGCAGCCGAAUUCACUAGCUCCAAUUAAAGUGGCACUUGUCCUAGCGUUUCUCUGCAAAUUCACUAGCUCCAUUGCAUACAGUUCAAGUAUGUGUAGUUUUCUUUUCAUGGCUUAUGCCUUUUGACAUAAAUAAUAAUUUUCCUUUCCUUUGAAACAUUUACUAUUGGGUACCACAGCAUAUUCUCCUGUGUAUAUAUAUACUUUCUAACUUUGUGUUGAUUUGCAUGCAUAAAUUCUAACAUCAUCUGUGAUCAUGGCUAUAAGAUGAUCUUUGUUGUUCACUUUUGAUACCUUGGUUGUAAACUUGUAAUUGCUAACUCGAAUCAUGUAAUAAAAUCAAUCAUCUUCCUUUAGUUGUAUUUAAAGCAGCAUGGCAUCAUGGAAUUAUUGCAGCCGAAUUCACUAGCUUCAAUUAAAGUGGCACUUGUCCUAGCGUUCCUCUGGAAAUUCAUGAUCACUAGCUCCGUUGUAUGCAGUUCAAGUAUGUGUAGUUUUCUUUUCAUGGCUUAUGCCUUUUGACAUAAAUAAUAAUUUUCCUUUGAAACAUUUACUAUUGGGUGCCACAGCAUAUUCUCCUGUGUAUAUAUAUACUUUCUAACUUUGUGUUGAUUUGCAUGCAUAAAUUCUAACAUCAUGGCCUGAUUGCCAGAAUUGCCAGAACCAACCUGGAAACGUUCAAUCAGGAAGCUGGUGUGCUCGAAAUAGUAGAUCAAGGCCUGACCAAAGAAAAUUAUCUCCAAGGUAUUUUUGCAAAGAUAUCACCAAGGUUUGUAAUAUUAGUGUUCUUGAUGAUUGAUUGGAAAUGAUGCUAGCUCCUAAUGCUGACUUCCUAUGCGCUGUGACUUCCUUGUAGGAUGGUGCCAGACCUGCAAAAGAUGGAUUAUUGUGACUCUUGUUUAGAAUGUAUCAUAUGGGCAUUCUGAAGAUAUUCUCCAGUAAAGUCAAGGCAAAGUUCUAGAUUUUGAGCAGAAAACAAGUCCUAGAUUGCAAGCUGAAGAAUUUAGCACACAGAGCUGCGUGCUCCAGUCUUUUAUCCUUCUUCAAACCGAAGACCUUUAUUUUGAGCAGAAACGAAGUCCCAGACUGCAAGCAGAAGAAUUUAGCAUACAGAGCUGCGGGCUCCAGUCUUUUAUCCUUUUUUUUUUCUUUUGAGCCAUGACUUGUUUGCAUUCGUGUCUGCUUCAGCCUCCAGCACAAGCGAAACACAGGCAGCACUUUCAUUUUAUGAUUUGUCUAUCCACAUACAUGACCGACUGCCAUAGAGUAGACCAACAGUCCAACGUACUCAUGUUGUUGCUCGACAAGCUGUCCAAGCUGCUGCUUGAUAUGAACUGAAAGUGCUGAACUUUGUCCAUGUUAUGUUGGUAGUAUAUCUAAUACUGAACUUCAGAGUAGAACAACAGUCCAACGUGCUCAUGUUGUUGCUCGACAAGCAGUCCAAGCUGCUGCUUGAUAUGAACUGAAAGUGCUGAAUUUUCUCCCGUGUAUGUUCUGUGUUACUGUGUAUCAAAUACUGAAUGGUGUGCAGGGUGAUCCUGCAUCCUGGAAUGGCACGGUCUUGUGCAGAGGUCUCAUUGUUGUUGACCUGUUUCUUCAAAACUGCAUGUGCAGCAACAUUUUCUCCUGGCAGUGCUGCAAUGGAAUUGAAAAGAAUGGUGAUUGUUAUAGUAUAAUUGUCAUAUAUAGGCUGGGACACAAAACAAUGGAUGUACAUGAGCAAGGAAGAAGCUCUGGAUGCAGGGGAUGGAACAGAACAGAGACACGGACUCUGUCAACAGCGAUGCUCCCCAAGCGAGCAGAGGCAGAGCAGCGAAGCCCGCCUCGCAAUCUCCGCUACCCCCAUCGAAGUUGCCACACGCCACCGCAUCUCCCUCCACUCCGCUCCCACUCCCCCGCCACCGCCAUGGCCGCCGCCGCCGCAGCGCCCUCCCUCCUGCACCCACCGGCGGCCCGCAAGGCCCCCACACCUUCUCCCUCUCCUUACCCUUCCCCAUUCCUCCGCCUCCCGGCCCCCGCGCACCCGCGCCUCCCGCUCCGCCUCCGCUCCACCUCCCCGGCCGCCGCCUCCGACCUCACCGACUUCCCCAACCCGAACGGCAUCCUCGCGCCCAUCGACGUGGACGCCGCCACGGAGGCGGAGCUUCGCGAGAACGGGUUCCGGAGCACGCGCCGCACCAAGCUCGUCUGCACCGUGGGCCCGGUCACCUCGUCGCCCGAGCAGCUCGAGGCGCUCGCCGUCGGCGGGAUGAACGUCGCCCGCCUAAACAUGUGCCACGGGGACCGGGAGUGGCACCGGGGCGCCAUCCGGGCAGUCAGGAGGCUAAACGAGGAGAAGGGCUACGCCGUCGCCGUCAUGAUGGACACCGAGGGCAGCGAGAUCCACAUGGGGGACCUCGGCGGCGCCUCAUCGGCCAAGGCGGAGGUGAGGUGCUGUGCUUGUAUGUAAGCUGCUGUCCAGUUUUGGACUUGGCGUUGCAGUUUUCAGUUUUCAGAUUGAACGUAUUCCGUGAAAUGUGCUUGUGCAAUGUGGCAAUGUGGAUGAGAGGGGUGGUGGCAGUGGCAGUGUCAGGCAUUGCCGUUUCAUACUUCUGCAAAACCUAGCGAGUCAGGAUUUCACCAAAAUGUUUUUUUUCCAUCUUCGAAAUGGCUCAGUUGAUUUAGAUUUUCAGCUCAUGUUUGAAAUUGUUAUAGAAGGAAAAACAUUCAGAAUUUCAGAUUGUCAUCAAACACUGGAUUGUGAAAGUGGUAAUCAUUUUCAAGGCUUUCAAUCUUUCAAAAAAAUUUCAAGGCUUUCAGUAUCAGUGCAACUCAAAUAAAGUGCAUGGUAAACAUCACCAUGUUUUGGCUUUCUCUGCAUAUAAGACACGGUGCUGGAGUGGUUCGACGGCGCUGAGGUCCCAAUCCAACCAGUCAGGUUUUUUCAAGGUGUCGAGUUUGAGUGCUUACCUGCGUUGGCCCCAUUCCAACCGGGCGAGUCUUUAUUUAUUUUUCGUUUCUUUUCUUUUUUUGCCUAUGGCCUCCCAGGACCGUAGUCUUGUAUUUUCUAUUAUAUCAAUAGAAACUCGCACUAUCUUGUGCGGUUCGUUCAAAAAAAAGUGAUAGGCAUUGAGCUUCUGAAGGUCGUUGUCUAGAUAUUAGGCCCAAGCCUCAAUGGCUUUUUUUUCCCUGUUGCAAACCUUCCUGUAAGUAAAGGGCACACCAGUGCGAAAGCUCCCACACAAGGUGGGGUCUGGGGAAGGGAAUUCCUAGAUAGCCUUACCCUUGCAAAAUUCUUUUAAAUUUUUGCAAAGAGGUUGGUUCGAACCCAGGACCUCCGGGCCACAAGUGGAGAGUUUUACCACUGUGCCAGGUCCGCCCUUCUAGCAGAAUCUCUUAUGCUAGGUUUAAUUUGAAUUAGCUUUAUUAGUAGAAUGCUUGGCCCAUUUAUUGGUAAAUGGUAAAAUUCAUAAAGAUUAUCCUCAUUCCCUUAAUCAAUUUUAGGUGUUUAACUUGCAGCAAAUUCGAACAAUGACAGACAUGCAGCAUAUUGUUAGUUCAUCUGUAAGACUUGGCUUGCUGGUUUAAUGCUUUGUUAAAGGUUUGAAGUUAAUGUGUCUACUGGUAGCUAUUGAAUCUCUUUAUAGUUUAUUUAUAUCUUUUUUCUUUAUUAGUAUAAAGCCAUGUAGAAGUUUUCAGAAUACUGAAAUUUCUAGUGUUCGUUUUGUGGAGUCUCUGCACCUACAUCCUUUUUUGCAACUGCAUUUCAGAUCCUUCAGUUAUAGCAUGAAUAAUUUUUUAAAAAAGAAAAUUCUAGGUAGAUUCUUGCCCGUAGUUAAUGGUAGUGUCCGAUGAUAGUUGUGUUUUAGAUAAUACAUUAAUAUUAGUAAUCCAAAGAAACUAAACUACUUCCAUGAUGCUAAAUGUCAUCAGUGCUAGCUAGGGUCACUAUACCAAAAAGGAGAUUCUAUCACCAUUCGGCUGUUUAUCUUAAGUUUUUAACCAUACAGUUAGAAGUUUGAUUGUACACCUAUUCAAUAAUCCAAGGUUUUCUUGAGCCACGUUAUUUACCCAAUGACUUCCAUUUUUCUUGGCAUUAAAACCUUUCUGAAGUAAUUAACAAAUCAUGUCACAUUUGUUGGAUUCCACAGGAUGGAGAAGUCUGGACAUUUAGUGUUAGGUCAUUUGAAUUGCCUCUCCCAGAACGAACUAUUAAUGUGAAUUAUGACGGGUUUGCUGAAGGUAUGUAAGCUGACCUAUUUGUUGAUAUCUUUUGCUGUUAUUGUUCACUGCCAUAAUUUUGUCCUACACAGAUGUGAGAGUUGGUGAUGAGCUUCUUGUGGAUGGUGGAAUGGCUCGGUUUGAGGUGAUUGAGAAGUUGGGACCAGAUGUUAAGUGUCGCUGCACAGAUCCUGGUUUAUUGUUGCCACGUGUGAAUCUUACAUUCUGGCGUGAUGGCAGUAUUGUCCGUGAGAGGAAUGCUAUGCUUCCUACAAUUUCAUCAAAGGUAAAUGCACUAGCAUAAUAAAUUUCUUGCUGUAAUUACCAAAAGACCGCAAAACUUUGUUAAUCUAUGCCACCCCUUGGUACUAGUAUUGCAAUGGAUUUACAGCUUGGUUUUUUUUGUCAAUGCCAUGGUCAGUUCAAAACAACAUGUAUUAGUUCAAAGCCUUACAUUGUGCACUGAAACUCAUCUCUUGAUAGUUUUUAUCAGCUAUUUCUUAAGAAGGCUUCUACCACCUAGAGUUGUUUAACUGAAAAUUUAAUCUUCUAGUAGCAGAUACUAAUAUUAUAAGUUUAUAAUAAUGCUGCUCCUACCCCCGACGCAGCUUGCCGGAGGCCCUUGACGCAGCGCUGCCAUCCGCAAGCCCUAACGCCGCCGACGCGCCCCUCUCCUCGGUUGAUUUGGGAAGGCGCGGGACUGAGGCAGGGAGAUUGGGAAGCAGAGCUUCCUGUUCCUCGUCUGCUACUCUGCUUCAAUUGGGCACCGGGAAAAGCGAUGCUGCCGGGUGCUCGGGUUCUUGGAGAGGGGAUGGAAUGGAAUGAUGGAUCGAUGCGGGAUGCGUUGCUGUUGCUAGCGGCUUCUGAUUGGAGAGAGGAGAGAAGCUGGUUGCUUGUGUUACCGUGAACGUGAAGGAAAACAGAGUAGGGAGGAGAGCAAGCUGCUGGUGCAGGAGCAUCAUGGCUACGGCAAUGGCAGCGGUGCGGUUCGUUCCGUCAAAUCCCAGAUUUCGGCCACAUUUGAUUGAUGCGAUUUAAUUUGAUUCCUUAUUGGUCGCCAGCCACGCAUUCGAUUCAUGGACGCGCAGGCCCCGGUGGUGAUGCAAGCCACGGUGGUUCCUGCAUGACAAUAGGUUCUUGUUACAAGACAGUCAUCAGUCAUAUUGUGAAGAACUGAUGGCAGUUUUGAACACAAAUAUAGGAUUUCAUCACGAUACACUAGAGGUUUACAAUCAUCAACUACUGCAGGGGAAAAAAAUGGAGCUAGUAUUUUUGAAAAAUGGCCCGAUGUUGAAUCUGUGAUAAUGCAACUUAUGUAGCAGAGCAACCAUGGUAACACAAAAAUGUGCCAAGAGACUGACCUGAUCUUCUUCAGCCUCUCUCCAGGUCAUCCCCGAGCUUCAUGUCAAGAGCGUUGGAAACAACCUGGGAGAACCUACAUCCUUGUAAUCCUUCUUCAUGAUGAGGAAUCAGUCAGGGACCAUGAACUGGCGAGGGUUAGGAACCACAUUCUUGAGGCGCUCAAGCUCAUCUGGGGACACCUCACGAGCUCUGCACAAAAAUAUUAUCAUCAGAGCUAAACUUCAUGCAAUGGGGCAUUCUAGCUGUAGCAUACAACAACCUACUGGCCCAGUUUGUUAUUGCGGCACAUGGAAAAUUAGUGGGAAAGUGGUGCGAUGCACCCAUCUCAAAUCUCCAACUUCAAAAAACAUGAAUGCCAAAGACUUCUGCAUAGGCUGUCUUUAGAUGGCAGAUGUUUUUUAAAACACGUUUUCCAAUGGGCUUCACUCUCAAGUAGAUUCAGAAAAGCUAAUUGAUGAUCGGCACCAAGCCACAGAUGACUGCCACUAAUGAACAGUCAGUAGAUAAUUUCUGCAUUGUUGCCUAGAUUUCACCUGAGGAAAACCAAACUGAUUGAACAUCUCGCCACAAUUUCUUAGAUUAACUGAGCCCAUCACCUACGGGAAUGGAAGGAAAAAAAACCGAAAACUGUUACCAACAUUACAAUUUGUCAAAUAAUCUUCAUAUUCGAAUUCCCUAUACAAAAAUACCGCUUUGCCAGACUGGACCAGAAAGCAAACCAAACCUAAAUUCAGUAUAUUUAUACAUGUUGAAUCAUCUCUUGGUCACGUUUUCUUCAUUGAAAAGAAGUAAUGAGAAGAAACAUUCUUCAAAAAUUACUGAUCAAAACCAUAUUUUUAGUGUGCUACGAUUCUACAGCGACUUCAGUACAAUGGAAGCAUUGGUGCUACAACGAGCUUCUGAUAAAGUUAGGAGUGAUUUUAAUCCACUUUUCAACUUGGAAACCAAGUUGAAAACAAGUCUUCCUUUUUGUUAAUGUGUUGCCGUGAGAACAUAGAGUAUGAGCAGUUCAAACCGGUUACCUAAAUUAUGCUUGUGAUCCGUGCACUGUGAUGGUCAAACUUCUCCUUGUUAAAUGGCAAGCUGCUGUUGCCUUGGAUCCUAAGGUCGUGCUGUGAAUGGUAUUGUAACUGUUAAGGUAAAUCCUGUUCUCCAUUUGUGGCCAUGCAUGAGAAUUGAGAACUGGAGAUCAUUCUGAAUUUUUGCUCCUUACAGAUUGCUUUGUGUAUCCCUUGUGCGCCAAAUGGGACUGAAAUUCGUGGCGUGAUACGUCAUCGUGACCUUUUGAAUUUUAGUUGGCUUUGUUUUUGUUUUCGAGGAUUUAACUGUUGUGCCUCCGUCUUCCAUGUGGCGAAGAAAUUGACGCAGUGGGGUCGGGAUGGUGUUCAGCUGCUGUUUGCUGGUAGACUGUUUAUUUUGUUUGGGAGUAUAAAGGGGUGGAUCAUCCAUCAUAUCUAAGCAAUAUGAUUAGUGCAAAUCAUGAUGGUCAACGUCAGGUUUCGUUUUGGGCAACCAACCACAGGGUUUCUUUGAUGGUUUCGUAUUCAUUGUAAUCGCUGUCGUUGCUUGCUUCUUGCUGCCCACAUUCCUAUUCUCCCGUCGGCUCGACGGAGGAUUUUAUUUUAAGAAUGCAGAGAAAGAAACAUGCCUCCGUUUUCCAAGCAAAGCAUAUAUUCUUUCUGGAAGGUCAACGACAAGGCCCCGGCCGUUCCAAGCUUCUCGCUGGCCUAGCCGUCGCGUCCAUUCAAGCUCAGAGGCGACUGCCGUUCCGAGCUCUCCAAGGGCCCGCGCGAUGGGAAGCGGCGCGGUUCUUGACGGUGGUGUUGUUCCUCGCCGCGGGGGUCCUCUUCGCGCCCGAAUCGCUGGCGCCUCGGCGGCCACCGCAUGGGGCACCGGCCUCUGGGUCGCAUUCAUCGGCGGCACCAUCCUGUUCAGGUAAGCAAGCGCCGCCGCUGCCGCUUCGUCCGCCCCAAGAUCAGAUGGUUGGAAACAAGCGAGAGAUGGAUUCUGUCAUGUUUACUAAUAUACCAUUAUACCCAAGCCUAAAUGUGAUAUGCUGCUGCUGUCAUAGCAUUCACAUUCAAAUCCAAUUUCGUGCGCAGCAAUGCACGGCGCCCAUCCUAGGAAGAACUCUGAGGAAAAUGACAAGCCUCAUGAAUCUGUCCUUGGAAUCAUGCGAGUUUUAGUAAAUCAUUGGAAUCCACUGGAUCAUCAUCUUAAUCUGGCAACCAUUGGUCCGGAAAAAUCAUUCUAGUAAAUAUUCACCUUGACGAUCUGUUGGAAGGACAAGGACCACAAAAAUUAUGAAUUGGGAUUUAUGUGCUGUAUUGAGAGAGCCCGUAGGUGCUGGAUUUCUCUGGAAACGUUCUGAAAGUUCUGGUAGUGGUAGCACUGCUACAAUUUUACAAGCAUGUGGGGUUGUUCCUCUGUUUGUUGAUUAGGUAUUAUGUUUUGCAGUCUUAAAGUUCAGAAGGUAAUUACCCAGGUGUGCAAGUAUACCUUCAAGUUUUUUUUUAACAUAGUGUACAUAUUACCUUGUUAUAGUGAGAACAGAGAAGUCCACCGCAAAAGUAUAGCCUAGCAUAUAUUGUUCUUGCAAUAGACCAUGUGUGGAUAUGCCCCUUUGCAGGUCGAUUAUUCCAUUCAGAACAUAGCAUGGACCUCUAUAGUGUUUUGGAUAGAUUUUUUUUUAUUAUAAAGGUACUUGCCGAGGCACCAAUUUGGGAGUCUGCGGGGUAAAAUGUUCCCGGCGUAGUUCAUAUUGACAUCAGUGUGUUCAGCGAUAUCUGUGGCAGCAUUCGUAUACCUGCACCCCUGGAAGACAGCAUCAACCAUCGAGCGUUACCAGCAUGGAUUCCUUCUUUCGGCCCUUAUCUGUAACCUUUCAAACCUUCUGGUCAUCACACCCGAUCCUUACCUGCGCUGCCGCCGCACCGCCACCUCUCCCUCCCUGCGUCGCCGCCGCGCCGCCACCACUCCCUCCCUGCGUCACCGCCGGGACCCCGACGACCCCUCCCACCACUCCCUGCAACUGAAGAGGUAAUCCGACAGCGCCCCCUCCGGGCGCCGCCACGCCGACCCGCCUCCGGGUGCCCAAUUGAUACGCCCGGACCGCUCCUCCUCCGUCCGCUGCCCAACCGUGCCUCCUCCGGGCGCCCAACGCCGGCGCACCCCCUGUCCGGUUGCCCCUCCGCGCCAGCGCCCCCCUUCCCGGCCUUCUCUCCACCCCUCCCCCGGCCUCCCCUCCACGCCGGCGCGCUGGUAGACGGACGCCUCUGGCUACUUCUGUGCCGGCCGCGCCGCCGCCAAGCUCGCCCCUACGAAAACGGUAACCUCUUCCGCCCAUCUGCACAUCUCCAUGACAAUCCGUUUUUAUGCAUCCUUAUUGAGGCGGAUCUGGUGGUUCGAUUGCAUAGAGGAGGAUAAUGAUUAGUGGAUUUGCUUGAUUGGCAACAUAGUCCAUCAUUUAUUCUCCUGUUCUCCAUUAUCAGUAUUGUGAAAUUGCUUGACAGAUGGCUGGUCACUUGUUUUUUUUUAGUGAUUCCAAUGGUAAUCAUAUCAUACCAGACCUAGAUAGAAUAUAAUAUGAGAUGAUGUUGCAGACUGAGUCAUCUGAUUCUUGCAGUCUAAUUCUAGGAGUUUUAGGCAGUGGCAUGUGAAUAUUAUCAAUACUUCUGCUUCAGUUAACAUAUGCAACUUAUGGGCACUCACAUAGCAGGUUAUUUUUCUGUUGUUUUAACUAACAUGGCAUGACGUGAUGUUUUUGACUGUUUAACUAAUAGAAUCUUUAAGCUUUGAUUGGUACACUCAAACUUCAUUAUUGAGAUUGGUCGACUGUCAGUAUUGUGAAAUUGCUCAACAGAUGGGAUAUUGCUUGCAUUAAAAGAUUAGCUUCAGGAUAUUGCUUCGAUUGUAGAGGAUGAUAAAAGUAUUGAUUUUUCUUUCCUUGUUUUUUAGUCAUUCGUGCUUACUCUCUAGCAAUGGUUAAUUACAACACUGCAGGACUACUAGCUAGCGUAUUUAUCUAGGUUCUGAUAUAAAGCAUAUAACAUUGGAUCUGGGAUAAUAUGUUGGCUAUUUUGUGGCUGGCCCGGAAGCCCAGUGGUUGCUUUGCUUUGCUACCUGCUUUUGCAACUCUCUUCUUUUCUGAGCUCAUUCUUACACUUUAGCCUGCAGUCGAGUAUGUGUGUUAGCUAUUGAGCUGUUUUGCUUUGCUUAAUCAAAUGCUAUAUUACACCAUGUUUUCAAAUUUGUUCCCAUAGUUAUUUAGCUUAACCUCUAUCUCUGAAAUCAGGUACUUGAUAGGAUGAACUGUAGGGGUCUGAGGUCUUUUUUUAAUGAAGCAACAGGGGAGGACCCUACUGACAAAUUUCAGAGGAUAUAUAUCUGUACAGGUUGCAUGGCCAUGUAGUUCCAAAAGAAAAAAAAGGAGGAGAUUUAGAUCCCUCUCCACGAAAUAUUUUCAUGGUUGUCCAUAAAUAUUUGUUUUCUGUGCAUUAAGCUUUUCUGUUGUGCUAAUCUGAUUCAAGGAACCCAGAAUUGCAACUAUCUUAAAUUUUCUUUUUAUAUUCCAUUUUAUAUCAAUUCCAGGUACAUGCAUGAUUGGUAUGGCCAGGUUGAAUGCAAAUAUGUGGCAACACUGAAGUAGAACAAUCAUUAUGAAGCAUGUCAAGUAAGCAUGUUCUAACUUUUGGAAUGUAGCUUCAUGAAUUUGAUUCUUUGAUAUACUAUACAAGGUUGUAUUUGUUUGAUCUGUCACUUAAUUUGACAUUGGAGUUGUCCGGCCAACAAAUCCACAUGUGCCUCCGCCACAUGGACGCCCCCAAGGCCCGUACGUGAUCCCCAGGUCCCUUCCCUUCUGUUUGGUUGCAAACACUGACAGAGAACCAUUUGCAACUGAGCUCAUGACUAACUUAAUGUACCGUUGCUGCUUGCAGGUCACAGCUCAGAUGAGGCAAAGCGGAUAGCUUGAUUACUGGAUGCAGGAUUAGCAUCCACCAUGAGCCUGUGCACCUGGUCCAUCGUAAUUCUUUGAAUUUACUCUAUUGAAUGCAGGGUGUUCCUGAAAUUGCAAGAAUUAUGGCACCAGAUUGGUCGUCGAUGGACAGAAGGCAAUGCUGUGCUGCCAAUUAAGUUGCCUGGUGAUGUUUCUAACAUGCAUUCUGUACUAUCUGACAUUUUAGAUUUCAGGCUGCUAUCGUAUCUGGUUUGUGACUGUAUUUUCUACCAAUCAAGUUGCCAUCAAACUUAAAUAUUGAAGCCUCUGGUGGAUAUGAUGAUGAAUUGACUGUAGACUGUUGGCCCUUGGGCAUUGCAAAGAGAAGGAAAUAUCUGUUAAGAUAGCCAAAACCAUCAAGUUAGUCCAGAUCAUGCGCUACAAAAUUUCACUUCUUUUAUGAACUGCUGUAGUGUGUAAUAUAAAUAAUGCCAUCAAGUUAAUAUGUAUGUGCAAAAAAUCCCCUGACAGGAAAUUAUUAGGAAUUUAUAUUAGAAACAGGAAACAUGAAUGCUGAAGCAUGUUAGAACUGACAAAACACAAUCAGACAUAGGCAGGUUCUUGGGACUGCAUGAAGAGAGACUCAGAUUCCUAAGGAUUGUUCAAGUGCAUUCGAUGUGAUUUGCCGACGAAUGGAACAGAGGAUGGCCUAUGGCCAGAAUGAGCAGGUGAGGCUCCAUACUAUCUUACCGUAUGUCUUCCUCAUGUCUCAUGUGUUGCAUUGCAUGUAACUGUUAAAGUAUCUGUGCUACAGAUCUCACUUUAUUAAAUCAUGUGAGAUUAAACUUACAUUUAUAUUGUCAUUAAUAGAAAUCAACAGAAAAGAGGUACUGAUUGGAUUACUAAUUCAUUAUUUGUAGUUGCCUUAGUCAAGAAUAUAAAUUUGUCAGGGACAACUCAAAUACAGAAACACACUCAUGAUCCUUUGUAGUUUGCAGUAGAUUGCGAGUUUAAUGGUAAAUCUGGACUUGAACUUCUUUUCAGACUCUGUUCUACCACCGAAUUUCAUACUGCAUUACUUCAUGCUCGAAAAAUGGAUGAAAUCAAAUCGAUAGCCUUCCUCGGUUAACCAUUGCAGAGACACCGCUCUUGUAAUUCAGGACAUGGUACUGCUGCACGAAGUGGAGGUGGAAUACCCGGACGGUCGACCCAUCGAAAAGCACCAAGCGAUGCUACUGGAGUUCGGAAAGUUUGAAAAUGGCCAAUCCACCACUGCCAUGUCCCUCACCGUUGGUGUAGCAGCAGAAAUAGGGGCUCUGGUAGUAACCUUAACCACAGUUAUACUUGCAUGAGGAUAAAAGCAGAAACCCCAUGUAUAUUCAUUUACUCUUGCCCCAUGCCAUGUUGCAGCUCUUGCUCCAGAACAAGGUGCAGACGAAAGGAGUGAUUAGGCCUCUGGAACCUGAAAUCUACAUUCCAGGUGAGUGCAACGUGGACCAUGGUUUUCAUGCCUGUCCUUUGUGGAAUCACCGUGACAUGCAACAGUGCUGACUCGUGUGUUUGCGUGUGUGAAGCAUUGGAAAUCUUGGACUCGUCAGGCAUAAAGCUGACUGAGAGAGUGGAGAUUUGAAAAUUCGUGUGUACUCCCUCCGUCCCUGUCGUUUUCGCUUCCUGAGAAACAACUUUGACUAAAUAUAUAUAAAAAAUAUUAAUAUUUAUGAUACAAAAUUAAUACAAUUAGAUAGAUAUUUGAAUCUAGUUUUUUAAUAAAUUUAUUUGAAGAUACAAAUGGUGCACGUAUUUUCUACAAAUCCAGUCAAACUUGCGGCACGGAAACCAAAAGCGACAGUUAUUUAGGGACGGAGGGAGUAAGCAUUGGAGAUCUUGGAGUCGUCAGCCACCAAGCUGACUGAGAGAAUGUAGAUUUGAAAAUUCGAAGUUAAUAGUACAUAGAUAUACUAUAUGAUAAUAGCUGGGUACAUAUAUUCUGUACAUACUAUGUUCUGUCCUAAGAAAGGGUAGGAACUCCCAACAGUUUGUCGUCGUCGUUGUACAUAGAAUCUCAUAAUGUAUAACUUUCAAAGCUCUAAAAACAACAGGUCUUGUGUGCAACGAUGAUAGUCGGAUUAGUUAUACACCAUGUACUUUAGUGUGGCACUAAAUUAUGAAUAGGUUCUCUAUACUUAAAGCUUCUUAGACUAUGAUGUUCGUCAGCUCACUGGUGAUUGGAAAGGCGUCUUUAGAAAUUGCUACGCAAAACGAUUGGGAGUAUAGGGCAACCCUGCUUGCUUAUUCAAAUUGAUGUACCUAAGGGUGUAAAAUGUGAAGAUAUAUGGAAGUCUUGAUUGUGGAGAAAAAUUGUCAAUCAAAAUAGCAUCUUAUUUAUGAGGUGGGGCCUGAUUCGACUCAUGUCGAGCCCUCUCCUUUGCACCAACGAACAGAUCCAAUCGUUUAAAAUCAGGUCCAAGUUCACAUCUCUUUUGCCCUCCCACUCAGAGCACAAUCGGCCAGCGCGACGGGGAUGGCGACACAGCCACCGACGGCUGGAGCUCCCUCAAUGCUGCCAGCAGGUAAUUGACUAGCCUAUUACUAUUUGGAUGUGAUGCACAUUGGUCACGAAUUUGUAAAUCUAUCAGUUCCUGCUUCCUGCAUCCAUUUGUGCAGUUCUUGCGGUGGAUGCAGUGCACUGAGUAUAGAAAUUAUUUUUUAUUACUUCUGUGAAACGUUUUGGCCUUGGCAAGUAUGUACAGAUUUAGUUGUUGUUUUUUUAGUCAGAGGUGAGCUACGUGUAUGGGAAAGAAACACUUGAUUGCUUGUUCUAGAUCUUGCCUUCAUAUAAACUGUGAUGCUAUCAACAUGGAGAUUUGAUGCAUUCUACUCUCUCUCUAUUUCACAUGGAAAAGAACUCGUGUUUACUCAAUAAUGCUUAUGAAUUUUCCUUAGAGUUGCAUUUAUUCAUCAUCCUAAAGUAUUCCGUGUCAAGUAAACUCAUACUUCUAAUUUUUCAAAAAACAAUCUGAAAUCAAUGAACCCCUCCUUCCUUGUGAAAUUGUUGUACCUUUUUCCUUAUGACAUCUUAUCUACUUCCACUUUCCUGGUGCAGAAUUUUUGAAAGUAGGAAACGUAAGCAAUGACAGUGAGAGUCGCAGCAAUACUGAGCUCAAUAGGUGAACUAGACAAACCAUUCUGCUGUAGUUCAUUUUAUCACUGCAGUCAUCGUCGGACAAUGAGGUCAGAACCAGCAGGUUCGCAGAGUGACUUGUGACUUGUGGAUAAUCCUGCAGAUUCAACAAUGGUAAAGUAACGAAUGGUUAAGGUAUAAGUAGAUUUACUCAAUUAUACUCCAAUAGCUAAUGCAUUGCAUAUAUUGCUUGGCCGUGUAUAUAAAUAUUACAUCACUGUUCAACAUAAGUAAAUAGCUUGGUCCUUCAUAAUAAAGCAGUCCAUUUUGGUAAAAGCUAUAGUGCAAUUAGUUUUCUUGAUUUUCUUAAAAUUUUACUCAAAGUCUGUUCCUUAUGUUGUACAUUUGCCUCGCGGGCUGGCUAACUGACCUACAUGAGGCUGGCUAACUGAUCUGGAGGUUCACUAUCUAUGUUCUUUCAUUUCAUUGUCAAACAGAGAUAUUCUAAAUCUGAAAGUCUGUUGAAAUUGCCUAUGGAGUCUUGUGGUACCUUUAGUGUUUCUUAUCAUGUCCAGUAGGAGGUCUUGGAAAACAUAUUUGCCAUACAUGAUUUUUUUUAAAUCGAAAGUAGUAAUAUGCUGUGUAAUUGCCUUCUUGCCUCCUGACGUGUGGCAAAUUCAUUGAGCGUUUCCACUUACAUCGCUGGCAUAUUCAGAAAACAACGCAAAGAUGAUGGUUUUGGGUGAGAGGUCCUUUGGUCAAGGUAAUUUCAGAGCAUUGAUUUUCAAUGUACUUGUAAAGCCAAGAGAAAGUUGAGCAGGGCACAUUCAGUUGUUAACUGGACUGUUGGCUUGCUGCUAUGGAAACAUGUUUUCAGCCUUAUUACUUGCCGAGUUUACAUUGGGAUCUGAAAACUGGACAGCGUGCCAUUAGUUUUGUCUGUCUCCAGGACAUUGCCCAUGCACAUGAACUGACUGAUUACCAUGAAAAUUCACCUGUUUCAGUUCCAAACUAAUUAUUGCUUCAAGGUCACAAAGCUAUAUGAAAAUCUGUAUCCAAUUGAAUGCCAGAACUCUCUAGGAUGAUGUCAGGCAUUCCCAUUUAUAGGUUAACCUGAAGUGAUUCUUGAAGAUUAGUUUCUGUGUGGUUGAUUUGAACUGUUUGUCAUAUUGUAUGCUUCAUCUUGAUUACUAUCAAUUUCACAGGUCAUGUUCAUUGUGAGGAAUGGAGCGCAAUGCCUUGUGGUAACUCUGGGCAGACGAAAAUAGGCCACCUCUCCCAUUUUCUUGAUAUUUAUUUUCUGAUAUCUGACUAUUGUAUUUGUCGUGAAAUUUAAAUUGUAGACACUAACAGAUCAUGUGUCACUUCAUGCUUUGACCAUGUGAAAAAAAUUCAGUGUAUUUACCCAUGAUCGGUGCCUUGCCCCGAGUGGUCUUUAAUUCCUGAAUUAGGCAACGGUGAUUUUUCUUCUUAAUAUAUAGAUGCGCAGCUCUCCCGCGUGUUCGAGAAAAAUGAGGCAACGGUGACACAGCGCUCGUAGAAAGUAGAAAGUGAAGAAGCGGUUUGAGCAUAUUGCUGUUGACAGCUACCUCCGCAAGAUUUGGCCAGUAUCGUGAGCUGAGUUUCACAACCCUGAACCACUUGGUAAAAAACAGUCUGAAUUUUGCGUUGUGAGUAACUAACUAGACAUCCGAAUAAAUUAGUGUACUGAUAUUCUGAAAUUUGUUUUAGCACUGGGACUCUCUGGACUAUCCGGUGGAAUCAGGCCUUGGCAGGACUGAGGCAGAUGUGGGGGGUGACACCGUGCAGGUGAGGUGGUGGCGGUACCUGGCUCUGGCAUCUCCCUUUAUCCGCUUGAUGGAAUGGCAGCAUGGGUAUGGAGACACCAUCAGCAUCUAAACAAGGCCCAAAAGGUACAAAGAUAUGAUUUAAUCACUUUUGAUUUGUUUAUUUGCUAUCAUAUAAAUUGCAGGUCUUGAGUAAUAUGUCAAUGCUAUAAUUUUGCUUGCUUGUUGUGUGUCCUCUCUAAAAUCUUUUCUUUACCAUAUAUAUCCAUACGCACAAGAUAUUUGCAGUUACAAGUAUAAUCCUCAAGGAGUGAAAAGCUUGGGAUUCUGUUCGUGCAGGCAACAGGCAUUGAUUGCUAAUCAGCAUGGCCUCCACAAGUACCCAUCAUAGGAAGUGCAGCAACCAAUAUUGUGUUCAAACCUGAAGAAAAUAUAUGGGGAUGGCUGGGUGGCUGCACAGCUCAUGGCAGGGACCAAUUUGGAGUCUGCAUCUUCUUUCCCACAUAUAUAUGAUAUUUCCAUAUACUGUCAGGAUGCUAUUAAACUGCCUUCACCAGAUUACUAUAAACUGUGAACUUCGGAACUUUAAUUUUCGAUAAGUUGGAGUCGACGCUUAAAACUUCAGAGCUUUAUUUACUCCUAAGUACCAACAGCUCUAAAUUUUUGUGCACUGCACCCUUAGUUUUUAGUGAACAAUACUGACUGCUGAGGUUAUAAUGCAUCUUUCUAUGUGGGACUAAAGUUUUGUCAAGUAAGGCUAUGUACACAUUGAUAAAUCUGCUUCAGAAUAAUAUCGCUGAUACAUUGCAAUCUCACUAUCUGAACAAAAUCAGGUUUAUCAGUUAUUUAUAGUAGACUUGCUUGUUAGAAAGGACCUAAAUAGGUUUUCUUUGUCUAUGUGAAUUUUCGGGGAAUUCUGCUUAUCUUCCAUGGAUAGAUGCUACUUCUCCUGUAAUAUCGAAUUGGGUCAUGUGUGUGUCAGCUCUUUGCUAGCCAAAGGAGCUUGUGACUUGCAACUACUACUGCUUAUUCAAUGAUCUCUAAUAACUGAAUCAUUUUGUUCAGAUUCUAAUUACCAGGUCUUUUCUCAUCUCUUUAUGUUUUGAGGUGUUGGAUGAAAUAGGGUUAAUGGUGUUUGCUACCAUUCUACAAGAAAAUAGGGUUAAAAUAUUCUUGUAUUCCUCAGAUUAUUUGUGUCAUGCAAACUCCACUUUAGAAAAUUCCAUUCUAAAUGGUUGUGUGAGAUUAUGUACCAUUCUAAUAUGAUCUCAUGAGGGGAAUUAUUUAGCCUGUAGCAACGCACGGGCACGAUCCUAAUGGAAUUGAAAAGAAUAGAGAUCGCGAUGAACCACGAGAAUAUCUAGUGUUGGAACGCAAAGCGGAGGGCAAGUACCCAUACAAAAUCUAAUAACUCUGCAACAGCCAUCACUAGCAAGUUGUCAUACACUCAUUAUGGUCUUGGCCACGAGACAUGAGCAAGAGAUGCACAUCAUGAUCUAGGAAGCAGCAGCGCGCGGGUAUGGUCGCAUGGAACAGCCUCUUUGCCCGCGCCGGCCACCCCUUCCACUGCUGCUCAAAAGGUGCUCGACAAAAUGCCACUCCAGGACACUGCCCGCGCCGGCGCGCCUGGGCAGGAAAGAAAACAGGAAAAACUCUGAAAAGGGAGUAGUAAUGCACAGAAACUCACAUUGCUAUUCGAGUUGCCAUGAAACGUUGGGAUGGGUGUAAGUAACGGAUCAUAGAGACUGUCCAUUGUCAACUUGUCAUUAUUAAACAAAACUACUAUUAUUUUCCCUCCUGGCCUCGAGAUGCUAAUGGAUGGCCCAAAACUAAUGCAAGAUGCACAUGCUCUCACAUGGUUGAAGACACGCAGAUCAAGAUGCACAGAUCGAACACAUCUGGACGAACGUGGUUCUAUAUUGCUGUAGUGUAUGCAACCAAUUAAACACAUCCACUUGGCUCCUCCAAAGUCAACGCUCGAAGUCUCCAUUUUCCACAAAAGCAGCAGCUCAAACCAAGCGUCCAGCUUCUCUCUCUCCACCCAGCAACACUGUGUUUCCUGUGUCCUGUCACCUGUGCGUGUGUUUUUGGAUCUCCAGGCGUUGCCAUGGCUGAGGUACUGGCCACCAUGGUGGUCGGGCCACUGCUGUCCAUGGUGAAGGAAAAGGCCUCCAGCUACCUCCUGGACCAGUACAAGGUGAUGGAGGGGAUGGAGGAGCAGCACAAGCUCCUGAAGCGCAAGCUGCCGGCCGUCCUGGACGUCAUCGCCGACGCCGAGGAGCAGGCGGCAAAACACAGAGAAGGGGCGAAAGCUUGGCUGGAGGAGGUCCGGACGGUGGCCUACAAGGCGAAUGAUGUCCUCGACGAGUUCAAGUACGAGGCGCUUCGCCGCAAAGCCAAGGCGGAGGGCCACUACAAGGCGCUCGGCAUGGAUGUAAUAAAGCUCUUCCCUUCUCACAACCGUUUUGUGUUCCGUUAUAAGAUGGCAAACAGGCUCUGCAUGAUCUUGCAAGAAAUUGAUGUCCUCAUCGCAGAGAUGAAUGCAUUCAGGUUCAAAUUCAAACCGCAGCCGCAAAUGCUCAUGCAAUGGAGGCAGACGGAUGCUUGCAUCCCCACUGAGUCUGUGGACAUUGCCAGCAAAUCAAGAGCUCAAGAGACGAAGGAUCUUGUUCAUCAAUUGCUCGAGAGCAGUAAGGAUCGAUUGCUUGCUGGAGCCAGCAGUAAGGAUCUCAUGGUCCUUCCGAUAGUCGGAAUGGGGGGGUUGGGCAAGACCACCUUAGCACAGCUCGUUUACAAUGACACUGAAAUUAAGAAGCAUUUCGAGUUGCGGCUCUGGGUGUGUGUCUCUGAUGAUUUUGAUGUGGAUUCCCUGGCUAACAAAAUAGUGAAAGAGAAUGGUUGUGAAGCAAGUGGAAGUUCAUCAGCACUGGACAAUCUUCAAAAGGCAGUGAGUGGGAAGAGGUACCUCCUCGUAUUGGAUGAUGUGUGGAACCGUGAUGAGCCCAGCAAGUGGGAAAGGUUGAAGUCCUACCUUCAGCAUGGUGGCAGCGGUAGCUCAGUGCUGACAACAACUCGCGAUGAAGCUGUUGCUAAACUAAUGAUGGGUACAACUGAAGGAGCCUAUAAACUUGGAAGCUUGGAUGAAGAGUCCUUAGGGAAAAUUAUCAAGGCAAGAGCAUUCGGUUCAAAACAGCCUGGUGAACUAGUUAAC
rnacentral:lncRNA from 1 species